rnacentral:lncRNA from 1 species
CAUUCUUGGUGCGCCAUCAAUCUCCGCAACUUCCAUACCGGUCACGAUCAUACCAGGAACGACCUCCCUAGUCAAUCUCACAAUCGCAUCUUCAGCGGUGUUCAUGUCGAGAGCUUUCAUCCCAGGAACAUGGUCGAUCAACCCAAUACUCUUCAACCUCUUCACACCAGUGGCUCCAAAGGGACCGUCGUGACCGCACGAGCUGACAACAAUCUUGGCUUCCAUGACGUUUGGGUCCAUGCAAGACUGUGCAUCGGUCAAUCUGAAAUAUUGGGGUGAGAGUGAAUUUCACCAAGUAAAAAUCUCGAACCUCUGACGACGACGUCUUCUUAGAUACUUGAAUUUUUUUGCGUUUUCGGUGUUUAACGUUUUGGGGAGGAACGUAUGAUUGGAAAGGGGAGGGUCGAAUCUUAGCGACAAAGGGCUGAAUCUCAGUGGAUCGUGGCAGCAAGGCCACUCUGCCACUUACAAUACCCCGUCGCGUAUUUAAGUCGUCUGCAAAGGAUUCUACCCGCCACUCGGUGGUAAUUAUAAUUCAAGGCGGUCCGNNNNNNNNNNNNNNNNNNNNNNNNNNNNNNNNNNNNNNNNNNNNNNNNNNNNNNNNNNNNNNNNNNNNNNNNNNNNNNNNNNNNNNNNNNNNNNNNNNNNNNNNNNNNNNNNNNNNNNNNNNNNNNNNNNNNNNNNNNNNNNNNNNNNNNNNNNNNNNNNNNNNNNNNNNNNNNNNNNNNNNNNNNNNNNNNNNNNNNNNNNNNNNNNNNNNNNNNNNNNNNNNNNNNNNNNNNNNNNNNNNNNNNNNNNNNNNNNNNNNNNNNNNNNNNNNNNNNNNNNNNNNNNNNNNNNNNNNNNNNNNNNNNNNNNNNNNNNNNNNNNNNNNNNNNNNNNNNNNNNNNNNNNNNNNNNNNNNNNNNNNNNNNNNNNNNNNNNNNNNNNNNNNNNNNNNNNNNNNNNNNNNNNNNNNNNNNNNNNNNNNNNNNNNNNNNNNNNNNNNNNNNNNNNNNNNNNNNNNNNNNNNNNNNNNNNNNNNNNNNNNNNNNNNNNNNNNNNNNNNNNNNNNNNNNNNNNNNNNNNNNNNNNNNNNNNNNNNNNNNNNNNNNNNNNNNNNNNNNNNNNNNNNNNNNNNNNNNNNNNNNNNNNNNNNNNNNNNNNNNNNNNNNNNNNNNNNNNNNNNNNNNNNNNNNNNNNNNNNNNNNNNNNNNNNNNNNNNNNNNNNNNNNNNNNNNNNNNNNNNNNNNNNNNNNNNNNNNNNNNNNNNNNNNNNNNNNNNNNNNNNNNNNNNNNNNNNNNNNNNNNNNNNNNNNNNNNNNNNNNNNNNNNNNNNNNNNNNNNNNNNNNNNNNNNNNNNNNNNNNNNNNNNNNNNNNNNNNNNNNNNNNNNNNNNNNNNNNNNNNNNNNNNNNNNNNNNNNNNNNNNNNNNNNNNNNNNNNNNNNNNNNNNNNNNNNNNNNNNNNNNNNNNNNNNNNNNNNNNNNNNNNNNNNNNNNNNNNNNNNNNNNNNNNNNNNNNNNNNNNNNNNNNNNNNNNNNNNNNNNNNNNNNNNNNNNNNNNNNNNNNNNNNNNNNNNNNNNNNNNNNNNNNNNNNNNNNNNNNNNNNNNNNNNNNNNNNNNNNNNNNNNNNNNNNNNNNNNNNNNNNNNNNNNNNNNNNNNNNNNNNNNNNNNNNNNNNNNNNNNNNNNNNNNNNNNNNNNNNNNNNNNNNNNNNNNNNNNNNNNNNNNNNNNNNNNNNNNNNNNNNNNNNNNNNNNNNNNNNNNNNNNNNNNNNNNNNNNNNNNNNNNNNNNNNNNNNNNNNNNNNNNNNNNNNNNNNNNNNNNNNNNNNNNNNNNNNNNNNNNNNNNNNNNNNNNNNNNNNNNNNNNNNNNNNNNNNNNNNNNNNNNNNNNNNNNNNNNNNNNNNNNNNNNNNNNNNNNNNNNNNNNNNNNNNNNNNNNNNNNNNNNNNNNNNNNNNNNNNNNNNNNNNNNNNNNNNNNNNNNNNNNNNNNNNNNNNNNNNNNNNNNNNNNNNNNNNNNNNNNNNNNNNNNNNNNNNNNNNNNNNNNNNNNNNNNNNNNNNNNNNNNNNNNNNNNNNNNNNNNNNNNNNNNNNNNNNNNNNNNNNNNNNNNNNNNNNNNNNNNNNNNNNNNNNNNNNNNNNNNNNNNNNNNNNNNNNNNNNNNNNNNNNNNNNNNNNNNNNNNNNNNNNNNNNNNNNNNNNNNNNNNNNNNNNNNNNNNNNNNNNNNNNNNNNNNNNNNNNNNNNNNNNNNNNNNNNNNNNNNNNNNNNNNNNNNNNNNNNNNNNNNNNNNNNNNNNNNNNNNNNNNNNNNNNNNNNNNNNNNNNNNNNNNNNNNNNNNNNNNNNNNNNNNNNNNNNNNNNNNNNNNNNNNNNNNNNNNNNNNNNNNNNNNNNNNNNNNNNNNNNNNNNNNNNNNNNNNNNNNNNNNNNNNNNNNNNNNNNNNNNNNNNNNNNNNNNNNNNNNNNNNNNNNNNNNNNNNNNNNNNNNNNNNNNNNNNNNNNNNNNNNNNNNNNNNNNNNNNNNNNNNNNNNNNNNNNNNNNNNNNNNNNNNNNNNNNNNNNNNNNNNNNNNNNNNNNNNNNNNNNNNNNNNNNNNNNNNNNNNNNNNNNNNNNNNNNNNNNNNNNNNNNNNNNNNNNNNNNNNNNNNNNNNNNNNNNNNNNNNNNNNNNNNNNNNNNNNNNNNNNNNNNNNNNNNNNNNNNNNNNNNNNNNNNNNNNNNNNNNNNNNNNNNNNNNNNNNNNNNNNNNNNNNNNNNNNNNNNNNNNNNNNNNNNNNNNNNNNNNNNNNNNNNNNNNNNNNNNNNNNNNNNNNNNNNCAUUUAGGCGGUCUAGGCGGAAAAAAAUCGGUGAUCCGAUUUUUUUCACCGAUUUGGCAUAAAUCGGGGCGGAAUAGUGACGCGUAGCGCCUAGGCGGCCGCCUAGGCGGCUAGGCGGCCGAUUUUUAGAACAGGGAUUAGUCUAAAUGGACAUGGUUACUAUUUUUUUGCUCUAAAAAAACAGUUUUCCCUAUAUUUUUUUGUAACGCCCAACUACUAAUAAUUCAAUUAGCAUUUUUUUCUAACCCAAUUGAUUAAUCAAAAAAAGACAAGUUUGCUUCGGAGGAAGCAACCAUAAAAAUGAAAAAUAAACAAAACGUCAUCUAUUUAUACUAAUUUGGAGGAACAUGUACGUCAUGAUGCGGUUAAAAUAAUUCAUCAACAAGGAAUGAAAGAUGUUUUCAUUAGCAUGUCCGAUGAUGAACGUUAUGGUUGGAUACGAAGAUACAACUUGUAUAUAAUGAUGUAAACACUGAUAUAAAAACUUGUAGGCACUAUAUGGGGUAAUAAUAUUAACACGUUAUCAUUAUGGUAUCUCUCUACUUAACUAUGACUUAUUAUUGGGUUCACUCCUAAGGUGAACCUAUCAACUAAUCGGAUUGUGUUAUUUCAUAUUUGAUAUCUUUUAAAAAGGGAAACAAAAUAUUGUCAAAUUAUAUUAUCGUUUUAAAACUAAUAGGUAAAAAUAAAUAAAUAAAAAAUAGUAGUAAUUACAAAAAAAAAAAUUUAACAUCGUCAGCAAAACAUUAAACCAUAAAUCCUAAACCCUAAAUCCUUGGGUAAACCCUAAACUUUAGGGUAAAUCUUAAACUCUAAAUCAAAAUCACUAAACACUAAAACACUCAAGGGUUUAGGGUUUAUAGUUUUAGGGUUUAGUAUUUUUAUUUAGAGUACGAUUUAUCCAAGGGUUUAGGGUGUUUAUCCAAGGGUUUAGGGUUUACCCAAGGGUUUAGGGUUUAGGUUUAAGAUUUAGGGUUUAGAGAUUAGGAUUUAGGGUUUAGUGUUUUGCUGACAACGUUAAAAAUAUUUUUUUUUAAUUCUUUUUUCUGUAACUAGUUUUUUUUUUUACUUUUUAAAAAAAAAAUAUAAUAUAACUUGACAAUAUUUUGUUUCCUUUUUUAAAAGAUAUCGAAUUUAAAAUAAUGAAAUCCUAUUGGUCGGUGAACCUAGAGGUUCACCCUAGGGGUGAACCCAAGAAUAACUCCUUAACUAUUUGGCUGAUUUAUGAUAAUCCAAUUAUUUUGAUUUUGAAAUCUAUAUCAUUGAUUCUCAAAUCUACUUAUUUGACUUUAAAAUCUAUGUAUUUAUCAAAAAUUUCUAAAUCCAAGAAAGAAUCUUAAAUUCAUUAAAAUACUAUAACGGUAUAACCAAUAACCUCCACUUAUUUUGCGUCAUACAAAAAAAGUUGAGAAGAGUUCUCACUUCUCAUGAAACGAAAGUAACUGCACAAAAUCAAUUCACUGCACGCGCACAAAUUUACUUCUCAAUAUUAACUUUUAUAGGGUGAUAGUAAAUGAUAUUAUGAAGAUGAUGCACUCCUUGAGACCAGAGAACGAUAACUUCGUACUCUUCAUCCAUGAUUGGCCGAUCGCUAGAGAAAGAGAGGGACUUUUUAUUUUUGGUUGGAGCAGUCGACCGUCUACAGAGAUCUGUGGUUGACGUCUAUUAAAAAUACAGAGAGAGAGAGAGAUGCUUUGCUUUGUUCGAAUAAUUAAAUCUUCUUUUAGGUUUUUUAUUUUAGUUGAUUUUUCGCGGGUAAAUAAUUUUUUUUUAUUACUUAUCAUUUUUCCUAUUUAAUUACGUUUAAAGACUGAUAAACCAAAAUGUAAACAGAAAAAAAAACAGAUAACUUAUAAAUCAAUUCUCACCGAGUAUACCGGAUGAUAUAAUGCAGCGAAUGUCCUCGCGUUUUGGAUUAUCUAGAUCACAGUUACCCGUCCGUUAUCUGAGUGUUCCUUUGUGCUCUAAAAAGCUAUCUUUUGGUGAUUGUGAUCCAUUAGUGCUGCAAAUUAAAAAGAAGAUGAAUGCUUGGACUACUAGGACUCUUUCCUUGGCAGGUCGGCUCACUAUGCUUACCUCAGUCAUCUCAGGUAUCAUUCAUUAUUGGACAAGUGCCUUUCUCUUGCCAAAGAAGGUCAUCAAAGCGAUAACCUCUCUCUGUAGCUCUUUCCUCUGGCAUGGGAAAAUAGGAGUUCCUACGGGUGUGAAGGUGGCGUGGUAUGAUGUCUCUGUCCCAAAAUCUGAAGGAGGCCUGGGAAUUAGAAAUUUGGAAGUGUGGAGUGAUGCUUGUGCUUUAAAACUUAUAUGGAUGCUCUUCUUCAGGGCUGGAUCGAUAUGGGUUGCAUGGAUGAGAUCAAAAUAUUUGUCUCAUGCACCAUUCUGGUCAUUGAAUGAAAAGAACUACGGUUAUUCUUGGAUGUUCCGUAGGCUACUGAAACUAAGAAGUAAAGCACUUCACUUUCUGAAAAUUCAUGUGGGGAAUGGCGACUCAACAUUCUUCUGGUGGGACCCUUGGACGCCAUUUGGUAUGCUUUAUACCUUCUUCGGCCAUGAUGGACCUUCACGUCUUGGUGUUCCCUUGUUCGCUACUGUGGCAGAUGUUCGUAACGGUGCUGGCUGGUCUCUUACAUCAGCAAGAUCUGAUAAACAGCUACAGCUUCUAGCCUUUGUAUCUACCUUGGCUCUAAAUGAUGCUUCUGACGUACCUCAUUGGUAUGUCAAUGGAAGAUUGCAGAAGGCUUUCGUGUCCAAGUCGGUAUGGAACGUGAUCAGGCCCCAUAAGCCUCUCGUAUCAUGGUCUACACUGGUUUGGCAUAAAGCAGCUAUACCAAGGCAUGCUACCACUGCCUGGUUAUUUGUCCUAAAUCGUAACCCGACGCUAGACCGCUUGCAAAGUUGGAACCCGGAUAACCUCACUACAUGUCUCCUCUGUGGGUCGGGAUUAGAAUCGCGGAAUCAUCUGUUUUUUGACUGUGCCUACUCAGUUGUAGUUUGGCUCCUAAUCACUCGUAGACUCAAUCUCCAUACUGCUCCUUACAGCUGGAAUGCCACCUUGACAUGGCUGCCCACUGCUCAUAGUGACAGAUAUGUGCGCGUCGCUUUGCUACAAGGCUGGCAAGCAGCCAUUUACGGUAUUUGGUUUGAGAGAAAUACUCGCUUCCACACUGGUCUUACUCAUUCUCCUGAUGUUGUGGCCAGGAAUUCCCUGAGAAUUGUCAUUGAUAAAUGCUAUGCCAUGUGCUCUCUUGGAUCUGCCUUAGGCUCUCUCUUGUUGCAGAUUUGGCAUCCUCCCUGAAAGUCCAUUUUCCCAACUCUGUUUCUUCUCUUAUCUGUAAUAGAUGAUGUUACUUCCAUGUAACCUCUUAUUUUAAAUUAAUGAAAAUCCUUUAUCAAAAAAAAAAUAAUCAAAACUGAAUUCGCGUCAACGUCCAUGUUUACUCGUAACGUGGGACCUGUUUUUUCAAAGAACAUGCAAAAUUGAUUGGUUUAUUAUUUAUUAUUCUUAAGAAGGGAAAAAAAAAAACCCAAUAUUGGUGUAAACAAAACCGACUCAGAUACCGAAAUCAAAAUUGGACCGGGUCAAACAUUGUACCGUCAACAAACACAACGAUUCUCUGUUUCCUAAAAACGGAAAAGAAGAAAAGUCUAAAGGAGGAGGAAGGAGGAUGGAUCAACGAAACGAUACACCAGUCAAAAAAAAAAAAAUUCAUACAAAUCCAUGUUGUAAUAUUUUCUUUAAAAAACUAUGAUUACCUCUUGGGGUUUAAACUACAUUUUUGUCCCCCUUUUUAUAUAUAUUUGGAAUCAUUUCUCUUGUGUUGUUUGAAUGUGUAUCAUUGUUUGAAAGUCUUUUAUCAUGAAGAGAACAUUAUUAGUUGUGAAUUGAAAUGCCCCCAUGUUGAUGUCUUUUCUGAUUGUGUGAUUAAAUGAUGAGGAUUAUUGAUUCUUACUGCUCUUUUAACUAAGUUUAUUAUAAUCUCAUGAUUGUGUUUACAGUAAAAGCAGAAUUUCUCAUUUGAUUUGUAAGAUUUUUAUGUGUUGUUAAUUGUCUUGAUAUGAUCACACAAGAGAAGAUAGUAUAACUAGUUAUAUGCUUAAUAGGGUUUUGGUAAACAUUAAUACUAUAUUACUGAUCUUUGUGCUGCUUUUAAUUCACAUAUUUAAGUAGGUGAUCUUUGCUUAGAAGCAUCACAUGAUUAUGUUUUAGAGAAAGGCAGAGUCAACUAUAUUGCUGACAAUACCUGUCUUUUUUCUUGAUUGCAGCCUGGUAAAACUCUAAGUGUAAGGAAAUGGCAGGCUGCAUUUACACAGGAAGGAUUCCUCGAUAUUGGCAAGACUCUUGGUCGUAUCCAACGAGGGGUACGUCUCUCAAAAAAAAUUGUCUACAAAAAAACUGCAACAGCAACUAAAAUAUUGUUCUGAUUGUGCAAAGAUCACUUGACUUGUUGUUUCUAGGGAAUCCAUCCAUCGAUUAGAGGAGAAGUGUGGGAGUUCUUACUUGGUUGUUAUGAUCCAAAGAGCACUUUUGAUGAAAGAGAGCAAAUCCGACAACGUAGAAGGUAGAUUGUCUUGCAUUCUCUUUGCUACUAUUAUAUCUUUUUACUUAAAAAGUAUUUGUAUUUCGCUUGAAGGCUGCAGUAUGCUUCUUGGAAGCAGGAAUGUAAACAAAUGUUUCCAGUCAUCGGAAGUGGUGGAUUCAUCACCGCACCUGUAAUUACCGAGAAGGGUCAACCCAUUCUUGAUCCUCUUGUUCUACAAGAAACAAACUUAGGUAACACAAGCUUGUAUCUUUUUUUGCUUGAGGACAUAGUAGAACGUCAUAACUUGGUAAACUUAAGCAUUUCAAGAAUCAUGAUCAUAGGGGAGGAUUCUGAUUUCUUCAAAGAGCUUGAAAGCAGAGGACCUUUGGACAAGAAAGUUAUCCAAUGGAUGCUAACACUUCACCAGAUAGGUUUGUGAUCAGUUUCAACUAGUUCUGAGACUAUAUCUCGCAUUUCACUUACCUAAACUCUGUUUUAUCAGGUCUUGACGUAAACCGCACGGAUAGGACAUUGGUAUUCUACGAGAAGAAGGAGAAUCUGUCUAAGCUUUGGGACAUUCUAGCUCUCUACGCCUGGAUAGACAACGACGUUGGGUAUUGCCAAGGAAUGAGUGAUCUUUGUUCUCCUAUGAUCAUGCUUCUUGAAGACGAAGCUGAUGCUUUUUGGUGUUUUGAAAGAUUGAUGCGAAGAUUGGUACUUUGUUCUCUAUACUUGAGUGUUCAUAGUCAGUUUUGAUUCUAUCUUUUUUUUUUAACUUUGUUCGAAAUUGAUAGAGAGGAAACUUCAGGAGCACGGGAAGAUCAGUUGGAGUUGAAGCACAGCUUACUCAUUUGUCUACAAUCACUCAGAUCAUCGAUCCUAAGCUUCACCAUCACUUAGGUAUCUAUCUAUUCAAGCCCUUCUCACCUCACUUUUGGAAGAUAUAAUCAUAUAUUAUCUUGAAAUGCAGAGAAUCUUGGUGGAGGUGACUAUCUCUUUGCUAUUCGGAUGAUAAUGGUUCAGUUCCGAAGAGAGUUCUCUUUCUGCGACUCCUUGUACCUUUGGGAGGUAACGGUUGUUUCUUUAUAAACUCAGAGACAUGUUUCUUGGACAGGACACUAAUAAAGACUUGUGGGCAGAUGAUGUGGGGGUUGGAGUAUGACCCUGAGAUGUAUUCUCUGUACGAGGAGCCUGAGUUCGAGGGAGCGAGAACCGAAGGUUCCUCCAAAGGCAAACCGAAGUCGAUAAAACAAUGUGGGAAGUACGAGAGAGAGAACAUGAAGAACGGUGGGAAAAGCAGCGCGGAAGGUCCUUUGCCUAUAUCGGUUUUCUUAGUGGCGAGUGUUUUGAAAGACAAGAGUUCUAAGCUUAUGACUGAAGCUAGAGGUCUUGAUGAUGUUGUUAAGGUAAUGCAGACAUAUAUCUCAAAGGGGGGUUUUAUCUCUUUAAACAGCUUCCAUUUUUAGUAAUCUGUGUGUGUUUUGAUCAGAUCUUAAACGACAUAACCGGAAACUUGGAUGCUAAAAAGGCAUGUGCUGGUGCAAUGAAGCUACACAAGAAGUAUCUAAAAAAGGUUUAUCCUUAUUUUCCUUCUCUCUUGGAUUUGUUUAUGUCGCAAAGUUUAUAUUACUGAGAAACUCUAUUUGGGAUUGUGUUUGAUCCUUCUUGAACUGUCUUUAAAAUGUCUCUGACCGUUCUGCUUUGUGUUAUUGCAGCAGGCCAAGAAAUAGCACCUGGAAAAGAGCCAUGAGUAGCGUUUUUUUUGUAUGUGAUUUAUGAUUCCUUGGGAGACAAGCCUUCAAAAGAAAAAAACAAGAGUCCUACACGCAACAACUUUUCGUUGUCCAGUGUUCAUACAAAUCCAUGUUGUAAUAUUUUCUUUAAAAAACUAUGAUUACCUCUUGGGGUUUAAACUACAUUUUUGUAUUUGUCGGAUUAUGUAAAUAAAGAUGAAACAUGUGAACUCCAAAUCAGAAAUGAGAUUUGAGGAUCUUAAGAGGAUAAGUAUUUUCUCAGCCACGAAAACUGUUUGUAGACUCCGUUGCAAUGGACCAGUCCUGGUGGUGGAACGUUUGUCUUUCUUUGGAACAUCGUAACUUUAGUUCCUCAUGUUAACUUGAAGGCAAGGGAGAAAGCAACUAGGUCAAACAAGUUAGAGAGGGAGAGCAAACUGUUUAACUAAGAACAUGUUUAAUACGUUUCUUAUUUCUUAGGAUUAGGAUGAAAUUCUUAGCGGGAUAUAAGAAGUCUUUUAACUAAAAAAAACUAAUAACGGCUCUUAAAUAAUAACUUCACACUAAGAACCCAUUAAAUAUGCUCUAACAAAAAGUUUUAUAUUAAAAAAAAUAUAAGUCAAUAAAUGACAGAUAAGUGGCAAACCUUCUCAUUAUAUUGCAAAAGUCUCCUCAUGAAGAAACGUUCUCUUGUCUCUCUCAUCAGUUUCUUUACUUUUGUAUUUUUAUGUUUUAUGUUAAUUAUUACUAAGAAACCAAUUGAGAAUCCCACCAAUGCCGAUGGCCUAACGCAUACAUGUUUUAACUGCUACGAAACAGAACCUGCAUGCAAACAAACAAGUACAGCCGAACAAAGCUAAGUGAGCUGCUUGUGCUAGUUAAAACCAAUAAAGGAUCGGAGAACAACGCACAUUAAACCGAAUAAACGUUUUUAUUGGGAAGAAACCAGUGUUCAAAAAUACGGCUUACGCGGCCGCCGAUACGGUCACUAUACGCUAUGCGGCUAUGUAACGUACGAAAUUCAUCGUAUACGGCUUUAUAUGCGGUUUGUUAAAAAACGGGCGUACAUACGGCUUACGCGGACGUUUAUACGGUAGUGGCGUCUAGGCGUUAGACAUUGUUUUGUUUGAAAAGAUAAAGUUACGUAAUUAAAUGAAGUUGAAUUAAAAAAACUGAAAAACAUAAAACUACGUAGUUUAGCUAAAGUUUUAAGUUGUUAACCCUAAUUAGCAAUUCACGUUCAAUUCAUUGUAUUCUAAAGUCUAUACCACAGAGCCCUGCUAGGCUGCCACCUUCACUUUGCCUCUUUAUCGCUUUCUUAUCUACCAAAGGUUUUUGUUUUGAUUUAUGUUCUCUUCUUUUUUGUUUCUCUGCAUAUGUUUUUUUUUUUUUUUUGAAGUUUGCAAUAGUUCUAAAGUACGAUCAGUUUUUCUUACUAGUUACUAAAGAUUUGUUUUUGACUUUUUUCCAAAAACUGCAGAAAAUCAUUCAAGAGAUUUUGCCAUUUUGGUAUGGCUGGAUCAUCUGCAAAUUCAAAUAUGAACCAAGCAGGAACUUCAGAAACACAAGCUUUGAAAAGAAAUUCAAAGGAUGUUGCUUGGGAAUAUGGGAUGUUGUGUAACCCAAGUAAUCCAGAUAAGGUGAAGUGUAAACUAUGUGGAAAAUUAUUUUCUGGUGGUGCAUUUAGGAUUAAAGAGCAUAUUGCCAAGAUUCCAGGAAAUGUUUCUGCUUGUCCACUAUCAACAAAAGAUGAUCAAGAAAAGUGCAAAAAUGCUAUUGAUGAAGCUAAGAAGAAAAAGAAGAGCAAGAGGAGCUCAGAUGCUGACUUGCGAAAUUCUGUGAAGAUAUGUGAUGUUGGAGAUGAAGAUGAUGAGGCUGGUGCUGAACUUGAAGAGUUGAGGUCAAAAAAAAUUCCUCGGACACUUGGUCCCAUGGAUAAAUUUGCAUCAGAUAUCAACCCACGACUCUCUUCCGUGGAGACUAGACAACAAAAUAUCAGUGAUGCUCUUUGUAAAGAUAGAUUACAUAAAGUUCACCAAUAUAUUGGCAGAUGGGUCUUUGCUUCUGGUGUCCCCUUCCAUGCUACUGCAAACGAUGAAUUUAAGUUGAUGCUUGAAGCUGUUGGACAGUUUGGCUCGGGAGUUACGCCACCAAGUCAAUAUUUGCUAAGAGAACCUUUACUGAAAGAAGAAGUUGAGAGAGUCAAGGGUUUAUUAAAAGCUCAGGAAGAAGAGAGGAAAGAGAACGGGUGCUCAGUUUUGACGGAUGCUUGGUCCGAUAGAAAAAGAAGAAGUAUUAUGAACUUAUGUAUUAAUUGCAGAGGAGGAACCAUGUUUCUUUCUUCUAAAGACUGUUCAGAGGAGGCUCACACUGGUGAAUUUAUUUAUGAGUAUGUCAAAGGGUGCAUUGAGGAUGUUGGGGUAGAAAAUGUGGUUCAAGUGGUGACUGACAAUGCUCCAAACAAUAUGGCCGCUGCGAGGUUCUUGAAAGAAAAAAUACCAGACAUUUUUUGGACAUCAUGUGCUGCCCACACUGUUAAUUUGAUGCUUGAGAGCAUUGCAAAACUCCAAAGUUUUAAGACCAUCAUCAAGAGGGCUAAAGGGUUCACAAUAUUUGUUUAUGCUCACCACAAGACUUUAGCGAUGAUGAGGAAAUUCACAGACAAUAAAGACAUUGUUAGACCAGGGGUUACAAGAUUUGCAUCAUGCUUCUUAACUUUGCAAAGCCUGAUGGAAAAGACUGAUCAGUUACAGUCCAUGUUUGUUAGUGCUGAAUGGAAACAGUGCAAAUGGGCAAAGCAUUCUAAGGGAGUGGAAGCUUUUAAAACAAUGACGAGUAUGCAGUUUUGGAAUGGAGUCACUAUGUGUUUGAAGGUUUUUGGACCCUUAGUUAAGGUACUUAGAUUGGUUGAUGGUGAUAUGAAACCUACAAUGGGAUAUCUGCAUGGAGAGUUAUUACAAGCAAAGAAAGAUAUAUGUGCUGGGUUGAAUAACGUUCAAAGGAAUAUUCAGCCAAUCAUGACUAUCAUUGACCAAAGGAUUGAGGGUCGACUUGACAGUCCUUUGCAUUUGACGGGUUAUUUCUUGAAUCCUUACUAUUUAUACAAGGAUCAAACCAUUCCAUUACAUAACAAUGUGCUCACAAGCUUUUUCAAGUGUGUCAAUGCUUUCAUUCCCGACGACCUUUCUAAGCAAUGCAACGUCAUCAAUUCUGAGAUUAAUAAGUACAAGAACAAGGAAGAUAAUUUUGGGACACCAUGGGCUGUAAAAGGCUGUGAAGAAUUUAAAGAUGAUUAUGAUCCAGGUAUGUUUAAAAAUUCAAAGCCACUAUAUAUUUGUAGUUUUGUUUGAUAUAAUUUGUGUAGUGGAAUAUAUUGUUUUGUCUUGAAUCUUGUACGUAAAGACAAAUGUGAAUGCAUAAGAAAUAAGUGGAUUCCGUAACGUUUUCACUUUAAUAAAUUAAAUAAAACAGAAAACACUAAUUGUUUUGUUUUCUUAUUAGUUGAAUGGUGGAACACUUACGGGACGUCAGUGCCUAAUUUGCAAAGAAUGGCAAAGAGAAUUUUGUCGUUGACUACUAGUUCAUCAGGAUGUGAAAGAGCUUGGAGUUCUUUUGAAGGGGUAAUUUUUUAUUAGUCUACGAUUCUAAAAUCUUUUCAUAUGUAUUGAUGAUUUUGUUUUAAAAAUGCAGAUACAUACAAAAAAGCGAAACCGGCUUAGUACAAGUAGAAUGAAUAAUCUUGUAUUUGUCCAAUUUAAUACAAGAUUGUUGAACAAAAGAAAAAAACGGAAGGAGAAGAACAUUGAUAUAUUGCUGGCUGAUGAUGCUACUCAUGCUCAAGAAUGGCUUGUUGAAGGUGAUGAUGCAGAGCAUGAAUCAGCUAUGGGUGUAGGAGCUGGUGAUACAGAAGGAGCGGCAGAUGAUGAUGAUAUGGCUGAUAUUAGAGAACUGCGUGAUGAAGAUUUUAUUUCUGAUGCUGAAGAGGAAGAUUUUGCUGGUACUAAUUUGGAAUCAGAUGAAGACCAAGUUCCAAACAUGUACGGUGAAGAAGAAUAUGAUAAUUAAACUUUCAGUUGUUUUUUUUUUCAUUUUAGUUGUUCUUUUGAUUUGAGGACGAGGAUAUUUUCUACUUUAUUUAGAAUUAUUAUCAUCUUUUUAGAUGUUGGUUAUUUGAUUUUUAAGAAUUUAGUAUUGGAACCCUUUUCUUCUUUUAGUACUAAUAUUAUUUUAUUUCAUAUCAAUCAUUAAUAAUAUAUAUCAUUAAUCAUUAAUAUAUAUAUAUAUAUACAGUCCGUUUAGGCCCCGUUUAGGCGUCCGCGUAUACGGCUAGGCGCUAGGCGCUACGUCACCGCACAGAGAGCGCAUAGCGUAUUUUAGAACACUGGAAGAAACAAAGACACCAGAAAAGUUCAUAACAUAAAUAGUCACAAGUUUUUUUAAAACACUCCUUUAUUGCAACUCCUUUCACAUAAAGAAGUAUCAAGGGGAAAUUUUCUUAGUUAAAAAAAACUUGUCCUUAAGCAUCUACGGUUUCAGCUGAAUCAGCAGCUGCUAAGACAAGCUCCGGGCUUAGGUCUCCGACAUACGAUCCAUCAAUAACAUUGGGCUGUCCCAAAGCUUUUAGAGCCAGAUGUGCCGCCUUCUGUCCUGAUAUCAUCAUAGCUCCGAACGUUGGUCCCUGCAAAUCACAUAUUCAUUCACUCAGUAUAUCAUCCUACUAUAAAUGAUUGAUUCAAGGAAAGGGAAACAAACUCACCAUUCUUGGUGCACCAUCGAUCUCAGCAACUUCCAUACCGGUCACGAUCAUACCGGGUACAACCUCCCUAGUCAACCUCACAAUCGCAUCCUCAGCUGUGUUCAUGUCAAGAGCUUUCAUCCCAGGAACAUGGUCAAUCAACCCAAUGCUCUUCAACCUCUUCACACCGGUGGCUCCAAAGGGACCGUCGUGACCGCACGAGCUCACGACAAUCUUGGCCUCCAUGACGUUAGGGUCCAUGCAAGACUGUGUGUCGUGGUUCAUUGACACAAGAGCCCAGUUAGUCACCACACCGCCGACUCUGUUUCCUUUCACGAUCAGAUCCUCAGCGGCGACAGCGUUGAAGAGCUUGACGUUGGGACGAGCCAAAAGCUUGCUCAUGAUGGUGGAUGUGAAGAGAGCAGCGUGCUUGAUCACGACGUAGUUGUCUUGCUCAUCGUAGGCUACACCAAUCUCGUCAAGGAACAAGUGAGCUGGUUUGCGCACAAUCUGUUAAACACGGAUAUACAAUAACUUCAGUCUACUACACAUUACCAAUCACAUGCAAACCAAUCUAUGUACUUAAACACAUAAGAAGCUCUUAACACAGAGAGAGUUCGGAUAAAACAUUAUCAUGGGACAAUCUGUCCAACACAAACACACACAGGGCCCGCUAAAUCCCCCAGUAUCUUGAUAGCUUAAGGAUCAAAUAUUUUUUGUAUAUACAAAUUUUUAUAGAGAAAAUUUUAAAUAUUCACUAAAUUUGGUUGAAAAGUAGGCAUAUUUUAUGUGUACAUAAUUUGUUUUCAUCACAAAUUUUAUAAAGAUGUUGAUGAUAAAAUAAUUAAAAAAUAUUUUAAAAAACAUAAAUAUUAAAAACUUCAAUUUUUUUGCGCAUGAGUCCAAAUAAAUAUUGAGCCGUCCCUGAAUAUACAAUAACUCCAGUCCAGAGCAUACAUAUUCGCAUAUGACAUCCAAUAUAUUAAUGGUUAGUAUGUAUUAUAUCAUUCAGUCCUAAAUGAUUUUAAAAUAUAUGUGUUUAGUAAUUGUUUAAGCCUAAUAAUCUCAGAGCCCGCCUUGGCUUCCAUGAACACAAAUUAAUUAAACCAAACCUUAGUAGUUCCUCAGUAGUGUGACAUGCAAGUUAGUCUAAGUACUGAAACACUAUAUAGCAAGCUCUUACCACAAAGAGAGUUCGAAUAAAACAUUACCAUGGCGGAGAAAAGCUGACCACCGAGCCACGCGCCACCACCAGGACUGACAGAUUGCUCGAUGAUUGCGACCUGAACGUUAGGGUUCUUGCUGAUCUCGUAAGCACACGAUAGUCCAGCGGAGCCAGCACCAACGACGACGACGUCGGUCUCGGCGUAAGUGAUCAUAUCAGUCAUGUACCUCCUCGUCAUCUCGCGAGACACGAUGGACUCCUUGAUGGGGUCAAAAGUGAAGGCGUUCAGAUCGUAGCCAGCGGUGGCGCGGACGGAGAGGGAGCGCGGUUUGAGACCGACGGAGACAGGUGCGGCGGAGGAGAUGGAUGAGCCAUGGAAAUAGGAGUCGAAAAGGCGCUGAGGCUUGGUGGAAGAGAGGGAGAGAGUAGAGGUGAUGGACGCCAUAUUUGAGAGGUGUGUUUAUGUUUUGAGUGACGAUGAAGAUGAUGGUGGUGAAGUGAAACUGUGGUGGCUGUUGAAUAUUUAAAUUAGAAGAUGAAGAAAUAUCUGGAGAGUGAUGGCCACGUCAGAGAUAAGGCAUGAAGGGUCGUCGAUUUUUUGUUUUAUUUUUUAUAUAAAUGAAAUUAUUAAUUUCUGCCAUUAAUGGAAACAUUGGAAAGUAACGAUCUCCUUCCUUCACGGUUCGAAUUGAAUGAAGGAAGUUUUGAAAAUUUUCAUGACUUUUGAAAAAACCAAAGUUUAGUGAGAAAGUUAACAUACUUAUUUGUUUUUGUUACCCGAUUAAACCAGAAAUAUUUGCUUGUCUAAGAAAGAAAUAAAUCGUUUUGAUAUAUGUAGUUUAUGAAACAAUUAGAUUCAUAUAUUUUGUAUUAAAAUUCAGUUUGUGGUAAUUAAGAAAUAUCUCGAGACUUUUGUCUGGAAGUUUCUGUAACCAUUUGCACUGAGUGUGUGGUGACACGAACAACACCAGAAAGUGAGAUAUCUGUGUACGAUAGAUAUGGAUUUGGAUUUUACUAGUGAAAAGAUAGUUCACUAUUAUGGUGUCCUACGAAACAGAACAUGCAUGCAAACAAGUACAGCAGACCAAAGCUAAGUGAGCUGCUUGUGCUAGGUAAAACCAAUAGAGGAUCGGAGAACAACGCACAUUAAACCGAAUAAACGUUUUUAUUGAGAAGAAACAAAGACACCAGAAAAGUUCAUAACAUAAAUAGUCACAAGUUUUUUUAAAACACUCCUUUAUUGCAACUCCUUUCACAUAAAGAAGUAUCAAGGGGAAAUUUUCUUAGUUAAAAAAAACUUGUCCUUAAGCAUCUACGGUUUCAGCUGAAUCAGCAGCUGCUAAGACAAGCUCCGGGCUUAGGUCUCCGACAUACGAUCCAUCAAUAACAUUGGGCUGUCCCAAAGCUUUUAGAGCCAGAUGUGCCGCCUUCUGUCCUGAUAUCAUCAUAGCUCCGAACGUUGGUCCCUGCACAUCACAUAUUCAUUCACUCAGUAUAUCAUCCUACUAUAAAUGAUUGAUUCAAGGAAAGGGAAACAAACUCACCAUUCUUGGUGCACCAUCGAUCUCAGCAACUUCCAUACCGGUCACGAUCAUACCGGGAACAACCUCCCUGGUCAACCUCACAAUCGCAUCCUCAGCUGUGUUCAUGUCAAGAGCUUUCAUCCCAGGAACAUGGUCAAUCAACCCAAUGCUCUUCAACCUCUUCACACCGGUGGCUCCAAAGGGACCGUCGUGACCGCACGAGCUCACGACAAUCUUGGCCUCCAUGACGUUAGGGUCCAUGCAAGACUGUGUGUCGUGGUUCAUUGACACAAGAGCCCAGUUAGUCACCACACCGCCGACUCUGUUUCCUUUCACGAUCAGAUCCUCAGCGGCGACAGCGUUGAAGAGCUUGACGUUGGGACGAGCCAAAAGCUUGCUCAUGAUGGUGGAUGUGAAGAGAGCAGCGUGCUUGAUCACGACGUAGUUGUCUUGCUCAUCGUAGGCUACACCAAUCUCGUCAAGGAACAAGUGAGCUGGUUUGCGCACAAUCUGUUAAACACGGAUAUACAAUAACUUCAGUCUACUACACAUUACCAAUCACAUGCAAACCAAUCUAUGUACUUAAACACAUAAGAAGCUCUUAACACAGAGAGAGUUCGGAUAAAACAUUAUCAUGGGACAAUCUGUCCAACACAAACACACACAGGGCCCGCUAAAUCCCCCAGUAUCUUGAUAGCUUAAGGAUCAAAUAUUUUUUGUAUAUACAAAUUUUUAUAGAGAAAAUUUUAAAUAUUCACUAAAUUUGGUUGAAAAGUAGGCAUAUUUUAUGUGUACAUAAUUUGUUUUCAUCACAAAUUUUAUAAAGAUGUUGAUGAUAAAAUAAUUAAAAAAUAUUUUAAAAAACAUAAAUAUUAAAAACUUCAAUUUUUUUGCGCAUGAGUCCAAAUAAAUAUUGAGCCGUCCCUGAAUAUACAAUAACUCCAGUCCAGAGCAUACAUAUUCGCAUAUGACAUCCAAUAUAUUAAUGGUUAGUAUGUAUUAUAUCAUUCAGUCCUAAAUGAUUUUAAAAUAUAUGUGUUUAGUAAUUGUUUAAGCCUAAUAAUCUCAGAGCCCGCCUUGGCUUCCAUGAACACAAAUUAAUUAAACCAAACCUUAGUAGUUCCUCAGUAGUGUGACAUGCAAGUUAGUCUAAGUACUGAAACACUAUAUAGCAAGCUCUUACCACAAAGAGAGUUCGAAUAAAACAUUACCAUGGCGGAGAAAAGCUGACCACCGAGCCACGCGCCACCACCAGGACUGACAGAUUGCUCGAUGAUUGCGACCUGAACGUUAGGGUUCUUGCUGAUCUCGUAAGCACACGAUAGUCCAGCGGAGCCAGCACCAACGACGACGACGUCGGUCUCGGCGUAAGUGAUCAUAUCAGUCAUGUACCUCCUCGUCAUCUCGCGAGACACGAUGGACUCCUUGAUGGGGUCAAAAGUGAAGGCGUUCAGAUCGUAGCCAGCGGUGGCGCGGACGGAGAGGGAGCGCGGUUUGAGACCGACGGAGACAGGUGCGGCGGAGGAGAUGGAUGAGCCAUGGAAAUAGGAGUCGAAAAGGCGCUGAGGCUUGGUGGAAGAGAGGGAGAGAGUAGAGGUGAUGGACGCCAUAUUUGAGAGGUGUGUUUAUGUUUUGAGUGACGAUGAAGAUGAUGGUGGUGAAGUGAAACUGUGGUGGCUGUUGAAUAUUUAAAUUAGAAGAUGAAGAAAUAUCUGGAGAGUGAUGGCCACGUCAGAGAUAAGGCAUGAAGGGUCGUCGAUUUUUUGUUUUAUUUUUUAUAUAAAUGAAAUUAUUAAUUUCUGCCAUUAAUGGAAACAUUGGAAAGUAACGAUCUCCUUCCUUCACGGUUCGAAUUGAAUGAAGGAAGUUUUGAAAAUUUUCAUGACUUUUGAAAAAACCAAAGUUUAGUGAGAAAGUUAACAUACUUAUUUGUUUUUGUUACCCGAUUAAACCAGAAAUAUUUGCUUGUCUAAGAAAGAAAUAAAUCGUUUUGAUAUAUGUAGUUUAUGAAACAAUUAGAUUCAUAUAUUUUGUAUUAAAAUUCAGUUUGUGGUAAUUAAGAAAUAUCUCGAGACUUUUGUCUGGAAGUUUCUGUAACCAUUUGCACUGAGUGUGUGGUGACACGAACAACACCAGAAAGUGAGAUAUCUGUGUACGAUAGAUAUGGAUUUGGAUUUUACUAGUGAAAAGAUAGUUCACUAUUAUGGUGUCCAAAUAACAAAAAAAUAUUACUACUUUAUUAUAUCAAUAUUUUUUAUUUAUGAAUUAUGAGCGGCAUGUUCUUUUUGGUCAUAGAAUCUUUUUUUCUUGUGGACCAAAAUAAAAUCUGCAAUUCAAAGAUUUCAAAAUAAAUUUGUAAUCGAGAAACCUUAGUACUAAAAUCAUCACAAUAAAUUUGUAAAUAUGCGUUUUUUCUUCUAUAUUUAUAUAUCAUAUGUAUCAUGUUAAACCUCUGGUUCCAGACCAAUAACUUCCAAGUUAUUACAUACUUGCAGGUUUUUUUCUUUGUGCCUCUCUCUAAACCAUACAUUAGUGAUUCGGUUGAUGUGUGUGAAUGUCCAUAAACAAAGGCUAGCUAGAAUGUCUAGUGAACAUGUUGUUAUAAUUUGAGUCAUUUGACAGCUUUGUGUUUUUUUUAAACUUAAUUAGUAAGUUCGGAUCUUGAGGUACGAGAGAGAGAGAGGAUAACUUAAGAUUACAUGGUUAUCUUUUUAGCCAUGCAAGCCUGCCAAGUAAUCUGAGUUUCAAACGUAUAUGUAUAACGGUGUCUUAGUUAUUUUGGCAUCAAGAGUUGAAGAGGUUGAUAUAGCCCGAGCAAGGAAACAUAAAUGCGUAUAUAUAUAAUAUACUGUAUAUAUAUAGCUCUAAUGUAAGGAGUGUUGUUGGAAUUCAAAAUUUGUAUAUACACACUCCAAACAAAACAAAGUCGGAUCGAGCAUGCACGGUGUUAUGCGUGCCAGAGCGUCAUCUCGAUUAUCCCCGUAACAACUUGCACAAAUUUUGAAACUUAACAAAACUCUCAUACCCGUGUGCACAUACACCAUCUCGUGCUCAUUACACGUAAACACCAUGCAAAACUCUCUCUUCCAUAAAUAAACUAUUUCUCUUCACUUCGCUUCAUCAUUAUCACUCACCAAGAACCUCAAAAACUCACACAAAAUGGCUAAUUAGCUCUUUCUCGUUUUCGCAACUCUCUCCCUCUUGGCCUUCUUAACCAACGCUUCCAAUAUUAGAGCUAAUCAUAGGUAUCAAUAGUUUCUUAACUCUUUAUUAAGCAUAAAACUCUCAGACUCUCAUGUGUGUGUUCUAAGAAACUAUUGAUAACUAUGAUUUUGACCUAAUACUUGGGACGUACCUGUACUGAAUCAGGAUAAGAUUUACAUGUCUUCUGUAUUCGAUUGAGACCUGGACAUGGUUUUUGUUUACAACAAAAAACAAGAAACAUGGUAAGGUUGUGUCACGGAAGAGCACUAAUACUAUAAUCUGUAUAGAAAUUAAAAUAGUCUUUUUGAUCCAACAAAUUGUCCUAUUAAGCAAGUGUUUACAGUAACGAAGUGUUGAUACAUCCUAAACUUAAGAAACAAGACAUGUGGAGUUCUCUUUUGAUUUAAUGGUUUAACUACCGAGUUUUUUUCAGCCAGAAUCAGAAAGGGUAGGAUACUAUUACUUCACAGUUGCAAAUUUAUAAAACUGACCAACUGGUCACUGUUAAACUUACAAGAAUAAGAAGCUAAUCUUGGGGAGCUAUAUCUUUCAGGUAAGCACAUGCACAGCUUGAGCUUGAGAUUGCGGAAUUCAACCACAGACAUUCAUGCCUAGACACAAGACAGAGAUUCUUUCCUUCUCUUCAUUCCAGAUACUUGAAUAGGACCCAAGCCUCUACAUUAUAAUUAUAAUACAUCUAAAAGGUAAAUGAAUAGAGAAACCAUAAACAUGGUGUGGAAGACUUCAAGCUGAACUGAUAGAUACCUUAGUUGAUGACUUUGAGCUGUCAAAGGAAGAUUGUUGACUGCUGAGAUGGACCAAUAAGAAGGACACUGCUGAGCUGAACACAUAACCCACACCUCUCCAUUAUAAGAGCACUUCCAUCAAUAGGACACGAAGGUGGGUAUCAAACAAUUAUUAAAUUAAAAAAAGAGAGGGAAGUGGGAAAGUGAUACGGUUUGGAAAAGUUAAUUGCGACUCUUUUGCGUUCUUACUUUAUAAGACCACGAUUAACGCUGAAACCCCAAAUGAAUUAUUUAAAUUUUAUUUUUUAUUUUUUAUUUUUAUCUGAAUAAAAAAAUCAACUAAUCGCGGACUGCCACAUGUCAGUGGGAUCCGCGAACAGUGCAAAAACCCAACUAACAGGGUUCUUUAUUAUGGAUUUUCUGGCACCGGUUUUUUUCUCCCUGUGAACCACUCCCCCCUUAAAAAGCCCACUAAAACCCCCGAUAAUCUUGCUCUAAGUGGCAACCAUUCAUUUGAUUAGUUUAUUACAUACAAUUUUUUUAAUUAUUUACUAAAAAAUGUACUAAAUAAUAAUAUAAAGAGGGAUGAGAACCCUUGUGUAUUUCUUAACCAAUAAUGUACUUCUUACCAAUAAGGUUGAUCUAAUACAUUUAAAACCUAAAUGAAUAGAGAAACAAUAGAUAUAAUAAGUUGAUGAUGGUGUCAUGGUGAGCUGAAGACUGUUGACUGCUGAGCUAGACCAAUAAAAAGAAGAUUGCAGUUGGAGCUUUCUUGUAUUGGUUGAUUACUAUAAAGGCCUUGACCAUACCUUUCUUGUAGAGGAUGGAAAGCUCAUAGGUUAGGUGUGUGGGCAAUUUUAGGGUGGUGGUCUCUAGAAAUUGAAGGCAAAAUUAGAGUGUUUUAUUUCUUGAGAAUCGGUUCCCCAAUACUAGUGUACUUGGUUUCUUAUCAUCAACAAAGAAAAACAUGAAGUUAGAAUCCUCCCUUUGAGCAACUGCCAACUCCACAUUCUACCGUUAUGAUUCUUUACAAGAAAGUGCUUAUACAUCCUUAACCUAAGAUAUAAUGUUUUAUAUGUGUAGCAUGAAAAUCCAGUCGUUCAAAAACAUAAUUGAGUCAUUUUGCUAGCUUUUCCAAACACUUGCUCGUUAAACUACGCUUUAAACACAUUUUGAUUCUUAUCUCUCAGUACAAUGUAAAGACUCAAGACUCACAGAAUGGCAACAUGCCACAGAACAAUGACCGGUCAGAAUAUCCAACACGAGCGCAAAAAAGGUUCAAAAGCAAAUACCUAUUAACAUAUACAAAUUUCUUAACCUUAUCCAGUAGAAUAAUUGAAGUUUUAAUAGAAUACGAAUACAUAAAACACUUGCGUUCUCUUUCUUCUGUAAAAAAACAGCAUCAGACUCUAAACUUCUCCCUCUAUGAAGCCCACAACAUGGUGGUAGUCAAUAAUAAAAGAAAGAAACCAGAGAUCUUCGGUGGUGGUUGCAAAAACUCAGAUUCCUCUGGAGAAGAUUAAAAACCUGGAAUUUUUUUUUUCAGUCUCACAACAACGCAAGAUUCACAUUUUCUUUUCACUUGGAUGAUAGACUUAGCCAAUCUAUUGGAGAACACACCUACAUUAUUUAGUUUAACAUGGAACGACCAGCAGAUCCCCGAGGACAAACAACAGAUCUUACAUGCUCCGAGAUCUGUUGAUGCUCCAUGUUAAAACAAAAUAACGUAGGUAUCAGCUAUCCAAGUGAAAAGAAAUGAGAAACCAAGAGUUGCUGAGAAACUGAAAAAUAAACAGUUGUGAAAAAAACGGAAGAGAGUGUAAAACUCGUAUACAUCUACUUCGCUUUUGUACUGGCUAUACGGAACCGAGGAAGAUUUCAUCGUCAGCUCAUGGAAAAAUCUGACGCCAUCAGAACACCACGCAGACUAUCGCCAACAUUAUGAUCAUUUUAUAGCUUAACGGAAUAUUCGAGGAAAGAAAGCUCCUUAGUGGGCCCUUACAUGUCCCUAGUCUUUUUUGAACUCAAGUCUUUUUAGUCAGCUUUCUGAGCUAAUGAUAUGUUUUACCUGGACCAGUCAAAUUUGUAUUAAACCAAGUUGAACCAAAUUAGUCUAUCUUAAUUUUUUAAACCAAUAAUCUAAUUAAACAAAAAUAUAAUGAAACUCUUCAUCUAAUAAAGAGUAGUAGCGCACGUCAUGGGAAAUAAUAACAAAAGACUGGCGCUGGAGCACGUCGAACUAAUUUUGGUGGAUUUGAUUGGUUUGGCACGUCAAACUAGGGCUAUGCUUGGUAAUGGUUUUAUGCUUUAGAAGAAAAAAAUCCAUCAUGUAGUAAGGAAAAGUGGCUUUAAGUCUUUUUAAAAGGCUUUAAAAGCUUUUAGAUCAAUAAAGUCUAAUUGAAUAGUUAGACUACAACCGUAGAAAUUUUACUACAUAAUUUAGUCUUUAAAUUUUUUUGAUAAUGUAACUAAUAUAGUUGUAAAAAUUUAAUGAGAAACAUAAUAAAAAAGAAACAGAUUCAUACGUCAAUAUCUUUUUACUUUAGAAAAGAAAGUUCAUAUAAUUUUUUCGUUAGUUUUUUUUGGCUCUACCUUUAAAAAGUACAUAAAUCAUGAUUGGUAAACUUUAUAGUUAUAGAUAGAAACUAAAACUAAAUAACAAUCCAACCAAUCAACUCGAAUGACUUUUAAGGCUUUAGAAUUAUCUCAAAGCUUUGAGACAUUUCACAACUAAAAACUGAUUUUUAUUUAAACAAAAAUAGGGAAAGGGAGACGUGUCAGAUACUAAAAUGUGAGUCUAUUCUUCUCUGUUAAAGUAAAAAGACUAUACGUAAAAGAAAUCUCAAUCCGCUUUUUUGCAUUUAAAAAUCAGAUAUAAAUAAGAAAGGAAGAAAGAAAGAAAGAAAAUCAUUAGUGAAGAAGUUUAAAACAGCUUUCGUCUCUUCUUCGCUCUCUCUAUUAUCCUUCAAAUCUUUCCCCUUUUCUUCCUCCUCCUCCUAAUCGUUUCCAAAGUCAUAAUCAGGUUCCUGCUUCGGGACUCGCUCUUCUUCUUCUUUCUUCCAAUUCUUAUUCUCAAUUGCUGCUUCAUUUGUUCGUUCUUUUCUUUCAUCUUCUUCUUUAGCGCGAUUCAACUUAAGCAUUUUCAGUGGGUUUCGCAAAUUUUCAAUCUUUUUUUGCUUUGAUUGUGUUUCGGUUGGUUUCUUGCUUCGUCACAACUUGAAGAAGCAAAUUGCGAUGUUCUGUUUCUAAUUUGAGAUUCCAUUUAUUCGUUUCUUGUGAGACUCCACCAUGAAAGAUUUUCUUGGAAAAUUCUCAGGCGUACAAGUAUGAGUAACACCGACGACGAUCCUCAGACGAAGCCUGAGACUUCUUCCGACGGAGCUGUCUCGCGAUCAGCUCGGACCUCCUUUCAAGCCGUCUCUGACUGCCUUCGUGCGAUUUCCUCCGGCGCUUCCACCGUCGCUCGCUCCGCCGCUUCCGCCGCCUCUUCCGUCGUUAACCGAGACGCCGACUCUCUUCACGACAAGGUAUAAAAAAAAAGUUGACAACUUUGAUAUAAUGGGUCACGAUAAACUUGCUUUAGGUGCAAGAAUCAUUAGGGUUAGGGUUGAUAGCUUUUAAAGAUUGAACCUUUAGUCUUUGUGUUGCUCUGUUGAGAAAAAGUUUGAUAGCUUUAGGUGCAAGAUUCAUUAGGGUUAGGGUUGAUAGCUCUUAAAAGAUUGGACCUUUAAGCCUUUGUGUUGCUCUGCUGAGAAAAAGUUUGAUAGCUUUAGGUGCAAGAUUCAUUAGGGUUAGGGUUGAUAGGUUUUAAAAGAUUGAACCUUUAAGCCUUUGUGUUGAGAAAAAGUUUGAUAGCUUUAGGUGCAAGAUUCAUUAGGGUUAGGGUUGAUAGCUUUUAAAAGAUUGGAUCUUUAGUCUUUGUGUUGCUCUUUUGAUGCCUCAGGUACUAUGGGCGGGGUUUGAUAAGCUAGAGAGAGAGGAUGGCGACACUCGGAGAGUUCUUCUACUUGCGUUUCGCUCUGGUUUCCAAAUCUGGGACGUUGAAGACACUGGGAACGUCCAUGUCAUUGUCUCUGCUCACGACGGACACGCAGCCUUUAUGCAGAUGCUACCUUACCCGUUAGUCUCCGAGGAGAUAGACGAUGCGUUUGCUGAGAGCCGUCCGCUUCUGGCUGUGUGUGGUGACAGCUCUUGGGUGGAGAUUUUAGAUAUAGAGAGCGCUUCUGAUAACACUGAAAGUGAAACCAUAGUGCCUACGCAUGUGAAUGUCUACUCGUUAAAGUCAAACUCUUAUGUGCAUAAGUUGAAGUUCGAGUCUGUCAUCUACACCAUCAGGUGCAGUUCUCGGAUCGUUGCCGUGCUACAAUCAGAUCAGGUUCGAAGUUUUUUGUCAUAUUGUGUUUGAUUUUGUAUCUCUUCUGAAACUAACAAGUGACUUUUGCAGAUUCAUUGCUUUGAUGCUAAGACGUUGGUGGAGGAAUACAAUAUCCACACUAACUCCAUCGCGUAUGGCUCAUUGGGUGUUGGAUAUGGUCCUCUUGCCGUUGGUCCACGAUGGAUCGCUUAUAGCGGGAGUCGUAUUGAUGAGUCUAGCUCCACGGUUUUCACUUCAGAGCUUCUCCCACUGUCAUCAUCACCCGGUGUUGCACAGUUUGCAAUAGAAUCGAGCAAACAUAUUGUAACUGGGAUAGCGAGGCUUGGAGGCAAAGGGUACAAGUCAUUGUCUAACUUCUGCGCAGAGGGUCUGCCCAAUCCGUAUCUUCCUGGCUUUAAGGGCAUUGGAGGCGGUGCUAGUGAGAAAGCGCAAGACGCUGGUGACAUAGGAAUGGUAAAACUCUCAAAUAUUCCCUCUCAAGUUGUGUUGAGUUUCCAUUGAUACAUAGACUUGGUGGUGUGUGUGUGUGUGUGUGCAGGUUAUAAUCAGUGAUGUUAUAAGCAAAAGCGUGAUAUGUCAGUUUAAGGCACACAAGAAUCCGAUUUCAGCUUUGAGCUUUGAUCCGAGUGGGAUGCUUUUGGUGUCUGCUUCGACUCAGGGCCACAACAUUAACGUGUUCAAGAUAAUGCCGAGAAUCUCUAACACUAGUGAUGCGCCGCCCAUAGAGUGUUUUAUGCAUCUGUUCAGGCUCCAUCGUGGCUAUACUUAUGCGGUAAGCAGAGAGCUCUUCACUUUCCUGUAUUUUAAAAAGUAUUAUUAUUGAUAUUUUUGUUCUUGCAGGUGAUACAAGACAUGAGUUUCAGCAAUGAUAGCAGUUUGAUAGUGGUUAGCUCGUCAAGAGGGACAAGUCAUGUGUUUGAGAUCAAUCCCGAGAGAGAGGCGCAUAUUCCUGUAACUCUGUCACCUGUUAUUAGGAUAAGAAGCCGAGACAUCAGCGGAUGGAUGGGGACAGUGAGCGGUGCUGCAGCUGCGGCGGCUGGAAUGGUUGGAGGAGGAGGAGGAGGCUCUCUUCAGGGUUCAACCACAUCAACUUUCAGCUACUGCGUUGAACAGCAGAAUAAGAACACCCACUAUGGUUCUACUGCUUCUGAUAAUAGUAGCGUAACGAGGAAUCUACUGGUUUUUGCUCCUUCUGGAUGUAUGACACAGUAUGCGUUGAAGGCUGGGGAAGGUGGUGAGGCUUUGGUGAUGACGGGGAUUGAUUCUGAGUCUGGUGCAGAGACUGAAGGACCGGUUGUGAGGAUACGAAGGUGGUACAUGGUCCAAAACCGAUCUAGAAGAGAGAUGCAAGAUCAGCAGAGGGUCGUAUAUGGAGGAGGUGGAGCAACUUCGGGUUCUGGAAGUAACGUGUUUCCGGAGAUUGUUAGAAAGGAGAGUGCUGAGGAGGAACCUUGGAAAGCAAAUAAGAAAGGAAAGGCCCGUCGUGUGGUGGAUAACAACCAUCAGCUGUACGUGUCUCAAACAGAGUUGCGAAUGUAUCAGCCGUCUCACCUACCCUUAUGGGAAUGGGACAAUGUAAAACUUUCCUUCCUCUUCUCUUCUUGUUUUUUUUUAUUAAUGAUGUGUUGUGUGGAUGUGGCUGAGACUGUGUGUUUUGCAACAAAACAGUGUAGGUUUGAGAAGUUGGUAUUGGAUGUGGAUGAAGAGAGUAAUGGGGAGAUGGAGAUUGAAAAAAUCAAAGGUCAAACGAUUGAAGCAAGAACAAGAGGUUCGCAUCCAGUCUGGGGUUGAAGAGGAGGAGAGUUGCAUUAGAAGAAGGAAGGUGAUAUGCUGCUUUUGGUUUUAUUGUUUCUUCACCAUAAACUCAGCUUCAAGUUCAGCGAUAGGACUACAAAAAUAACUGUGGAAAAUUGUAUAGAAAAUUAGAAAAGUUGGCAUACCUUUUAGAUGUAAAUAGCUAGCAGUAUAGUCUUCUUUGGUUACAGGUUGACCCCAUUAUAUUGAUUCAUGAAGUGCAUCUUCUUUGGAUGUAAGCGUAAUAAGAAAAAGAAAAAAAAGAAGGUUUUUGCCAUUUUUGCUGCACCUUUAUAAUGUGUGUGUGUGUGUGUGUUUACAAAGUAAAAAAAACAACAGAAAAGACUGUUACAAAAUGAAUGGAACAGACGCAAACAAGUGUUCCAUUGGGAAGUGAACUUCGGCAGCGCUAUGAGCCAUGGGGACAGGGUUUUCGCUGUUGCUGAUAACGAAAGUCCUUCCAAUCACAGCGCCUGAGAUGGAGACGGUCACGCAAGGGUCGGGUCGCUUGUGAUCUUGGAGGGCUUCUCAUCUUUAGAACUGUUCCUCCUGGUUUAACCCAAAUGUCUAAGUUACCGUGCAGCAGCCUCUACACGUAAAGAUCCGCUGCUGGUGACAAAGGGCACGGACUGCUGGCCGAAACCGUGGCUUGAUCCUCCUCUCAUUGAGAUUAUCAAACACUUGGCGAGCAAUCAAGAUUGAGAUUAAAGAUUGCAGCUUUAAUUAAUUUAAUUUAAUUAAUUAACGAGUGAGUGACGAAGAAGAAGACUUCAACUUUGGUUCGGCUGCUCAUGAUGAUAGUCGUUUUUUGAUUACUACACCAUUAUCUAAGUUAAAUCACAUAAGGAGAGUAAUUAACAAAUUUGGACGUUUUCUAUUAGUGGGAAAGAAAGUUUCUUCGUUGAAAAUUUUAUUUAAUUAUGAACCAUAGUUUUCAAACAGCUACGGAUGGUAUAUAUAUGAUGAAUUCAAAUUAAAUCACUUGUUGUCCGAGCAAAUAUCAUACGGAAAGAAAAGAAAUAUGACUUUAUAAAGAACUAAAAGUUACAUCCAACGGAUGUACUUUGAAAUUGAAUAGAGGUUUGGAAAAUAUCAAAUACCGUGUUGAAAAAGUAACAUAGCUAGACAGUAUGUAAACACAAAACUAUAAUUUUAUUAUAUAUAAAUAAAUAAACUGAAAAACGCCACUGUUUAAUAUUGCAGCGUUACAUUAUUGAUAUGCUAUUCGAUAGAUAAAUAAUUUAGAAUUUUCAUCACCUGUUAAAAAAAGACAAAAUUUUCAUAAAACAAAACAAUAGUUAAACAAAAAUACUUAUAAACCACCAUCAUCGGGCACAACUUGUUGGCGGUUGCCGCCACACCAAAUCCAUCCAAAAUGCCAGAGAACAGCCAAGAUGAUUAAACAGGCCACAAUAGCGGCAGUUAUGAUGUAACCAAUCGAAGCCCCCAUAUUAUUUCUUCAAAAAACCAAAAACUUGUUCUUUCUAACUUUAUUUUUCUUCUUUUAAGUUCAAGAGAGAACUAGCUUUAUAUAUAAAGAUGGUUAACCUUAUUAAAAUAGAAAAAAGUUAGACAUGGAAAAUGAAAAAUUCUAUUUCAAAAAUAAAAGAAAUCUUCUAAAUCUCUUGAAAGUCUUUGGCUUUUUUUUUUAAAGAAAUUUGGUAAAAUAUGUAAAUCAUGCAUAUAUCAUUAAGGAUUAUUAACCAAAAAGAAACUGGAAAUUUUACAUAAGUCAUUCACAAACGUUUGAUGACAUAUUUUUAAGCUAUUUGAUCGAAUAUGUCGUUAAAAAAAAGCAAGGACUACGAAAAUUUGGAAAUUUAACAUUUUAUGGUUCUCUAUAAAAGUAAAGUAUUUUUACUUGUUAUUUUUUCUUUUUCUUGUAUAUAAUGAAUUCAAAUUAAAUCACUCAUGGCCUUAGAAAAUAAUCAUUGUCUUAAAAAUAAAAACUAAUGUACAUAAGACAGAAGUAAAAUUUGAAACUGAAUAGAGGUUUGGUCCUUUUUGGAAACGAAGAGUAACGUGUUUGUAUAAUUUUCUUGACCUAGUGUUCGUAUGUUUAUCAUAGUCAAAAAUUUGUUAGGUUAUGCUUUUGAAUUCAUUUGGCUUGCCUAUCAUAUUAUAAAGUCUUGUGGCUCAUACUGUCCAUCAAGUCCAACUUCCACAAGUGCCUUGUGGAUGGUUUGAUACAUCAUUUGCAUGGUUUUGUGCUGCAAUUAUCAUGAAAAAGAUGUCAGUAUUAAUCGAGAUUACAUCAUUUAGCAAAUAAUGGACAAACUAUUUUACGUGCCAGUAUAGAAUCCUCUGUAUAGGGUUACUUGUUGGAGCACCUUCUGGCCACAUUGGAAUGACAAUGUAAGCAGCAAACUUCCCCCUUGCUCUAAUUUUGUUAGCAAUCUUUAGCGCGAUUUCAAUAGGGAUUAGAUUGUUAUUACAGCAACUAUUGAGUAACUGAACUUUCCCUUAAAAGCUCACAGUUACUUACCCAAGUCCUUGUUUGAAUCCCAGUUGAAUGAUCGAUGAUCCAAGAAAAUAUUGGUUCACAAUGUAGAUGAAAUGCUGAGCAGAUCUUAUGGCCUUAACAUAAGCUGCAUGUAUGCUCAUGUCAAUGAGUAUGUUCUUCCCACACAAAAGAUUCUGACCACAAACAUGUAUAUAUUAGAAGAAGAACCUUCUGAUAGUCCUAUCAAAUGCAGAGUAUCAAAGAGAGAUUAACCAUCAGAUUCAUCAUUGUCCAUCUAGUGUUAAUUAGGUUCAAAGCCGUCAAGGCUCUGUGGUAUCUGUAAUGUAACUCAAUUAUCUGAAUUCAUAGAGCCUUGGAUUGACAAGCAAGAAAAGAUACUGUAAGAAAACAAACUCGAGUUUCCCUAAAAGAAUCAUGUUAUAGAGUCUGUAACUUGUGAAUAUAUUUAAGUGUUGGUAGAUUCCUAUAUACGGCUUGCUUUGGUUACGUUGAUCUCAUUGUCUCAUUCUCUUCAUAUAAUGUAUGUUAACAUGAUCUAACACAUAUAAACUGAGCUUUUAUAUACAAAAUCAUGCAAGAUAUUAGAUUGGAACUUGUACGUUUUCAAGGCUGUAUACCUAGGCCCCGAAGGUAUCCAUAACUAGCAGAAAACUGAAGCGUGCAGAACAGAACUAACCAAGGAAAGGCUAAAGUAGUACUACAAAAAGACCUGCGCUAAAUUUACAAAAUUACUUUGUUUUUGGUGGGGGCGAGAUUGAAUAACUCACGAGAAAUGUGUAGCUGUCUAAAUUAGCGAAGAAAUUAGUCCUCAAAAAGUAAAUUCCGAAGUUGAAGCUCCAAUGUCUUUGUUCAAAGACUUUAUUUAGAGGUAAAGCUAUGUCUUGUAACCACCGAAUAGCUCCUUUUCAUCUACACUCUAUAUAUAUUUUAAAACAUGUGCUAAGUCUCCAAACUUAACCGGCUUAUACCAAACUGAACCCGGUCUACGGUUAAUCAAACAACGUUCUGUUGAGCUUCCGCGGUUAUUUAUGACAUUCCGGUUUAUAAAUCACAAAAAAACGUGAGAUUCAAUGAAUUCGUAUACUUAUAAGUUAAAAGACUACGUAAACCGGACAAAACCGAAGCGUUUCAUGCAAAUACAAAACGAAAAUCACAUCACAUUUUAAACCGUAGUCUUUCUACGUCUAAGUUUCUAACAAACACACAUUACCUUUUCAUCACAUGAAUCAGAUACGAUCUGCCAUUAAUAACCUCAACACAAAGCAAGGUUAGGUAAAUGACGUAGACCCUUUUUCAAUAAUCAUACAAUACAUAACAACGUAAGAUCCUUUUUCGACAUCCAUCUCCUUUCAGACAAAACCACGUUCAGAAAAGAACAGAGACAUAAACAGAAACAGAAACAGAAAGAUGCAGUUACAUAUAUCUCCAAGCUUGAGACAUGUGACGGUCGUCAAAGGGAAAGGACUAAGAGAGUUCAUAAAAGUGAAGGUUGGUUCAAGAAGAUUCUCGUAUCAAAUGAUGUUUUAUUCUCUCCUCUUCUUCACUUUUCUUCUCCGGCUUGUCUUCGUUCUUUCCACCGUUGAUACUAUCGACGGUGCCUCUCCUUGCUCCUCUCUUGGUAACUAGUUCUUGUCCCUUCAUUUAUUUAUUUAUUUUCUAAAUCCAGAUAUUUUAAAUAAUGAACUAUUGAUUUCUUUUUGAAUAAAAACUCUGUUUGUUGCUCAUUUUGUCACAAUUUUUGCUAAUUAAAAUAUGUAAAUGCGAUUUCUGUAAAUCAUUUAUGUAAAAUAUCAAUAUAAUUUUUUUUUUUUUUUUUGAUAAACAGCUUGCUUGGGAAAAAGACUAAAGCCAAAGCUUCUAGGAGGAAGGAUUGAGACUGGUGUAAGUUACUCUAACUUCAAUUUUAGUAUCUACCAUAUUUAAAUUUUGUUAUACUGUUAAAAGUCAAUUUUCUUUGGUUAUUCAUCUAGAAUGUUCCAGAAGCUAUAUACCAAGUUUUGGAACAGCCUCUAAGUGAAGAAGAGCUAAAAGGAAGAUCAGACAUACCACAAACACUUGAAGAUUUCAUGUCUGAAGUCAAAAGAAGCAAAUCAGACGCAAGAGAAUUUGCUCAAAAGCUUAAAGAAAUGGUGACAUUGAUGGAACAGAGAACAAGAACAGCUAAGAUCCAAGAGUAUCUAUACCGACACGUCGCAUCAAGCAGCAUACCAAAACAACUUCACUGUUUAGCUCUUAAACUAGCCAACGAACAUUCCAUAAACGCAGCCGCACGUCUCCAGCUUCCAGAAGCCGAGCUAGUCCCAACCUUGGUCGACAACAACUACUUUCACUUUGUCUUGGCUUCAGACAAUGUACUUGCAGCUUCGGUCGUGGCUAAGUCUCUGGUUCAGAACUCUUUAAGGCCUCAUAAGAUCGUUCUUCACAUUAUAACUGAUAGGAAAACUUAUUUCCCGAUGCAAGCUUGGUUCUCACUUCAUCCUCUGUCUCCAGCAAUCAUUGAGGUCAAGGCUUUGCAUCAUUUUGAUUGGUUAUCGAAAGGUAAAGUUCCGGUUUUGGAAGCUAUGGAGAAGGAUCAGAGAGUGAGGUCUCAGUUCAGAGGCGGAUCAUCGGUCAUUGUCGCUAAUAACAACGAGAAUCCAGUUGUAGUUGCUGCUAAGUUACAAGCUCUUAGCCCUAAAUACAACUCCAUGAUGAAUCACAUCCGUAUUCAUCUACCAGAGGUAAACUUGAUCCGUGUGACAGAGAAGAAUGCUCUGAACAUUAGACUUACAACUUCUUUGUCUUUGCAGUUGUUUCCGAGCUUAAACAAGGUUGUGUUUCUAGACGAUGACGUUGUGAUCCAAACUGAUCUUUCACCACUUUGGGACAUUGACAUGGAUGGGAAAGUUAAUGGAGCAGUGGAGACAUGCAGAGGAGAAGACAAGUUUGUCAUGUCAAAGAAGUUCAAGAGCUAUCUCAAUUUCUCAAACCCAAUAAUAGCCACAAACUUCGACCCAGAGGAAUGCGCUUGGGCUUACGGGAUGAAUGUUUUCGAUCUAGCGGCUUGGAGAAAGACUAACAUAACCUCCACUUACUAUCAUUGGCUCGACGAGGUAAAUCAAAACCACUAACUAGCCACAACAAACACUAUCAAGCACUAGUAGUCAACUUAACUCAGCCCAUUUUUCAUGUAUAUGUUGCAGAACUUAAAGUCAGACCUGAGUUUGUGGCAGCUGGGAACUUUGCCUCCCGGGUUGACAGCUUUCCACGGCCAUGUCCAGACCAUAGAUCCGUUCUGGCAUAUGCUUGGUCUCGGAUACCAAGAGAAAACGAGCUUCUCUGAAGCUGAAAGUGCAGCUGUUGUUCAUUUUAAUGGAAGAGCUAAGCCUUGGCUUGAUAUAGCAUUUCCGCAUCUACGUCCUCUUUGGGCUAAGUAUCUUGAUUCCUCUGAUAGGUUCAUCAAGAGCUGUCACAUUAGAGCAGCAUAAUAAUAAUCACAUAUCAAAACUCAAUUCACCGUUGGCUAAAAGAACCAGAGAAGAGAUUCAGAGAUCAACUCAUAGGAGCAUACUUUUCUGCAAUGGAGUUUUUACUUCACUGGUCAAGUUUCCCUCUUCCAGAUCAUGUUUUUGCAGUCUCUCCUGUUUCUAAUUCUUUUGUACUUCCAAACUCUAAUGGCGAGAAAGUAAUUAAAAAAACAUUCUAUAUAUUAAUGUAAGAACCAUCUGCCAAACUCUACUUAAAUUUACAUGUAAAUAGAUAACAUUGCACCAAGCAAUUGGAGUUUACAGUUGUUCAGCAGAUAACAGUUGUUCAUACGACCAUAACACGAUAAAACGAAAGCAACGAUAAGACUAAGAAAGCCGAGAAAGUGGAGAGCAAAACAAAUGGACUUUUCAUUUCUUUUUUCAGCGGAAGCAAGAAGCAAACCAGUCGAUGAUUUUUUUUCCUCCAAGUUAAGCAACUGGUGGACGAAGGACAUGAUCCUGAGAGGUAUCGACGGAAGCAGGAGGCAUGAACUGCCACAUGGCAACUCCUGGGUAACUGAUGAAUGGCACCAUCUUGUUUCCGGGAGCUUGGCCUUGCGCAGCAGAAGCAAAAGCAGUUGGCAUCAUAGGUGGAGCUGGGAAGAAGCUUGGUUGAGGAGCAUUCAUGGCUUUCAGCUGUUGCUCCAGCUUCUCUUUCUCUGUCUUCAGCCUCUGUUUCUCAUCUCGCAGCUCGUUUUUCUCAGUCUGUUCGAGAUUCACAAGGAAACUAGUAAGCAUGCAUGGUGAAAGUAUGGAUUCCCAGUCGAAGAAAAAUUUCUACCUUUAACUCUUUGAUUUUGUCCUGAAGACCUGAAUUGGUGUCCUUCAACUUCUGAGCUUCGCCGCGUAGCUGUGUCACCAUGCGGACAGCAUCGACCAAGAUUGCAGCCUUGUCUGUUUUGGGAGGGUUUCCAGGCUCCAGAAUUACACUUAAUUCCAUAAACCUGUUAUUCAUUUCAAAAGGCGAUAAACUUCAGUUCCUACAGUAGGGAAGAGAAGGAUAUACAAGUUGAAAAGAUUACUUGUCAUUCAGCCUGUCUCGGCGCUGCUUCUCUCUACAUGCUUUCGAGCUAGUGACAGAGGAUGAUUCACAUCUCGCCCUGCAAAAAAAGAAUUGACCAGGGAUUACUUUUUUUGAUACCUUAUCAACCUAAAAAUAUUCCAAGAAAGCCAAUAAUACAGAUCCACAGAAACAGUUAAAGAAUGAACUGUUUUGCAGAAGUUGCUAGAGUUACGUGGUCUUUUGAAAAAAGGUGCAACAGGUGGAGUUUAUAAGAAGAAGGCUUACCUCUUUUUGGAGCCAGGUUCCUUGCUGGCUUCUGAAUUUCCAGCCGAACCAUCAACUCCCGCGCUGAAUCCAACAAGAACCAAAAAGUUAUAAUUACAAUGCAAACAAUCCAAGGGAACUUACCAUAAAUCCCUCAAACACUCAUUUAUCUAAAAGUGGAAGCUCAAGAACUUACAAAUAUGCUCAUCUUCAAGGAAGAAAAGACGAAUCAUUAAAAAAAAAACAUUGACAUGGUAAGGUCAAACUAGCAACUCAGAUGGAAAGGCACUAUCCACAAAAGGAAUCUAAUUCCCACAAAACAAAGUGAUAGUUAUGAAUCGAUUCCCGAACCAAGAAACAUGUCAGGCACACACGCAAACAAGUUGACUUUGAGAUAAACAAACACCAGAACUCUCCUGAAGACUUAGGGCCUGACUGGUUUAACCGCAGAGGUUGCGGUUGCGGUUGCGGAAGUUUGCGGAUGCGGAUGGUUGCGGUUUCUAGCGGUUUUAAGAGAUUUGUACGACUGGUUAUGCGGUUAGAAAUUUGUGCGUUUGCGGGAUACUUAUGACUGGUUAACUACCAAAUGCAGCAGCAGUUAAAUAAUAAAUUAACAAUAUUUACAUUUUAUACAAUUAUAAAAAUAUCAAAAAUAAUAAUAUUAUAAUAAAUAUAAAAUUUAUAUUUAGAAAGUUAUAGUUUAAAUUUUUUAAAAAUAUAGAAAAUAUUUUUAUUUUAAAGUUUUAUAAUAUUAAUUAAAAUUUAAUUGAUAUAUUUUAGCAUUUUUAUAAUUUCAGUUUAAUUUUUUUAUUGAAUUUUUUUAUUUUUGUAUUUAUAUUGUUUUGGAAAAAAAAUAAUUUUUUUUAUCCUCCCGCAAACGCCCGCAACCGCAAACGCUAGCUGGAACCAGCUUUUGAAUUUAUGAGGUUCAGAGCGAUUUGGAGCGAUUUGGAGCGGUUUAGAGCGGUUUGAGCGAUUGUUGCAAAACGCCAGCAACCGCUACCAACCGCAAAAGCUGCGUUUGCGGGUGGUAGCGGGAAAACCAGUCAUACCCUUAAUGUCAUUAAAACCAACUGCAAGGAUACCUCACCAGCUUAAAGAGUCAACCUUUAAGCUUAAAAUGAAUCUUUCAGAUGACAAAGAAAGUAACAAUAAGAUCUCAGUUUCUUUCUCAACAACCUACUCAAACAAUCCCACAAGCUUAACAACUUAGCCAAUCAAAUUACAAAUUUCAAAUUCCAUAAUUUAACUUUCAUUUCUUCAGAAAACCCCUGAAAAAUAACAUUUUUAGGCCGAAUAUGCCAACUUGUGCGCAAGCAAUUAGGGUUCCCUUUGAUCAAAUUGCACACUCGCAUCACUAUACUGAUUCCUCCCAAAUGAAUCAGAAGCUGGUAAGAUCAGAUCGGAACCCUAAUUGAAUCAGUUAGAGAGAAGAGAAACCUGGAGUUAGAAGAAACGGCAAGAGGUUGGUGAACGGGCCAAGAGAAACCAGGACCUUGGAUGGUGAAGCCUCCAUAGUCCGCAUCGAUCAGGUCGGAUAUCCAAUUAGCGUUUUCGGGUGACACCAUCUCCUCCUCAAAACUCCACCGGUGGAUCGAUUUCUUCCGUUAAAAUUUGAUUGGAGCUGAAGAAAAAGAGAACUGUUGGAGGAGACCAAGUGUGGAAUAAUCCCAGGAGAUUUAGAGUUGUUUUCACGCGCAUUGCUUCUUCUCUUUUGGGCUUUCAAGGCCCAUACAUUUAUAUAACACUCAUAUUUUUGUAUUUUCUUUAUUUUAAUUUAUACUGUAAUUUAUAUUUGUAUAUAGAAAACCAUUGAUAUUCAGAGUACGUUCAUGCCUUGAAUAUUAAAAAUAUAAUUUUUCAUUAGUAUAUUAGUAGAUUAGUGAAAAAAUCAUAUAUAACAUCUUCAUAAAACGGUUCAGUAUAUGAAAAUACAUCUCUUUAAGGCAUAAGUAAAAUUGUUAAAUGUGAAUUUUUAUAAAGUAUGUAGAGUAAUUGGUUUAUAAUUCUCAUACUUUAUUAUAAAUAAAUACAUAUUAAAAUUAUUUUUAUAUAUGUUACUGUUACAUCAUCAUAUAUUUAUUGAAAACAAGAGUUAAAACAAACACCUAACUUGUUUUUGGUUAAAUCAGAAUGUUUGAAACUAAGCUUCCCAAAAUAAUAGCAUUCAAUUGAUAAAAUCUAGUGCUUCCAAAGACAAUGUCAAAAUAGAUAUGCUCGACACAAUUUCAGUUUUGUCAAAUACAAUUAUGCAGUAGAAAUUAGUAAUCAUAGUUCAACAAAAAUGAAUCCUAGGUAUGGACUAUGUGAUGAGCAAUAAACUCUAAACUGUAUUUUUUUUUAAAAAAAAUAGAAGUAUAUUUUUAUGGCGAGCCCAAGUUAUUUUGAAUUAACCCUUAUUUGAAUUUACUAGGUGUUUUUAAAAAUAUAUAAUUAAAUUAUAUUUCGAAAUUUAUAAUGCCAUAUUUGAAUAUAUUUAUUUUAAAGAUGAUUUAUGAGUUAUUCUUAUAUUCUAAAAAAAUUUCCAAAAUAUAAAAUUACAUUAAAUGUAAUAUAUGAGUUAUUACCAUAUUUUAAAAAGUUUACCAAAAAUAUAAAUUAACAUUAAAUGCAAUUGUCCAUGUCAUAUUAAACUAUAAGACAUGUCAUCAAUUUCAGUAGCCAUGUCAUAUUUGUUUUGUAAAAUUGAUUGUACAAAUGACAUGUGGCAAAUUUACUUUGCAAAUAUAAUCUAGGUGAUUUGAAUAGCAUGUGUUUUUCAAUAUAAAUUGUAACAUAUGACAUCUUACAUUCUUAUUUGAUGUGAAAUUAAUUCUCAUCUGAAGAGCAUAUUAUUCUCAAUAGGAAAUGAAUGUGACUUUUUACACAAUUAUUAAAUGAUAUAAGAGUUUUACAGAUCCAUAACUAUAUAUUACUAUUUCUCAGCUGGUUUUAGUUUUAUAUUCGUUUACUAACUAGUGUAUUGUUUUUUUUUUCUCUGCUUAUAUAUAAAUUUAUAAUGAUUUCUGAUCAGGUUGGUUGUAUUUGUACCGAAAUUUAUUCGAGAACAUGCAUGGUGUCGUUUUGUCGUGAUCUAGGAGAGAUCACAUUCUUCUGCUUCCUCGCAUCCAUACAUGGAAGUUCCAUAAGGAAUUAUUCCAAAAUACUACGAAUAUAUACAUAAAUAUAACAUAUAUGUUUUUUUUUACUAAAAGGUAAAUAUCAUAUAAAUGAAAGAAAAUUUACAAGCAUUGUAGAUCUAGAUUAUGUUACAUCCUUGGCAAAAAAGAGAAAAAAUAAGGUUGCAACAAAAUUGUAGAUGAGAAGACUAAUGUCAUCGCAGCCACUUAGCCAUAAGGGUGAGGAAUUGUUUCCUACCCCUCCUUGCUGUUAUGGUGUUGCGCAUUUCCCUGUCGAUGAGCUUGAAUAUGGCGGUGGGUGGCAGGACAAGGUGGUUGUGCAACACAUUGUUUCUUUGUUUUCAAAGAUGGUAGAUAAUAUAACAUAUAUGUUAGUCCGGCGUUAUCUUAAGUUAUAUAGAGUUGCUCUGAAUGUAAAAUUUCAAACGAGGUUCAACAAGCAAACACUCCAACGAUGUAACAUGGUGUUUUUACGUAUUGGUUUCAUUGAUAAGUACAGUACAUAACAUAUUCUAGACACAUACAUGAUACAUGAAUAUCAGUAGCAAUUUUUAUGUCCUUUUACAAAAAAAAAAAGUAAAUAUUUUUUCUUGCUUUAAGAUAACAUUGGUAUUUAACUAUUCAACUAGCAUUGCAAAUAUAAAUAUAUUUGUUAGUGUCAAAAUUUUUAAAAUGUAAAUAUAAGAUUCCCAUGACAUCUCAGGUUCAUAUAAAAACUGCUAUAUAGAGGGAUAAAUUAUAAUAGCACCUCUUCUGUUUUAUUUAUAACAAAACUAGUUAAUUCUUAAAUUAUAGCUGUAUAACAACGAAUAAUAGCAUUUUUCAAAAAAAAGAAACGAAUAAUAGCAUCCUGAGCUUUUCGCAUUCGAUAAAAUUUUGCAUAAAUGUAUCACGUAGAAGUCAACUUAUUUUCUUCGGAAAAGCUAAAUUGAUAAAUAGACUUAUCAACUACUGCUCAGGGGAUAUCCAUAGAGACCGUGGGUAUAUCCUCUUAAUAUAUUAUACUAAUCUAUUAGCAAAUUUCUAUCAUGUUUUUUAUAUGUCAUCGUCCUUCUUGUCUUGAUAUCUUUUAUAUAUAGUACAUACACAAAUGUAAUCAUAUACAAAGUAAUUACAGGGGAGAUGAUCCUCUUCUUCUUAUUAUAAGCUUCCACUACUAUUAUUUGAAGAAUCACAAAAAAACUAUUCCAACUACAUUUAGUUUGAUUAAAUAAUUUAUGCAAAGGUGACGUUAUAUACCAACUUGAGUAUCUUAUCUAUGAUAAACUUUCAAUAUUCUGAAUCAAAUGUAAUAUCAUAUGAGUGUUCUAUAUAUUUUAGAGUUUGACUUAUUCCGUUACCAAGUUCCGUGGAACGGUGGAAGCAUGAAUUGUGCCACUAGUGCUCCAGAUGUUUCUUAGUUUACCUUAUCCACUAAUAGGAAUUCAAGAGCAGUUGACUAUAUAAAUCAUACAAAUAAUUUAUGUACUUUCUAGGCAACAUUCAUUCUUUAUAUUCUCAUUAUAUCUGUAAUUUGUAAAGUUUGAUUUGAUUUGGUAUCCUUUUCUAUUCAGUCAAAAAUUUUGGAUAUGUGUAACUUUAUGGAGAAAAAUAACUAAUAAUUUGUUAUAUUUAUAAAAAAAAUCACAAAUAUUAAUAUUUUUAAAGUGAAUUUUCAUUUUGACAUGUUAUAUGCAUAUGUAUGUAAAUUUUUUAUAUAGAAAUUACAAUUAUUAUAUUUUAAUGUAUUUUAAUUAUUACAUUUUAAUGUAAAUUUUUAUAAUAUUAUCAUUUAUUAAAUUGAUUAUAUAUUACAAGAUUAUUCUAAAAGUAAUUAAAAUAUUGUUAUUUUAUAUUAAUCUGGAUUUAAAAUAAUAAUUUUAUUUAUCAAAUCAGAUGUUCAGUCAAAAUAUAUAUUUUCAGAUAUUAGGAGACUACAUAAUUGGAUGGUGGAAUAGUUGCGGAGCGGAUACAGACUAAUUAGCCCAGAUAAACCUUACCACUCCAUAUUAACAUUCAUGGAUAGACACGAAGGGUUCAAAUGGUCGUAUAAGAAAUUAAGGAGAAUAGUCAAUUUCUGAUCAUUCUUUAAAAAUUAUACUAUUUAUGAGAAAUUUUUUAUGUGUUUAGUUCCUUGUCAUUUCUUGAAUUUUAAGGAAUUAUAGAAAAAAAUAUUUUUUAUCAAAAUUGAUGUGGAACAAAAAGAAUAAAUAUUUAUUUUCAUUUUUUUAUUUUGUUCCUAUUCAUUUAUUUCUUACUCAUUCAUGUUUUUAUUUUAAUGGUCACCGGUUAGUGUUGUAGUAAAUUUUCGAAUUUAUAGAGAUAUUUUUUGUUUUGUUUAUAAAAUAAGAAAUACGACGGUGGAACAUUGAAAUACUAUACAUGUAUGCUGUGUUUUGUGUGAUAAUAAUGGUAUUCUAAUUACUAAAUGUUAAAUUAUUGGUAUCACAUUUUUUUUUUGUAAAAAGCAUUAUUUAUCAUGGUUUUUUUUUGUCAAUGGUAUAGACACAUGCAACGUCACUAAAAACGGUACAUUUCCAUGCAUGACUUAAAAUAGUUUGGUAAGUUUCUUUUCAACAGGAAAGUAUACUAAUAUCAACUGUCAAUUUUGAGAUCAUAGAGUAUGAUCCUAUCACUAUCAAUUUUUCCCUUUUCUCAAAAAAAAAUCGCACACGAAUACCACAAACUGUACAAAUCGAAAUGAACCUAUUGAUAAUACAAGUUGAAUUGAUUGUAAUGAGAGCCGUGCUAAAGUUGGUGAACGCCAUAACCAAGUUCUGACAAAAAUACGAACAAGUAAACAUUGUAAUCUAAAGUAAGAGUAUAAAAUUGAUGUUUCACAACUUUUAGUUCAGAACAACCAUAAUCAUUAGUCUCGAUUUUUUGAUCAAAUAUUAACAUUAGACUUUUACACCAGGUUAAUUGAUCAAUAACAAAGAGAAAUUAAUAUUUUGAACCCCAGAAAAAAAAAUUGAAUCCAAACACAAGCUAAACCAAACAACAUGUAUAUAAAAAUGCUAAACCAAACUAUACAGAUUACAACCAAAAGGUCUUUGUGUUUUCCCGUUAGAAUCAUCUCAUCCUUCCAUCCAAAAGUACACACAUUCAUGUAAUUAACUUAAGAGAAUGAUAUGCCUUCAAAACCUUACCACUCCAUAUUAACAUUCAUGGAUAGACACGAAGGGUUCAAAUGGUCGUAUAAGAAAUUAAGGAGAAUAGUCAAUUUCUGAUCAUUCUUUAAAAAUUAUACUAUUUAUGAGAAAUUUUUUAUGUGUUUAGUUCCUUGUCAUUUCUUGAAUUUUAAGGAAUUAUAGAAAAAAAUAUUUUUUAUCAAAAUUGAUGUGGAACAAAAAGAAUAAAUAUUUAUUUUCAUUUUUUUAUUUUGUUCCUAUUCAUUUAUUUCUUACUCAUUCAUGUUUUUAUUUUAAUGGUCACCGGUUAGUGUUGUAGUAAAUUUUCGAAUUUAUAGAGAUAUUUUUUGUUUUGUUUAUAAAAUAAGAAAUACGACGGUGGAACAUUGAAAUACUAUACAUGUAUGCUGUGUUUUGUGUGAUAAUAAUGGUAUUCUAAUUACUAAAUGUUAAAUUAUUGGUAUCACAUUUUUUUUUUGUAAAAAGCAUUAUUUAUCAUGGUUUUUUUUUGUCAAUGGUAUAGACACAUGCAACGUCACUAAAAACGGUACAUUUCCAUGCAUGACUUAAAAUAGUUUGGUAAGUUUCUUUUCAACAGGAAAGUAUACUAAUAUCAACUGUCAAUUUUGAGAUCAUAGAGUAUGAUCCUAUCACUAUCAAUUUUUCCCUUUUCUCAAAAAAAAAUCGCACACGAAUACCACAAACUGUACAAAUCGAAAUGAACCUAUUGAUAAUACAAGUUGAAUUGAUUGUAAUGAGAGCCGUGCUAAAGUUGGUGAACGCCAUAACCAAGUUCUGACAAAAAUACGAACAAGUAAACAUUGUAAUCUAAAGUAAGAGUAUAAAAUUGAUGUUUCACAACUUUUAGUUCAGAACAACCAUAAUCAUUAGUCUCGAUUUUUUGAUCAAAUAUUAACAUUAGACUUUUACACCAGGUUAAUUGAUCAAUAACAAAGAGAAAUUAAUAUUUUGAACCCCAGAAAAAAAAAUUGAAUCCAAACACAAGCUAAACCAAACAACAUGUAUAUAAAAAUGCUAAACCAAACUAUACAGAUUACAACCAAAAGGUCUUUGUGUUUUCCCGUUAGAAUCAUCUCAUCCUUCCAUCCAAAAGUACACACAUUCAUGUAAUUAACUUAAGAGAAUGAUAUGCCUUCAACUUCACACAUCUUUCUGUUUCUCUCAUCCAAGACUCAAACGAUCCAAUGGUUUAAUGAUGUUAGUCUGCCUACGCGGAGUUCCAAUCUCACAAGCAUUCACUCUCGCUGCGAAUCUCAGAGAGCAGAGAGACUCACCGGUUGAAGAAGAUUCAGGCGCAAUGUUUACAAACAUCAGAGUCUUUGAGUCACCGCCUAAGCAAGGCUGAAUCAUUACAAACGAAAACAUAGUUUCAUCAUGAGAAGAAACAUAAUCUUUUGAUAAUAUGUGUGUUUUGUAAAGUAGUAAGUACCUGGAGAAGAUAAGUCAGCUUCGAGUUACGGAAUGGAACAUGAUCAUCUUUCUUUGCUAAGGCGAAGAUGACAUCACCAAGAGACGACAAGCUUUUGUUGAUUGCCUAAAAAAAGAAAUGUUUUCUAAGCUACAAUUGCAAUUAAAAGGCUUAAAUUGUGUUUUUAUGUUUUUUGAAGAGAGCUUACUUGAGUUUCUUUAAGUCUAUCUCCGGUUGAUCCACUCUUGGACAAACGCUCACUCCCUGCAAGAUCAAUCAGGUUCAAGACCCCUUGAACUUGCUGCUCAGUGCUCUUUAAGAAGAAGAACACAAAAAAAAACAGUUUGGUUUAUUACACAGAACAGAAGUCAAUCUCUACAAGAAAAAGAACCAGUUUGGUUAAUAGAUACCUCGUUGACACCUGAGAUUCUUAACGUGAAAACGAAAUGGCUUCUUGAAGACUGCUCGUUCAUCUGAGUCUUCCCCACCGAUCUAAAAGAAAAAGAAAAGAAAACCAACGUUUAUAAAACCAUAACCCAUCUGUUAAUGGGUUUUUCACUUUUAGCUGUUCACCUGUUACGAGCAGCGUGAUCCAAGAGGAAUGAAACCUCUCUGGAGCUUUUAACAUCCAAGAUAGUAAGCUCAGCGACAUGUGUGUUCCCAUGAGCAUCAUGUUUAAUAGCAUGUUUCUGUGGAGAUACACCAUUGUCUGUUCGCACUGCUUCUUUGUUUGUCGACAAGAGAUCUCUGAUCGUUUCAUUGUAAAUCUCCAACAUAGAAACCUAUGCACAUGAUACAAGACUAGGUAAAGUUACAUAUCAAUUCUAACCACAAGGAUGUAUCUUGCUUAGUGCUACUUACCUGCAAUUCGUACUUCCAACCUUGAGAUCUAAGAGACUGCCUCGUUUCGAAUAUUUGCUCCAAACAUCUUGGGAUCAGACCUUUCUCCUCAGCAUUCCCUGGCUUACCCAUCAUUGUGUAAGUCUUACCCGAACCGGUUUGUCCAUAUGCAAAAAUGCACACCUGCAAAAUGAAUUAGUAUCAGCUUAAUGCAACAAACAGACCAAUUGGUCUAGUGGUAAGGAGUGUCUAGUAGGCACUCCGCCACUAGGUUUCAAUACUUACAUUGCUUGGGUUUCCGGCAAAGAGGUGAAACCACUUUUUUUUCUUAGCAAAAAAAAAUGCAACAAAAAGAAUAUUAGUUUCCAUUUUCAUUACCUUGUAACCAUCGAGAGCACUUUGAACAAGUUGAGAGAUCUCUAUGAAAACGUCUUCUUGUGUUGUAUUAGGCAGACACACCUUAUCAAAUGUGAACGAAUGCUUUUGCGCUGUCCAUAGCCGAAAACACACAACAACAAAUGUUUAAAAUAAAAAAAAACUGUGUCAUUUCCGUAAGAGCCAGAGUUUUAUAUUUAGUUUCAUACCAUUUUGCAUCAAGUCAAUACCGCGACCAAGUAGUUCUAGAGAUGCAGGGUAAGAAAUGGUCUUCCCCUCAUCACCGUUGUUCUCUCCUGGUAAUAGAGGUCUAACUCUACAGAACACACGUAUGUUCCCUUUCAGUUCCUGCAAGAUGAAACAAAAAAAACAAUGAUCAGACAAAAGCUUACACAAAUGGUGGCAGAGGUUACUUAAAGAGGAUCAUACAAGAAUAGUAUUGUGUAGCUUCUUCCUUAGUUUCUCUCCUUCAACGAGUUUAAGCUCUGCUUCUUCCACGCGGCUUUUGAGAUCGAUAAUGGUUUGCUUCUGGUCUUCAAACUCGUUCAUUUUCUCAAAUGUAGUUAGAUCAGACAUCUAAUAAACCAUCAACAAAUAAAAAAUGGUAUCAGAAAACUUGGAAAAAAUAUAAUGCAGCCACUUGAGAAAUGUGAUGAAACCUGAAGUCUCCUAUCACAAGAUACUAGUCGGUCUUGCAACUCCUGUAUCUGGUUACUCUGGGAAGAACAAGUGGUCUGCACCAAAAAUUUACCAUCAUCUUAGUAGAAAACAUUCGGCAGUAGAUCUUGGUAAGAAAAUAUGAAAGGAUAUCAAAACCUCAAGCUCAGUUAUAGUGUCUUUGAAAUCAUUGUACUUGUUUGCUUCUGUUUGUAAGGUUUUUAACUCCGUUAAAUGGUGAUCACGUUCAUCUUUAGCCUGCUGAAGCUCCACCUUGAGGCUCGCAAUUUCGUUUACCAGUUCAGCUUUCUGCUUCAUUAUAUCAUCUUGAGAGGCCUAGCAAACAGAAAAACAAGACACACAGUCAUAUUCUGAUGACUAGUAACAUAUAUAUAUUCCAAAAGUAAGAUUUUCUAGAUUUUUUUUUUUUGUUGUAUAAAGAUAUAUUUAUAAUUUUAAUGUACUUUUAUUAAUUGAUGUUAAUGAAUUGUAUGCUUCUAAUGAACACUAACUGCCAAUAUUUCAACUGAGUAAAUCUUAUUGGUUUACUGUUACUGGAAACUGCUAGUAUAUAUAAAUCAUAUAGUAAUUAUAAACAUUUGUUACAUUUUAAUAUGCUUGAAAACUGUAGUGUCUUUCUUUUAUGAACGGAAGGAGUCCUAUCUAUUGGUCGAAUUAAAAUAGAGAGUAUGAAACACCUUAGAAGCAGCAAGCUGAUCCUGCAAUGCUGAGAAUUGACCCUUCAAGUUGCCAAUGUUCUCAACUAUCUCAGUCCUUUCUUUCUCGCCGCGUUUUAUAGUUUCAUGAGCUUCAUCAAGAUCACCUUGUAGCUUGCUGUUAUACAGCUGCAAGCUUGAGUUAUACUCUUGCAACAGUUUGUACAUGUCAUUCACAGAUUGUAUCUGAACAAAACCCCACAAAAAAAUGUCAUUAGGUGACAUCAUUUUUAACAUUUCAGAUCUUCUUUUUUUUAGUUUCCUCACCCUUUGAUUAGCAGUUUGAAGCUCUCCUUGUGCUUUUCCUAGCUCUUCUGUGAGUCCAGACUGUGCCUUUUCAACAGCAUGUCUUGCUUCUUUCUCUUUUACAAGAGAAUCAUUUGCAGCCUAAAAGCAAAUUAAAACAUCAGACAACAAGUGUUUAAUUUUUAACUAGAGACUAGCAGCUGUCUUACCAACUUCUCUGUCUGUUCCUUGGCAAGUUGAAUUUGAGCAGAUUCAAAAUUCUUCCUCAGUUCCUCAAUGAUCAUAUUCAGCUCCUCUUCUUUGUUUUUCAAGCUAGCCUCUGUCAUCAAAUUGCAAUAAUUUUGAAGUUUCAAUCCCAAAACUUCAACAAACUAAAAUCUAAUUUUUAAAACGCACCCAUAUCAGCACAAUGCUUCUCAUUCAAUACCAAAGCGUUCUUCAACUUCUCUUGCUCAAAAGCGUAGUCCAACUCCAGUUCUUGAAACCAUCUAAUGCAAAGUCUAAGUCUUUUUAUAUAUUCCAUCAUGUUCUCACAUCUCUCCUGCAAAACCAACCACCAAACCAAGGAGAAAAUUCAAAAUUCUCAGACCAAAAAUGGUCAAACACAUAAACAAAAAGUCUUUAAUGCUCAUAUCAAACAGACAAAAAACUAUUUUGUCCCCACAAGUUGUCUUAUAACAUUUCAAAUCUUCUUCAACACCCAACAGAUCCAAUGAGAAAAGCUAGUAAAUCAAACUGAAAAUUAAAGCAGAUCAUAAAACAAAGUCUUCAAUGCUAAUGCCAACUAAAGGUCCCACAAAAUGUCUUAUAACAAUCAAAUCUUCUUCAAAAUGAACCAACAAGAAAAGCCAGUAAAACUAUUUAAAACUCAAAACUUCUUUAAUCAAGAUUUAGUAACUUAAACUCUUUGGUAUUAAGAAUCCUAAUUGAUAUGCUUAUCCAUGACCACAACACAAUCAAAUUCAAACAUAAGUCAUAAUACCAAACACCUAAAAGAAAAAAAAAGAAAGAAAUAUUCAGUGAGCGUGCAAACAAAAGAAGAAACCUUGUAGUUGAACUUGCUCUUGUACUUGAUUCGCUCAUUAAGAAGAGCUUCAACGUCUUCUCUUGUGAACUCAACCUGACCACAUUCAGAUCCCGCCGUGCUCACCGGAGCACUGUCCGGCGUCAGAUCUUUAGACCCAUUCGCCACCGGAAAAGCUGACCGGAUUCUUCCAUUGCUUGCCAUCGUCCCCACCAUAACAGAGGAAGACUUGUUCUCUCUUCUUGUUAAUUAACUACUUCUCAAGUCUCUCUCUUUUCUACCAAUCAAAGUAUAAACCUGCAACAAAGGGUAGAGAUCUUUAGACUUAAAUGUAAAUGAUAAAUUGAGUAAAAAGAUUUAAAUGAAGGAAAAGGAAGGAAACCCGUGAAGAUGGUGUAACUAAACCAUUGAUUUGAACGAGAAACAGAGCAUUUUGAGGAUAAAGAUUGAGACUUUAAGGGAGAAGGAUGAAAAGUAAAGAAACCCACUGAUCUUAAAGAAUGGAUGUGGAAGACAUGUUCAGAUUUGUGAGAGCUGUUGAGAGUGGAGGAACACGAAAUAUUGAAAAGAGAGGAUCUUUGAGCAUUUAAGAAGGUCUUUGUAAUAAAGGAUUUGGGUUUAGAAAUGGAGGCACGUUUCAGUUCUGUUCUUCUGGUCUCUUCUUGCUGCUGCUGUGGCAACUUGUUUUCUAUAUUUGUUGGUUUGAAUGUUCAAAGAGAGAGAGGUGAGAGAGAUGAACGUGGGGCCGUUGAUUGGAUCUGAAGUCACCCGAGGUGAUGCAAUCACAGCCGUUGCUUUGUUAAGCAGCAAACAGAUGGACCAAAGGGCAGUGUGGGUAAGGUAAGUGGACUUGAUUAUGACUUUAAUCCAUACAUCCAAAUAAUUAGUUAAUCUAUAUUAGUAACACAGAAAACGUAACAUUCCUCAAGAUCAGGAUUUUAUGUCAAGAAAAAAAAUAAACAAUAGUUUGCAAAAUAUUCAUUAUGAAAAAUAUUUUCUAAAUUGUAAAAAUGAUUCAUCUAGGAUUUUUUCUUCAGUUAAAAAUUAGUUUACACAAGUGUUUAUUUGUAUUUUCUUUCCAAACAGAUUUUUAAAAAUAUUUUUAAAAUAUGUAUCUAAUAAAUAGAACACACAAGUAAAAACCAUAUUCAUAAUAAAGGUUAAGUGAUAUAUAUAUAUAUAUAUAUAUAUCAAAUUUUUGUAAGUUAUUUUAAAUAUCAUUAUUUAUGUUUAAAUUUCAAAAUUAAGAAUUUUAUAUUAUGUUGUAAUUUAAUACUCCAUCUUUUUUUAUUUGGCAUUGUAGACUUGUACACACAAAUUAAAAAAAUAUUUAAUUUUGUAUAUUUCAUAUACAAAAACAUCAUGAACUAUACACUUAACCAUAGUUCAACCAAUUAGAAAAAUAAACUACAUAAUAUAAAGAGUCAUAUAACAUGUAAAGUUAAUAGAUUUUGUAUUAAAUUUUAAAAUGUCAUUUACUUUGAAAUAUUAAAAAAUUUCUAAAACGUUAUUUAUUUAUUUUCUUAAAGGAAAAAUCAGUUAUUAAAAAUGAAGAGAAUAUUGUUUAGUACACAUUUUGAUAUUUAAGAGAAAGGAAAAAACUCAAAAUGAGUCAAAGCCCAAAAAUUUAGAUGGAAUCUUCUUGUUUGGUUUUAAUUUUUAAACAAGAUGUAAAAUACGUUACCAUAUGCUGUCUCGGUAAUCUCACAUAUUUAAAACGAUUUAAGAACAAAAAUUAAGAAAAGCUAACAAUAACGUGUCGGCAAAAUGUGAUAUGUCAACAUUUUUAGACAAUAGAUUCCUUUCAGGAAAAAUGGAUAUUUUAUUUUACCGAAAUUACCCUUAGCAUCGUUUCAAAUUGCUAAAAGUAGUCACGUUUCUGGUUUGAAAAGGUAUGGGCUAAAAUUGUCCGAAUGAAAAAUUGUCUUUUGUCGUAUAGUUCUUUAGAUUCUGUCUCGAACCCUGACGGGAUGUCAAAUUUCAUGUGAAACUCUUAUGGUCCGAGGGGUCCGAGGAGCAAGCUCUAUUGGCAGUUGAAAUAUCGUCGUUGAUGAGGUUAUGAAAUUGACGUAAUUGAAUACUCUUAAGCAUUGAAUUAAAACGACAUUUUAUGGUAAGAUCAUAUUACUAUAGCUUUGGGGGUUCAAAAAAGGUAAAUUGUAUGAUGUCAAGAAAAGAGGGUAAAAUGUAUAUCAUUUUAUAUAUCAGCAAUUCAAAAUAAAUAAAUAAAUGUUGCUUUUUUGGUUAGUUAAUGGUUGACAAAGAAUCAUUUAGUGCAUUCGAGACUCACUAUAAUCAUUUUUAACUUUAUACACUCUAGUUACAUUCUUAAAGUUAGCAAUUAUUUUGUCUGUUUAGCACCAUAGUGUUGCAAACUUUUUUAUUCACCUUUUACAAUUUGAAGCCAUUAUGUAACUAAUUUUUUGAUAAUUGAGAUGGGUUUUGAACUUUGCGCAUUUUAUACGGAUAUUAAAAUGAAAAAAUAUAUGUACCUGGAUAACGCACACAAUGAUAGGGAUGAGUUCGUAUAGCCAUUCGGGUUCGGAUCGGAUAUAAAACCCGUUUGGAUUUUUCAGACCGGGUUCGGGUAUUUUUAGUUCGACUUUGGUUAUUUUGGGUCGGAUUCAGAUAUUUUAGAGUUUGAAAGAAAAAAUUAAAAUUUUCAUUUUUAAGUUUUUUGUAUUUAAAAAUAUAACUUUCACCUAACUGAUUUUUUUAUCUUUAAUAAAUUGAAUGAUUAAUAGAUUUAGAGAUAACAUUUCAAAAAUAAAAAAACAAUAUUUUUAAAUUUUGGAUGUAACUUUUGUUAAUACAUGAAAUAUAAAGUUUGACAUGCAUUUUAGGUAAGUAUCAAAUCAUUUUGUCCGUAAUUAUAUGUAAAUUAUAUGAUUUUAAAGUAUAUGUAACAUCAAUAUAAAAUAUUUUAAAUAAAAUAAGAGAUGUAAACUAAAAAUAUAAGGUUGAGUAUACACAUGUUCGGAUAUCUAUUCGGGUUCGGAUAUUACCGUUCAGAUUCAAAUAUCUAAUAUUUUCUAAAUCAAUAUCCGCUUAGGUAUUUUACUAUUUCCAUUUGGUUUUUAGUUCGAGUUUUUUGGAUCAGGUUCGGAUACAGGUUCGGUAUCGGAUAAAAUGUCCAGGUCUGCAUACUGAUACUACUUCAUGCAAAGGUGAUUAAUAGGGUGAUGCAAGGAUCUCGCCAAAUCUGAAAUAGUCAAACUGUAUCCUGUAAAUUACAAUAAACUAAUAUAAUUAAAUGUAUUAGAUUGCGUUUUUCUAUUAAAAUCGUGGCUUCGAAUGUCAAGUUGAAAUGGUCUGGAAAUCCAAGUUUGCUAACUGGUAUAAUAUCUUAAUAUAAAAUGCGUUUCGUUGUGAACAAAAGAAAUGCGUUUCGUAGUUAUAUUUAUAAUUUUAAUGAUUUGUGGUCUGCAUGUAGUUUGUAUUUGGAAUUUUGUUGUUCCAGGAAAUGGUCUACAGAUUUUUUAUAAUAAUUAAAAUACUAAUUUGAUUCCUGGUUCCUGGUCGUAAUAUGUUUUAAUCUCAUUUACAUUUAAUCGUAUUUUCUCCUUAGUUUAAGAAUUUGUUUCAUAUAAUUUAUUUCUUUGCGUCAAAUGGGUGCCAAGUAUAUUUUCCCUUUUUCUUUACAACUUUAUUAUAACGUGAAUUUGUUCAUACUUCAGUGUUAAGCCAUGAUUUUGUACUCCCACUCAUCUAAUUGAAUCAAAUUAUAUACUAAGUAUUAUAUCUUCAGAAUCUAAAAUAAACCAUGUAUAACAUGAAAUCGUGAUAUAUAGUUAUAGACAGUCAUUUGAAAUUGUCAGAAAAUGGAUUUUAAAAAAAGCUCUCAGAAAACUAAAAUCCGUCAUUUGAAAUUCUUAUCUUAUAUAUUAAAACAGAAGUCACAAUCUUCAUUCAUGUGUGAUUUUUUUUAAAAUGGACCUAAUGGAUCUAUUCAUAGAAAUUCAUACUAUAUUUUAAUUCAGACUAAUAAUAAAUAUAAUUUUAAAAAUAUUUUAAUCAUAGUAUCUUUUGAUAUCUUUUCAUUUUAAAUAUAAAUAUAUUUAUUUUAAAAUUCUAACAAAUCUGUUUAAGAAGAUUUUUACAAGAUCUUCAUUUUUGAAGUAUUUAAAUAUUUUCACUAAUUUCAAAAUUAGUUUAAAAUAUUAUUAUACAUUAAUAUAUUCAGUUAUAUAAAAUGAAAAAUAAAAAAUCUAUAAUAUUUUAGUUAUUAUAUAAUCAUAAUCAAUCAUAUUAAAUUAAAAUUAUUAUAUUGAUCUAAAUAUAAUAAAAUUGUAUUAAAUUUAUAUAUUUAUAUAUUUUAUUUUCGUAAUUAUAAAAUAUUUAUGUUCAAAAAUAAAAUCUAAUAUGUUGGUAAGAUGGGUUAACAUUAUCAAACUAUAUAAUACAUGUAUAAAAAUUAACAUGUAUUUCUUUAAAGUUAAUAAUAUGAAUAUAUUAAUUUGCUUAAUAACUAAAUGCAAAUACAAUAAGAUAAAUAUAUAAUAAGAAGUGGCAAAUACAUAAGGUUUAAACAAUUAAUUAAUUAUAACAUGUAAAUUAUAAAAUUAUUGUAUUUGAAAUAGUUAUAUAAAUAUUUAAGUAUAUGAUUAACAUUAAAAAUAUAUACCACUUAUGUUCUAAAACAAUAAUUUAUGUAUAGAAAAGUGAAAACAAACACCCGUGCGGUUGCACGGGUCAAAAUCUAGUAUACAUUUAAACUAUUAAAUCCAAAAUAUAUGUCUAGACGUUUAUAUGGACAAACGGCAAGAUAAUGAUAUUUAUUCAGAAACUUGUUUUUAUUUUUGUUCGUGUACAGUUUUCUAUAUUAAAAUAGAAGUUAAGGAAGUGCACCAAACACUUCACAUGAAGAAAGGGUUGUUGCCAAAUCUUUUUUCAAUUUAUGGUCGAGAGCUCCAAAGUUUUCAUCGAAAGUCAUUUUCUCACAUCAAACCUAGACCUACUUCUUCGGUUAAAAACUUAGUCUAGUACUGUUCUGUUAUAUACUUAACUUGUUCCAUUAACGCACUAUGUCAUACUUUUUAAUAUAUGUAAUAGUAAUCACUCUUAUUUCAUUUUCUCCUAAUCGGUAUAUCGACCUCCCGCAUCUAUUAUAGAGUAGAAAAGUAACUACUGGAUCGUUGCGUUGGAAUGUAAGAGGGAAUUGCUAAGAUGGUGAAAAAUGUAUAUCAUGGGAAGAAUGUUCAGAUCUGAGAUGGAUUGUACUACUUUACAUUUAGUUUCUCUAUAAUCGUAAUUGAGUGUUUUCUUGAGUCUAGUUCCAUUCUCCAUAUGCCUAAACAGUCCACACUUUGAUCUAGAUUCAGUGACUUACUAUACUUGUUGCAGUUGUCCGUGUGUAUACGUGGAAAGAUAUUCGUCGAACAUAUCAAGCAAAAAGUAAUAAUAAUCGACAACCGUGAUAAAGCUGACAUUUAAUACUAAUAAAAAUGAAGAUCUACUACAUACCUCUACAAGUAGUUAUUGAUAUGAGACAACAAUUCGUUUGGAUUUUGGUUUUAUGCUCAACAGAGAAUGAAAAUGCCGAUGGAUAUUUGAAUUUAGUCACAAUUUUGUGGAAACAAGGGACUCAAUACUUUAUAAGAAUUGCUUAUAUUGGUGAUGAGUAAUGUCUACUACGUGUAACUUAAUUAAAUUUGCAAAUAGUUUUUUUCAACAGAUUUUCAAUAUAUCUAGUGAGAAAAUAGAAUCCAAUGCAUCAAUGUUGCCUGACCUAAAGACGCAUGUAGUUUGAGACAUACGUAAUUCCAGUAUGUUUGCGUCAAUUUGGUUACGUUGGUGAUUGAGUAUUCUACCUAUUAAGAAUGGUUCCUAAACCUAAUCAUAAUCUUAUUUUUGUUGUUGUUUUGGGUACAUUGAUUCAACGACCACAAACGUGAGUAAACUCAAUUUACCAAACCAAACCAAACUAAAACCGAACCGAACCAAAUUAAUUUGAAUUGACUUUUGUUAAUUUUUUCUUAGACCCACAUAACUCAAACCAAACCAAACUCAAACCAAGCCCGUAGCUAAACCGAAAUGCCCACCACCCCUAGUACGUACUAGAUUCAAUGACCACAAACGUGAGUAAACUCAAUUUGCCAUAUGUUUUGAUAUUCGCUGACCAUUUUCACCGGUUCCAAGAAACAUUGUGUUUACUGUCUCUGUCUGUAAGUAGAAGUACAAGUACGCUGAUACUGAAAUCAGGAGUUAGGAUAUAAAAGAUUAUACGCUUUCAUUAGAAACUAAGCUUACUUCUGGUUGGGUUUAUAUAUUUGUGUGUUAAUAAUAUGUGUUAUCUUUGAGGUAUUAGACUAGGCUCAGUUUGGGCUUAAAUGUUUUUCCAACUUGGGCAUGUUAAUUCCGGUAAAUACCUUCUCAUUUGAUAAAUAAUUCGCAUGCCAUUUAGGCAUUUAGGGUCCCUUAAUAAUACCCAAAAACAUGCAUCUAGCGCACUUUCACCGUAUGCAAUAAAAAAUUACUCCAGUAACAUGUGUAAUCUAUACUAUACUAAAAGGGAGAUAUAAACCCCUCUUAGAGUGUCCACAUCAGCAUAUAUAAUCAUCCAAUCAGAGAGCCCGAAGUUGCCACGUCAUCUCAUUUAUUUUUUCGUAAAAAAUGAAAAAAAAAUUUAAAGGACAGGAUCGAACCCGGGUUAGUAUGACAUAAAUAUAGAGCAUAUACCGCUAAGCCAUUGAAACUUUCUUGAACACAUAUACAAGAAUCACUAAAUAUGUAAUCACAAACUCUUAUGUACAUUUACAAUAAUAUGGAUUCAACUUUCAAGACUUCGAUAUUUUGUUUUGUAAAAAAAAUAAGAAAGUGACUAAGCUAAUAUAUUCUUUGAAAGUGUGAGAACAUUGACAAAUAUGAAAAAGCAUAGAUUUUUGUUUUCGUGACAAAGUUAAGACUUUUGUAAAAGUAAGUUUACAUAAGCUUGCUUUCCCCGAUUCUAUAUACACAAGAUUCUAUAUACACAAAUAAAUAUAAUAUAACAACAUAAGCUUGCUUUCCCCGAUUCAUAUGAAAACUUUUUAAGUUAUCCACCAAAGCAAAUUAAUUAAAUCAAUCAAAUUGUUAGAAUACAACAAAUUAAUAUAUAAUUUUAUUUUAAAUUAAAUUAUUUAAAAGUGUAUUUUCAUUAAAAAUAAAAUAAUAAAAAAGUAAAACUGAUUUGAUGGUAAUUUUUAUGACAUAUAUAUAUAUAUAUUGUGAAAGAAAUAUAAGCUUAAUAUGGAAAAAAAUCUUAAAUACAAAAAAUCCUAAAAUUAACAAAAAAAACUAAUAAAAAUUAAACUAUGAUAUCAAUUGAAAGCUUCUUAGACAAUAUUAAUAAAAUAUUUAAACGAUAAUUAGACAAAUUUAAUUUUUUUUGCCAGCCAAAAGUGUAUUAUUAAUUAGCAUCAGUUAUUUCAAGAUGUUUAAGAAAGGAUGGACUUAAAUGAUAUAUGAACUAUGAAUAGUAGUACUUUGUAAAGCUGACUUAGAUAACACAUCUGCACAUCAUUUCCAAUCCUUUUUGAUGCCUAAAUUCAAUUUCUUCAGAGCAGUUAUUCCACAAAGAGAUCGUAUGAGAUAUUGUUUUGAUAUUCAGAUUUGUUUCUUGACUGUUAAGAAGAUUGAUAACUGUAAAAUGUCUCAUUUGAAUAUGAUAUGUCUAUAACCGAGUCCCUACAUCAGACAAGUUUGUUUUAAAAGAAUAUAAUUUUAUUUUUCUUAUAUUAUAUAAUAAAUAUAUAUUAUUUACUGAUAAUAAAAAUAUAGUUAUUCAUCUAUCACAAAUAACUAUGCAAAUAUGUGAAUCAAGUACAACAAUCAAACAACAUAAUGAUUUCCACAAAGAAAAUUUAAAAAAUAUAUUUAUGUUAUGUAGUCUUAUUUUAUAUUCUUUAAAUAAUGUAAUACAGUAUUAUACAUUAUAUUUUUUUAGAAUUGAGAAAUACAUAUAAUAUCUUAUCCGCGCGUAGCGCGGUUAAAAAAUCUAGUCCCUGUAAUGAUUAGUCUAUGAUCGAUAUAAUCAUAUAGUCUCUGUAACAUAUACGAUUUUCCGCUCAAAUAUAGUAUAUACGCAUGUAUAGUAUCGUUCAUGAUCUUUGUGUGUCCACCACAGAAAAGUAUUACAUAUCAUUCUAUAUAAGAAAAACUAAAAUUAAUGCUCAUCAACGGAUGACACAACAUUAUUAAAACUUGUUCUUGGGGAUUUUGAUCUCUAAGAAAGAGUAACCGUCUUUGUUUGAGAUGAAAGCUUCGGAGUUUUUGAGGUCGGCAUCGCCGGGAAGCUCGAGACGGCGGACGUAGCCGUAUUCCCACCACCGGCCGCUUCUCCAAUCGCCGUUGGCCGCCGUUUUCCAUUGGCCGCUAAUCUCCAUCACUUUUCCAUUAACGUCCACAUACACCUGCACGUUAUUUUUCCCCACCACUAAUAUACAAGAGUAUCAAAAAAAUUUCUGAUCAGUUUUUCUUGAACCCUCUAGAAAAGGAUGACAUAAUAUAGUUAUUUGAUAUGGUUUCAUUUAUUUCCGUAUUUCUCAUUAGAUUAGUACGUAAAGUUGUACGAUUCGAUACACUUGAUUAAAAAGAUAUUGUAACUAAAAAGAAAACCAAUAUAUAGUAUAAGUGUUCUGUUUAUGUAUUAAUCAAAUAGUAUAUCUUUAGCUAAACGAAAACAAAUUCAAUUCAUUUUUUUUGGUUAUAAACUAACAUCCAAUUGAUUUUUUAUAUCAGUUUUUUUUUUCGGAUCAGAUACAUGUAUAAAACAAUAUAUAUAUAUAUAUAUAUAUGUCAUUUUCUCUUCAAAAACUAAAAAUAAAUAGAGAAUGGUAAGAAAAUAUAUACCGGGGAGGUCAGAUUUAAGGACAUAUGCUUGAUCGGUUUCAGACCAGUCGACUCUACACUGUCCUAAGCUCCUGAGGCUCCCCAGCAAAACAUCCGCCUCGAAUUCCCAUAAAGGAAACGCAUCUGACGGAUCAAAGUACUUUCCGAACAAAAACGGGCUGAAAAUAGAUCCCUCGCUGAACACAACCUUCUCCGAGCCUCCUCCGCUGCUCAAGAACCUCCGGAAAACGUCCUCGCCAAGCGGUACGCUCCACUUUCCCGGCGUCUUGUCGUCGGUGUUGAUCUCUAAUUUGAGGCUUCCACUACUCCUCGCCAUGAGAGAAAUCAAGAGAAAUAAAUUAGACGAAUAAAAAAGGAAUGUGAGUUUGUGUGUGAGAGAGUUUUGGAAUCAAGUUUUUGUUUUAUAGUAUGCGUUUUGACAUAGCUGAUAAAAAAAUGAUGCAAAAAGCUUACUAAAACGAAUUUGCAAGUAAGAGACGGAAUAGUAAAAUUUAUCGUGCAUAAUAAAAAGAGAUUAAUAUAUAUAUUUUUAUUUUAAAACAAAGAUUAUUUAUAUAUAAUUGAAGAAAAUACAUUGUUGGAGGCAGUAAAGAGAGUUUUUAAGAUUAAUUAAACAAUUGAGUUAUUCUCAUUUUGCAUUACGAAACUCAAAUGUGACUGGGUGUCCAUUCCCUCUUCUUGUAUCCGAUCCUGUUUGCAGUAAUACAGUGAUAGUUGUAUUAUUUUUUGUAGUAAACGUAGUUGUAUUAUUUGCAUGACUUGCUUUAUUCAUUAUAUGAUCUUUAUCAUGUGAAAAACUAUGAUGAUAUUAUCAGGUUUAACAUGUACAUGGCUAUUAACUAAAUGUGGUAUAUUUUUAAAAAUAGUAGGAAUAUCUUUAUUAUUUGACGUAUUUUUAUCGUUUUAUUUGUUUAUUAGAGUUAUUUUUUUGCCCUUUAGGUAUUGUUUAGUUAGCAAAUACAGAUCAAAAUAUUAGUUAAUAGUGAAGAGAUCAUGCAUGUUAUAUAACACACAAAAUAUCAAAAGAGGCAUCUUGUUGAUGAAAGGAAUGUUUAUGUGGAGGUAUAUUUGUGGCAUAGUUAAAUUAAUUUUACUUUGAUUGAAAUGAUAGGUCUAAAGUCAGAUUAAAGAAGACAAAUAUACCAUGAAAAUGGAAAAUAUUGGGGGCUUACAUUUAUUUGAUGAAUGAUGAUAAUAAGGGGAAAAAGUUGGGAUAUAUUCUCCUUUCGCUGUGACAAUACUUUAGCGUGGUUAAAGUAAGAAGCGAAUAUGUUCUCUUUGACGUAGAAAUUGCUCGAAGGGUCACAAAGAAAUGUGCAUUUGCUUUUAGCCAUACCAUUUUGAUUCUUCAUCUUAUACCGAAAGAUGAUAUAUCAUAUAUUUUUGUUUUAAAUUCGGAUGAAAUUAAGAACGAUGAAUCUUUUAGGUAAACAUUUAAUAAGAAUAUAUUUUAGAUUACAGGGUUUUGUAGGACGAUCGAUCAAUUGCUAAUGUCCACCAAAUUAGAACAGUUUGUCUCCAUGUGAAUCAUUGACAUUAGUAACUCAUGUAAGUAGGACAUCGCUCAAAAAAAUCAUUUCACUCAGCAUGUAGGGCUGAGAUAUUCUAGUGGCAUUCUUGAACCCAAACCGUUCAACUCCCAUUUGGUUUCUAUAGAUCUACCCAAGUCCACUGACCUUACCAUGAUUAAUCUAUGAGACAUCAAUUUGACAGGUCGAGACUAAGGGUUUCACGAGGAGAAUCAAGCUAGGAGCCGGGACUGAUGGUAGCCUAAGAGAGAUCGUGAUCCAAAGUUUGGAAUUUCCAUUGUUAACAAAACAAAAUUGCAAAAUAUAUAUGCGAAGUCAUUCAAUUUUUACGCGCGUAUUUGGAUUUCUCCAAUGGUAAGAGGAAAAAUAUAGUUUCUUCUCUAGUACUUUCUCCGUUUUUAAAAAAUCUAUAUUUUAGAAAAAACAAAUUGUUUUAAAAAAAUAUAUGUUUUACAUUUUCAAUGUAUAAACUAAUUGCAAAUUGUAAACUUUGUUUAUAAUGAUUUUAUUGAUUAAAAGUUGUAGAAAUAGUUGAUAACAAAAAAUAAUGCAUUGGUAAUUAAAAUAUGAUAUAUUUUUUUAAUAAAUACAAAAAAUCUAAAACACGUCUUUCUGAAACGGAAGAAGUAAUCCAUAACUGACUUUAACAAAACAAAAAUAUGGUUUUCCAAUUCAUCAUUCUUUAACAAUCUUUUAAGAAAAGUAAGAAACUAGAUGUGAAAGGAAUAUCGUAUAUAAGCCAUUGUUUCGAAAAGGGAAUAGUAAAUGCAAUAUAUCGAGAUUCGAUCGAGAGAAUUCAAGAUGAUCUUUUAUUUUAACACUGCUUUCCCAAAAAAGUUGACUAUGAGAGAUGGUCUAUAUAUGCAUCAUGCAUGCAUAUCUCUUCAUACCUUCGAAAAUGGUAGAAGAAACAUGGGGAUAAGUUGUUUGUCAUCAGAGUUUAGAGUUCAGUUACUUUUUAUUGAAUAUACAAAAUUUUAUCCAACCAAAAACACUUUUUAUAAUCAGAUGCUUCUAUUUUUGAUAAUUAAUCGGUACGUGCAUUAAUAUGAAGGUAGUCAUUGCAAGUUUCUUAGGUCAAAAAAGCUAUCUUUUUUUUUUGAAAGCUGGUUUUCAAAUUAAAAUCAAGAAAUCAAGAUAAAAACUAUCUUGCGGAGGCUUCGUGGUCAGUUCGUCGAUCCUCUGUCGUAAGUGUGAUUUCCAGUUCUAGUAGAGAUGAGAGCCUGUUCUAGAAGUUAUUGUCGACAAGUUUGGUUAGUCUUGUCAUCGGUAACUGUGUUUAACCAAAAUUUUAAUUGUUUUCCCCCGCAAAAUAUAAUAUAUUUCUUUCCAAUUUCCAGUUUUUAUAUAUUCUGUCUCCAAUCUAUUGUGAAAGGUUAGCCAAGUGGAAAACUGAAUAUUUUUGGAGUCGCAUAUAAAACAAGACCUCUUUAUUCUAUUAUUCUCUUUGUCAAUCCACUCACAUUAGAGCAUGUCCAUUGAAGGUAUUUUAGUGCCCAUUUGAGCAUGUCCAUUAAAGGUAUCUUAAUGGAUAUUUCAACUCAAAAACAAUUGUCAAAAAAAUUAUUUAGACGGUUCCUGAAGAUCCUAGAGGCGGUUCUAUAUAUAGACUGGAAACCGAAUGAACGAUGGUACAUAUAAGGGUAGUGCUCAAGCUUUCAAGCUAGACUCUCUUUUGAAAUUAGCAGAUGUGAAGGGAAGUAGGGAACUGAUGGGAAACAACUCUCCUCCAUUUCGUUGUUCAAGAGAUAAUUAGAACUGAAGGAAGGAGAGCUGCUCGUACUUUUUGGUGAAAAGUACAAGGCAGGGACUACUUUCAUCUGAAAGCAGAAAAAGAUGAAGGGUUGUGUUUCUUUGUGUUUGUACUCUAUUUCUUGGUAAUUUUAUAUAAGUCCUGCAAAAUAGUCAGAGAAGCACGAGGAAAACCACUGAGUAGAGAUGUCAAGAAAACAAGGUUUAACAGCCAUAGCUUCUUCUGAAUUUCAAGACAAUCCCCUUCAUUAGAUCCUAGACAGAAACUGUUUCCAGCUAUUACAAAGAGACGCAUGGACAUGGACCAGUCUAGCUCAGAUUAUAUUCAGACUAAAAAAAAAAGUAUAAUCUUGGGUUUUGUUACAUGUUACGACGUAAAUCCUCUGCGGUUUUGCUGAAAGCUUCAUCAGAGGAUCUUUUCUUCUGUUGGGAGUGGAAUGCUGCAGAGAUGUCAGUUCUUAGUAACUGAUGAUCAGAAUAUCAGAUGAAGCCUGAAGGAACAAUCACAAAAGAGGUUUUGAGGUGAAAAAAAAGCUAGUGACUCGUUCACUUCGCUAGUACUGACUUAUUAUUCAGCGUUAGUUUUAGGAAGAAUCAUUUUCAUUUCUUCUUCUAGAUUCUUUUAACAUUAUUAUUCAUGUUGAAGCAAUAAUCUUGUGUUCAUUUUAGUAUAAUACUUUCAUAAGUAUUAGGAUGGUUUAGUUAAAUUAAUUAAGUCCGGUUUAAUUUCCUUUUGCUUAACCGGUUCCCUAUAUAAGAACAUUUUGUACAGUUAAGUUCUUUGAGCUGAAUAACAAACUUUUUUUCAUCAUUCAUCUUCUUCAAUCUCUCUCGCUUGAUCUCGCUUCAUCUCUUCUUCAUUUCAUCGAUCAUCAGCUCCGAUCUCAAAGCUCAAGGUUUGAUAAUAAGUUCACACAAACUAAAAACUUAUUGUCCAAGCAAUAGAAAGAAACAAAGCCCUAAACAAAUAAUUAAGAAACCUGUGAUCUAGCCAAUACUUUCUUUAUUUGAUCUUAAAACCAAGCAGAUUUACAGAGUCAGAGAAACGUUGUCCUAUAUCUUGAGUUAAAGACCUAAUCUUCCUGUUUGUUUUGGAAAAUUUGGUCUGGCAAAGUAACAGGCCGAAUAUGAGCCUGAUUCUUUUUGCUGACAAGACCAGGCGACCCAAGUUGAAGACUUAAAUAAUCAGAAACAGUUUUCAGGCAAAGUAAAUCGGAUUGUUACAAACUUAGCAGGCCGAGUAUGAGCCUGAUUUUUUUUUGCUGAACUCGCAACUUGUGUACAUUGUGCGUAGAAAAAAGUUUCAAUUAAUUUUUGAUAAUUACCCUAAACAUAAUUUGAUAUACCAACUUCAAUACACACAAAUAAUUCAUAUAGUCAGUCAUAUGUGGCUGAGACAUUUCUUUAUAAUAUAUUGUUAAUCUUUUUGUGCAUCACCACUGAAAUAUGAAGUGUGAGUAUUCUACACGGUCUAAUGUCUAUAUUACUACGUUGACGAACAUACAAAUCAUAUAAAAAUACGUUGGAUAUACGAAAACAUCAUUAAAUAAAAGGAUAUGAAAAAAGGUUUCUAUAUAUAUAAAGAGUUUACGAUAAAUAGUAUGAUCGUCUAUUAUACGAACAGCCGAUUUUCACUAUCUCUCAUGGAUUAUGGUGGGGAUUAGAUCGGAGAUCUUCUUUAUAAAUAUAAAAAAAGGAAAGUAUUCACAUGUUUUUAGUUUUUAUUUCAGUAAUAUUUAUUAAUAAAAGUAAUAAUAGUAAGAAGAUAUCAAAGGUUGGGGCAGACCAGUCAGUGUGGUGUGGUCGAAUGAAGGUCUUGUUGGUUAGGGUUUAGAGCAAAUUGGGAAACCCCGAAGGACAAAUAUAUCAGUAUGCUUCGAAAUUCAAUUUCUAAUUUAAUGUCUUACCUUCGAACUCUCUCUCUCUCUCUCUUCAAUAUCUACUCUUUCAUAUAUCUACAACCUACAUUUUAAAUGCACGUUGAUCCUUGAGAUUUAAAAUUCUCAUAAUAAGCAAACCUUUUAUUGUCAUUUGCCAGUCCUGCUCCAUGUUGAAAACAUUAUGAUGUAAAGACUAGUUAAAAAUGUUGCUUCAGUACAAACCGGGAGUGAGUGUAAUCUUUCUGGUUUUGGUUUUAUAAUCUAAACACAUAAAUCUCAUGUCUCAUUCGGUUCAGAAGACCUUUUUUCUAGUUGCGUAUUUAAAUGUUAAUACUAAUUAUAGUGAUUUAACUCAUGUAGUGUAUUACUUUUUUUUAAAACUCAUGUAGUGUUUUACUAAACAGAGUAUAGUUUAUUGAUUACUAUCUUCCAAGAAUUGUCAGAAUGCUUCAUUUACCCUUCUGGUUAUUUAAGAGUAAAAUGACAGAUGCAAGCGGAAAGGAGUGAGUUGAAAUCAAUGUUCCUUUUUUCAAACGUAGUGACUACAUAGCUAUGCUGCUCCUGGAGAGUACCCUAUUAUUUGGUUGUCACUCAACAACAACAAUCUUUCAUCACUGCUAGGAUUAAACUUAUGUAAUAGUGAGGGACAACUACAUAGUUUUAGGCUUUUAGCCCGAGUAAGUUUCGGGCAUUAUAGUCUUAUAGAAUCUGAGAAUCGUUCGUAGUCCACAUUUAAAGAUUCAUCAAAUAUUACAAUUUGUUUAUUUUGUACCUUAGACGAUUAAUCCGUGGAAUCUCAGUCAAAAUCCUACAACUCAAAAUUUUAAUGUGAACCUGCCCAGUGCCAACACACAAUCUUAUUAAUUGACGUUCUUAUUAUUUACAGUAAUUAAAUUUUGGAAGUAUAAUAAAAACUAAAGAUUCUUUAUUGCAAACUGUAAGGUAGGAAGAUAGUGGAUGUAUCAUUUUGGAACCAAAAUUUAUUGCAAGUGAUUAGAGUAAAAGAGAUUUAGUUUAACUGGUAUCUAUUACAGUAACACUAGAAAUGAAUAAAAAGAAUAAAAUAGUAAAAUGAACAAUUUUAUUCUAUUAUACUCUUUAAAAAUGAAAAAAGAAUAUUUUUUUUAUUUUGUAUAAAUGAUGUAAUUUCUUUGGAAAGGUGAGAAGUUUAAUAUUUCUCUUUGUUCUUUAAUUACCAUUCAAAAUUAUGAAUACUAAUUCAUUAUGGAAGAAUUUUCAUGUUUACUACAUCGUCGUACUAUUAUUCCAGUUUAUCUUCAUUAAAGAGACAUUUCGAAAAAUAUCUUCUUUAUUAAGAGGCAAAAUAUUUUUAUACUCUUGGUCUAUAAUAUAUACAAUAAAUAAUCAUUUAAAUAAAUAAUUUUUUUUAUAUUUUCGAAUUAUACUUUUUCAAAUUAGAUUUAUUUAAUUUAAUUUUUGAAAUUAGUAAAUUCUUUUUGAAAAGAUUUUUUAAAAACUUUCUAAGUAUUUAUUUAUAUAUUUAUUAGAAUUCUAAACUCCACAUUCCAAAAAUCCUACCCCACCCCUCAACUCUAAACUCUAAGUAUAAAUUAGUUAACCAUAGGGUUGUAAGUGUUUUUUUUUCUCUUUAAAAGUGAAUGUAAAAAUGGUUAAGGUAAACAUGAAAAAUAUUAUUAAAAAUGUGGUAUUUUUGGCAAUUCUCUUUCAUUAUAUUAUGUUAACGAAAAGUAUUUUACACAUAUAUAAAUUUUAAUUAGUUUAAUAUUUUAUCUUUUUCUAAUAAAAUUUAACUUAUAUUUUAUAUUUGGAUAUACAUUUUAUUUAAAAAUAAAUAUACUGAUUAAAAUUUACAACAUCAAAGUUUUAAAUACAAAAUAAAACAUUUAAUCAUUUAAUUUCAGAGAGAGUUCAUGAAUUUUAAGUGCAUCGAAUCAAAGUUAUACUCCUUUGUAGAGUAAAAACUUUUUGUUACAAAAUAAGCAUUAUCUUAUAAUUUUAUAUUAAUUUUUUUUUCUUUUGCCUUUAGUUAAUUAAAAUACUAUACAAUUUUGAUAGUAAAUAAUGGUAAAACUGAAUAUUUAACUAUUUUAAUUUGUAUGAAAAAAAUUAACAUACAAGAAAAUUGAAAUGGAAAGAAUAUUACUUAAGAAAUGUAGAAUGCUCAUUUGGUGUAUAAUAUACUCAUUCUGUACUACAAAGAUAUACUUUUUAGUAUUUUCACACAUAUUAAGAAAACACAUUAAACUACUAUAAUAAAUAUAUCGUUUUCUGUAAUUUUUAAUUUUCAAUAACUUUUAACCAAAUAGUAAUUCAAUAAAGUUAAUUUUUUUUUUGAAGUUUACAAUUUUUUCAUAAAAAAUAUAAAAAUAUAUCUUUCUGAAACAAACUUUUUUUUCUGAAACAAUUUUUUUUUUUCUAAAAAAAUUUAUCAUUAAAAACGGAAGGAGUAUACAGUAAGAAAUAGCUAAACCAGUCAUGUUUAAGAAAUGUAUCCCUAUAAUAAUGAAAAAACCAUUUAACAAUUUAUAUUAAAAAUGAUUUUAAUUAUUAGAAAUAUUACGUAACUUUCAUUGUAUAUAAUAUAGUGGACAAUCCAUUAAUUAAAUGUUCACAAAUAACUGUUUUUCUUUCCGUAGUAAAAAUUACAUGAUUAUUUAAUGCAAUUUAAAAAUAUGAUAAUUAAUAAUACUGAAUAAUUUUUUUCUGUUAACAAUAAUAUUGAACAAUAAAUUUGAUAAAAAAAUUGUAUAUCAUCUAUCUUUUUGUUUAGUUGUAUAUUAUUAAAAUAAAUUAAACAUUCAUAUUACCCAUAUAAUAAAAUUUAUAUUUUUAAUAUAUCUUAAAUACUUUGAAUUUUGUUACUAAGAAAUAUAAUGAUCAGAAAAAUAUGAAUAUUUUAAUAUCAUUUAAUAAAAAUAUAGUAUAUAUCUAUAUAAUAUCAUUCAAGUAAUUAUAUACCAUAUAAAUAUUUUAUUUUUAAUAUUCAUAUCAUUUUGAAUUGAUAAAAAUUAAAAUACUUUUACAAUUUUAACUUGAUUAAAUCGUAAAAUUUCACAUAUCUUUAUUAUUCUUUUAAAAAAUAUUUAUUUAACAAUAUUUUAUAAAAUAUCAUAAUCUGCACAUUAUUACCUAGUAAAAUACUAUUUCACGAUCGUUAUCCACAUAGUGAGAAGAGAAGUCUUUUUUACUCGUAGAUUCGUAAAAUUGUAAAUGAAGGAAACAUUCUCUCGUGUUAUGUAUUUACAUAGGUGAGUUGAGACAUUAUAGACCUCUUUUAGAUUCAUAUGGACGUACAUGCCUACUAACAAAAUAAAUACAAAAUUUUAUUCUUACCUAUUACAUUUUAUUGUUUUUAUUACUCUCAUUUAAUUGACUUAAGUAAUAAAGACACUCUCAUUUAAUAAAAACAACUGUAGUGUCUUCAUAAAAGACGAAGAAAACAUAUUUACUUGCAUAUUUUGCAUCUUCUUCCUUAUUUAUUCUAUUAAAUAAAAAUAUCACUUCCAAAAAAAUACAAAACUAAAAAUCUCAGAACAAGAUAGAGAGAAAGAGAGAGAAAGGGAGAUUACAACCACAAUGGACGAUUCAAACACAAGAAGCCAAACUAAGAAGACGAAGAAGCUUCAGAAAGACAAGAACAAGAACAAGAAGAACAACAUCCCUACUGUUUGGUUCUCUCUCAAGAAAUCUCUCCACUGCAAAUCCGAACCAUCCGACGUCCACGUCCCCAAAUCCACGAAACACCUCACCACAAUCUCCACCAAGCGCAUCUCCACCGCCAACUCCUCCCUACCCUCCGCCGGAUGCGGCGGCGGCUUAUCCGGAUGCUCGAGAUCGAUAGCGAAUCUCAAAGACGUGAUCCACGGGAGCAAACGCCACUUCGAGAAACCGCCGAUAAGCAGUCCUCGCUCCAUCGGAAGCAACGAGUUCCUCAACCCCAUAACCCACGAAGUCAUCCUCAGCAACUCCACCUGCGAGCUCAAAAUCACCGGCGUCGGAGACAUGGCUUCCCCCGCCGGAGCAACGGAAUCCGGCGGUGGCGGCGGAGGAAACGGACGGUCGACGACUUUUGUGGGGAUGCUGAGGCCGGGGACGCCGAUGCAUCAUCUGAACCACUCUGCUUCUCACCGGAGCCAUGCUUCGUCGACGGCGGCGAAAAAGGGCUCCUUUGCUUCGUCGGAGAGAGAGGUAAUAGGAGAAGGGUUUCACACAAAGAGGAGAGUUUCUUUGGAGAUGAACAGAGACUCCGCCGUUAACGGAGGCAAAUACUCUGUUUCUUGCCAUAAGUGUGGUGAACAGUUCAGCAAACUCGAAGCUGCAGAAGCUCAUCAUCUCUCUAAACACGCCGGUAAACUCGAAACUUUAACCAUUGGGAUUAUAUAAUUAAUGAAUAUAUUAUAAAGUUUUCACCUUUAUGAAGAUUUUGUCGCAUUUUUAUAAUAUACUCUCUCCUACUUCAUAAAAAAUCCAUGUUUAAAAAUUUUCAAAUUUUUUAAUAAAAUAUAUUAAAACUUAUCAAUAAAUACAUAUUUUUUUAUAAUUUUAUAUUUUCUAUAUUUUUAAACUAAUAAAAUUUUAAGAAAUGCAAUUAAUAUUUUUAAACUUUACUAUUUUUUAUUAUUAGUUGACAAAAAUUACAUUAGAAAUAUAAAAUAUGUAUAUUUUUGAAACAAAUUUUUUUCUCAUAUAAUAAAGUUUUGAACUUUAUGAACAUUUUCGCAUAUUAAUAUAAAGUAAUAAGCUUUGCUCAUAAUAUUACAGUGACGGAGCUCGUAGAAGGCGACUCGUCAAGGAAGAUAGUGGAGAUAAUCUGUAGAACGAGCUGGUUAAAGUCAGAGAACCAAUGCGGGAGAAUAGACCGUGUCCUAAAAGUACACAACAUGCAGAAGACACUAGCUCGGUUCGAGGAGUACAGAGAGACGGUGAAGAUCAGAGCGAGCAAGCUCCAGAAGAAGCAUCCGAGAUGUCUCGCCGACGGCAACGAGCUGCUCAGGUUCCACGGCACCACCGUCGCUUGCGGUUUAGGGAUAAACGGAACGACGAGUGUCUGCACGGCAGAAAAAUGCUGCGUCUGCCGGAUUAUACGGAACGGAUUCUCGGCUAAACGGGAGAAGAAUAACAAUGGGGUUGGUGUCUUCACGGCGUCCACGAGCGGGAGAGCGUUUGAGUCGGUUUUGAACAACGAGGGAGAUGUUGAUCGGACGGUGAGGAAAGUGUUGAUUGUGUGUAGGGUUGUGGCUGGGAGAGUUCAUCGACCGGUGGAGAAUGUGGAGGAGAUGAAUGGGUUGAUGAUGAGUGGGUUUGAUUCUUUGGCUGGAAAAGUUGGGUUGUAUACAAAUGUGGAGGAGCUUUAUUUGCUCAAUCCUAGAGCUUUGCUUCCUUGCUUUGUGGUAAUCUGCAAGUCUUAAAAAAUAUUUAGCAUUUUUGUUUUGGCAAAGAGAUCAAAAUGUUCUUAUUAUUUGUUUAUUAUUUCUAUCUUGUUCCGAAUUUGUUUUCAAGGUGAAUUUGGAAUUUGAGUUUUAUUUUUUAUUUUUUGGCUAGUUUAUGUAUGAGUUCUUAAUUAUUCUUACCUAGAGAGACAAAAAAAAGUAUUUUUGUUCAUAUUAUGUUAAGAUAAAUUUUUAUUGUAGCGUAUUAUACUGAUGUAAAAACCAGUGGUCAAGAGAGAGAUUGUGAAGUGUGUCAAGAGUGAGAAUUUAGUUUCACGGGUGGACUGUUGGUAAAAGUGCUACGAUAAAUGCCAACUUUUCAUUCAGUAAAACGUUGGUCGACGAGAAACCUUUUCAAAGAUUUGGAACACGAAUGUUGGCUUGUUUGGUUGAAUCAUGUUCAUUGUUCAAUAUGGAUUUAUGUUGUUUAAAGUAUUCUGAUAUUUUUUUAAUUUCUUAUCAUAUAUAUAUUUCAAUAAUAAAUAAGAUAUGAAAAUAGAACAUAAUCAUAUAUAGUACUCAGACGACCUAAAACACAAUUUGGCAUUUUUUAGCUUCAAAUUUGUUUGGAACCAUCCCCGUAUAGUCCUAGAUUACAUAUUUAUAUAAGAAAACAUGGCAUAUAAAAACAAAACUAACAUUAAUGAUAAUUAGACAUUUUGUUAAAACGAAUAAAAUGGUCCAUACUAAAUUACUCGAUAGUUUUCAUAAUGUCAGCGAGACAAAGCUUACGUCAAAGGUGUCGACAAAAUUCUAUCCCAUGCAAACAUUUAUUUGGAGCUUUUAUUAGUUCUAUCUGCAAAAGCCACCCUCUCAUCAAUAUAUAUCCGCCGAGAAAAGAAAAAUUGGAAUAUGUGAGCCCAAUAAUAAUCAAAAUUUCAAAUCUUGAAAUUUCGAAUUUUGAAAACAAAUAUACAUUUGAUUUUUCAGACAUAUUAUUUCAGGGCUCUGCAAAAAUAUUUGUGAUAUACAUUUUGUACUUAAAAGUUGUUUGUGGACAAAGCAAAAUUUGUUUAAGAGUGAGCAUAGUCUAGUGAAAAUGAAUCAUGGAUAUCUCAAAAUGUGGCUAUUUCGAUAUUUGAUUACGUAUGUGUAUACAUACACUGUAUGUUCAUUUUUCAUUUUUGAACUGACACAUAAUAAAUGUAUAUUUGAGAACGAAUGAGAAAUGACGAGGCCUGAAAUGGACAGUGUAUCUAUAUCAACCGCCGAAGUAACGGUGGGAUCAUACCACAUGACGUCUCAGAAAAUUGUAUUCUGUACAUACAUACCUUGUAAUUUAAUUAUCUCCACUCGACAACAAUCUAUGUCGUCAUUUUCGGAUCUUUUAUAUAAUGACGAGAACGCAUUAGUAAUCCCCUAAGUAUGUGAAAUAUACAAAAGCUAAAAGCGAGCUGAUUAAGGCUUAAAGACCAUGGUUUAGCCAUAUGAAACCGUUUGUAGAUUCUUUGUUCCCUGUAAAACGUUGAUUGUUAGAAACAUAUUUCGUAGCUUUAAGCUUUGUAAGUGAAGAAAGUGUUUAUCUGGUACGAUUUUUACACUUUUUAACUUAAAAGGGAUUCAAUAUAUCCAUCAAAUACAUAGGUCCAUUAGUCUACAAAUCAAAAGUGCAAUGAAGAAGAAAUAAGGGAGAGAUGCUAAGAUGCUGAGGCAGCUGCAACUUGGGAUGUUUCUUUAUCCUUAGCCUCCUUAAGUUGCUUCCAUUUCUCAAUGGUGUCGAUAAGUUCCCCAGUUUUGAUCAGAUACCUUACCUUCUGUCCAUCUUCAAGGACCUUGUGACCCACCCGGCUAACCACCUCCUUUUCUUUCGAAUACAGCAUCACAUUUGAGCUGUGAAUCGGUGCUUCAAUCUGGAAAACAUAAUGCAUUUUAGCACAAUCCUCAAUCAUCAAUCAUCAAUCAUCAAUCAUCAUCACUGCCAAAGGCAAAGUGAAGGGAGCUACACGAUGUGGUUUCUGUUUUGCAAAUUAUUUUAAGAGAGUCAUCAUGUAUGUCUCAUGGACUGACUGACCUUGAGAAUUUGGCCAGGCUCUCCCUCUUCACGGCUCUUCAUGUGUUUGGUCUUGAGGUUGACAUCUUUGAUGACGAUGGUGCUGUUGUGAGUAAAGAUCUUAGUGACUUCUCCAAUUUUGCCCUUGUCUCGUCCAGAUAUAACUUUGACCGUAUCACCAAACUUGACAUGCAUUUUGUGCAGAAUUGGAAGACUGUUUGGUUUGCAUUUCUUCCGUUCCCAACGCUUAAGCUGAAAGAAAGAAAAAGAAAAAAAAACACAUCAUAAUCCUGUUAAUGCCCUUAGGAAUCAAUCAAGAGAUGAAACUCAACAACAUUACCAAAAGAAUGAGGUAAAGGAUCUUGGUUACUAACCUUUGCGUAAACAAGACAUGGGUUCUGGGCGGGCUUGACCUGCAAUGAGUUACAAAAGAAAAGCAGAGUAAUUAAGGAACCAAACCCCACCCCAACUGCAAACACUUUGCCUAAAAAAACGCUAAACCAUUCUUCUGACUCAGUAUAAGUUCGUUCGAGCAACAAAACCAUAAUCAACCAAAAUGUACAUCACCAGGUGCUAAAUGCAUUCUUUAGAUUCCAAAAGGUUCACCAACCAAUCAAUCAAACGAGCACACAAAAAUAAGAGAUCCUAACUUAAAAGUUUUAGAUGCAUCGCCAAGCCAAGUAGAGAUAAACAGUUGUCUUUUGAGAAAAAAAUCAAAGUUAUAGAAUUUAAAGUGUUCAUAACUUCAUCUCAGUUCAGUACUAACACAGAAAAAGACAAAGAGACAAUUCACAUUCUCCAAUCCAUUCUCCACUAAACAUAACUCAUAGCGCAGAAACACACAACAAAGUUUCAAUCUUUACUCCUUUUAGAGAAAAAAUUUAGAAUUGGCACCAAAAUUCACCAUACCAAAAGCUUAAUAAAUGAAACUAAUCAACAGGUCCAAUGAAAGAUAUCAAACCCGUUACAGGGCUAAAUGUUCGAGCUAAACGUGGCAAUGUCUUUGAUUAGAACGAGAAAUUCGAAAACGGGAGUUACCGGAGAAGCGGCGGAGAGGGAAAGCGGGGAAAGGAGACGCUGGCCGAGGAAGGAGGAGUUGGACUUGGAGGAUAGCGAAAGAGAUGUAAACGAGCUCUGAAGAGAAGUCAUCAUGGUCGCCAUUCUUUUCAGAGUAACUCCCGCUUGCUAAGUGGGGGGGCUAACACUUCAUGUCUCUGUUCGUCUCAAGGCGAUAAGACGAGGAUAACGAUUAUCUCUUUACUGUUAAACGACACCGUUUUAGUACCAUGAUUAACUUCACUGGUGGGUUUUUGGCUAAGGUUUGGGCUUAAAUAUUGUCUGCUUUGGUGUAAUACCCCAAACAUAUACUCCCUCCGUUUAUGAUGUUUUAGAAAUUUUUUGUUGUUUCGAAAUAGAUGAUGUUUUGAUUUUUUAUGUUAUUUUUAACUUUAUUGAAAACUGUGUAAUCAAUUAGAUGUUAUAGUCAUUUUUAUAAUUGGUCGGAUGAUUUUUAAAUUAUAUUUUUUAAACUAUUUUAAGAAUAACAUCAUCUAUUUUAUAGAAGUUCUGUAUUUUUUUUAACUUUUUUUUGAUAAUUCGGCGGACCGAAACCUAACUGACUAAUAUCAUGGAAUCUGUCCACCGAUACUAAAUAGAUCCGGUUAUUUGCAAUGAGAAUUAAAUAUCCAUAUCACUUUGACCACACAAGCGGACAGUGGCGGAUCCAGACUAAUUAUUUAACGGGAGCACAUAAUAAAUAUAUAUAUAUAUUAAAUAAUAUAAAUAAUUAAUAUAAAAUAAAUAACUAUCUAUUUAAAAAUGUCGUAAAUGAGUAAUCAUUAAAAAUUUAAUAUAGACUAUUAGCAAAUUUAAUUUUGUUCAACUCAGAACAGACUAUAUAAGAUUUUUUUUUACAAAUGUAUAAUCACAAUAACAUAUUGUCGCAGUUAAAAUUAACUUGAAUAUUUAUAAAAAAUAGUCUUCAAGUUUACACAUAUACAACAGUAUAUCGAUAUCACACACAACUUGUUUGUAGUCAUUAUAUCAUAAGGUCUAAACUCUAAAAUACUAAAUAAAAUGAGUGGAUUAAUUAGUUUUAUUUCUUUAUUAGCAAUUGCUAACUAGUAAAAUAAUGGACUUAAAAAUGCAAAUUUUAAGAUAAAAUAUAAACUAUAAUAGAAAGAAUGAUAAAAAAGACAAAUAAAGAAAAGAAAAGAUAUGCUAACAAGAAAAAAUAAUAAUAUUAACAAUAAAACAAAAGGUAGGAUAAUCUCACUAAUAUAUAAUAGCUUUACGGAAAUUGUAAAAGUGGAGAAGACAUUAACUAUACAGCAAGAGAUAAACCAGGAAAAAUAAAGGUGUUGGGCUCGAACCAUGUAAAUGCUGAAGUAACCGGACAUCUUUACCAAUCGUUCCAACAAAAUAAAUAGUCACCGAGCUACAAAAUAAUAUUUGAAAACUAGUCGGGGGCACGUGCCCCCGUUCAUGGUACUGUAGAUCCGCUCCUGCAAGCGGGUAAAUUUAAAUUUAGUAAACUUCUAACCUAGGGUGCUUAACACCAUUCCAAGCCCGUGGUAGCACUAUAUAGUAUAUAGUUAGGUUCCAUAUUACUAAGAUUUUGUUUUUAUUUUCUUUUCCUCGUUCAAUAUUUAUAAGUUGCAGAAUUUUUAGUUCCCAAGUGUUUUAUUUUUUCCAAUGGAAGACACUAUUACAUAUAUGGUUUUUUUUUGGAAGAACAAAAAAAUUGGAUUAAAAUGUAUCUAAAAACCAAACAUUUCAAAUAGUUGUGCUAAUUGCAACUAGAUUAUAAUUUUUGGAAUGAAAUGAUAUGGAACGGUUGAUCCGUUAAUUCUACAUUUUUAAACCAUUUACUCUAUAUUUUUUUUUACCUUUUAUUAUAUUGUGAAUAGAAUAAAAUCUUUAUUAAAUAAAAAUAAAUAAAUAAAAUACAAAGAAAAUGAUUUUAUAGCAAUUUGUUUAUGAAUAAAUAGAAUAAAUCUAUUCCAUUUUUGAUGUAUUCGGUAUUCCACUCCUAUUAUUCUAUUUUAUUUAACUACAUUAAUUCUAUAUUAGUUUACCAGUUACUGUUUACAGUGGUCUCCAUUAUCUAAAUGCUAAAUUUCUUUUACAACAAACCCCCUAAAAAUUAACAUAAAAUAAUUUUUCCAUUCACUAUUUUCAGUUACCAUCAACAUCCUCCUAACAAUACGUCUAUAAAUCAUCCUAAAACCCACCCUCCCAAAAAUAUAAAAAAAAAGCCAAUUACAAAGGUAAUAAAUUACAAUUUUCCUAUAAAAUAUCUUUUUUCUUUUUGUUUAAACAAACAACAAUGCAUCACUAGUCUUCAAGUGUACUGUCCAUGGAAUUAUCUCUCCUAUGAUUUUCCGAUAGUCCCGAUCUAUCUCCAGUCCGCUCAACACUAUACGCCACCGUAGGUGGAAGCAAGGGAGCCUUCUUCUGAUGUUUUCUGGCAUGUCUCACCUUAAUGACACGUGUCAAAACCUGCACAGCAUCCCUCAUGUUGGGGCGUUUCCUUGGGGCAUGAGAUAUGCAUUUAUAUGCAAAAGCCGCAACUUCAUUCACUUCUUGUAUAUCAAACCUCCCAUCUAAUCUCGAAUCCACAAUCUCUUCCCACCCAACCUUCUCCUCUGCAUUCAUAGCCGCCUAAAACAAAAACUUGUCUUAGUAAUGUUUUCUUCAAAGAAACAAAUGUGGAGUUGAGGAUCAUGUUGGUGCCUCUUUUACCAGUUCAACAUAUUCCAUUAGACCUUGUUGAGGGUUUCUUCCAGCUAUAAGCUCAAAAAGCAAAACCCCAAAUUUUAAUUCUUUUCUUUGUCUUGUUUUAUUUCCCUUUUCCCCCAUCACAAUAACAUAUAUAUAGAUUUAUACUAACUUAAUUUUAAAUUGAAUUUGAUAAAUUAAUCAUUAACUUUUUUUCAUGUUCUUUUGAAAUCCAUAUUGUCUGCCAUAUAUUAUUUCCUUCAUUAUAUAAUAGAUGACUUUAAAUAUUCUUAUAUGAUUUCCUUCAACAAAAAUGUUGCUAAAUACGGAAAAGGUAACAAAAUAUAUAAUAAAUGACGUAUAAUAUUCUUGAUACUGAAAUCUAAUACAAUCGGAAAAAUAUGCACCACACGAAACGAAACAUUUUGGCAGUCAAAAGAUUGGCGUACAAAGAGAAGUUUAAAAAAAAAAGUCUUACUUUAAUUGUAUUGAUUCAUUAAUAUCAUAAAGGAAAACGCAAUAAAUAGUAAAUAUCCGACCUAAAACUUGCCGUGGUGGGCAAGGCUACCCUCUGUACUAAUGGAAAGGUUUUAGGAGGAGAAGAUGGAAUAUUAUCAAUUCUCUUAGAGCUGUCUCAGUUUUUUUUUUCCUAAGAACAUUCAUGACUUGUUUCUUAGCCGGCUCUUGAGGCUCCGCCUUGUGAAACCUGCGUUGGUGAGAAGAUCAUCCUCUGUUUCUCUUCUUAUCUCUAACGGCUUCUCAACUACUUCCCUGCGGCAAACCCCUCCUUGUUCCGUCAUCGGCGCUAGACCUUGUGGAGACGAUCUCGGAGGACUCAUAGUUGCCUAUGCAGAUACACAUGCCUGGACUGAACUGGACAAAAUGGUACGUCUGGAGUUGGUGUGUAACAGUAUUAAUCAUGGAAAAACACUAACGAUCGGGGCUUCUCAUGGGUGGGUAGCUAGUUUGAAGGAAGAUGGAACCCUGUGUCUCCAAGAUGAUCUAAACCCGUAUGCAUCGUAUACAGAUCCUAAACGCAUCCCUCUGCCUCCUCUUGUGACUCUGCCACAUUGUCAAACCAAAAUCAUCACCAACGUGUCAAUGUCAUCAUCUUCUCCAGAUGACGAUGAGGACUGUGUCGUGGCUGUCAAGUUCUUGGGACCUCAACUCAGCUUUUGCAAACCAGCCGGGAAGAGUAGUAAACCAGAGUGGACCAACAUCAAGAUCGAGAACCCUUGCUUCUACUCCUCACGUGUCAUGUUUUCCAAAAAGGACAACAUGUUUCGUAUUCCCGGAUCUGGAGGCCACCUCAUCGGCUCAUUGGAUCUCUUCGAACCUAACGAUAAGCUCAAGUUGCAGUGCGUUGGAUUUGAAAACCUUCCUCCUAAGCUACCCACUCCCCUUAUGGAUUCAUGCUGCAUGAGCCAACACUUGGUGGAGUCAACAUCCACAGGUGAGACUUUCUUGGUUAAGCAGUAUAGGAAGACGGCCAAGAUCGUCGAAGGUGUUGCCCAAAUGAAAACACAAUUUUUAAUGGUGUUCAAGCUAGACGAUGAAGGAAACGCGGUCUACACUCGAGACAUGGGAGAUCUCACCAUGUUCCUCUCAAUGUCUGAACCUUUCUGUGUCCCUUCUACUUCCUUUCCUGGUUUGCUUCCUAACUACGUUUACAUCUUGGAUUUCGACGAAACCGCAAUGGUUAGUCUGGUGGAUGGUUUCCCCUUAGUCGCUACAAAUGGAAAAACGGAUGCUCCUUACUACAUUCCACCUCAAAAUAUAUUAGACUGAGUCUAAACUAUAUCCUCCAGCUUCUAUAUCUUCAUAAGUAGAUUGUACUGUUUCCUGUUUUAUGUAUGAAAUAUUUGUUUUAAACGCCGUGAAAAUUGUUAACCGUUCGGUGGUCUGUGGCCGUGGACAUUUAGCUCACAUCAAUUAUAUAAUUAGAGAUAAGAAAUUGAAUAUCGACUUGUAGUAUUUUAAGCUUAGAAAUGGAAAAUAAUUCAAAUUUUUCAUAACAAUGCUUAAACCAUGUAAAGAGUGAGUUAAACCCGAGUUUUGAUGAGGAUACAUUGAGUGGCUGCUACCAAAUGAUUUUGUCUAUAAUUAUAUGUAAAUUAUCUGAUUUUGUCCAUAAUUAUAUUAUUUAGCUUUUGUUUAUGAUAAAAAAAUGUUGUUAAAUUUAUUAUUAAUUAAAUAUAAUAUUUUGAUGAAUGUAAAUAUUACAAAUUUAAAUCUACAUUUUAUUUAUUUAAAAUACAAUUUUACAAAUUUAAACUACAUUUAUUUAUUUAAAAUAAAAUUUUACAAAUUCAUAAAAUUAAAAUAUGAAGUAAAUGAAAAUUGUGUCUGCGACAACCAAACAAACAAAACUAAAUCUAAUUUCUGCGGCUGCGGCUGCGUCAAUGUUUUGUGUCUUUGAAAUGAACAACAAACUGCGGUUGCGACUGCGGCUGCGUCUGUUCGUUUGGUUAUUGAUCGUUUUGCAAAAGGCUGCGGCAACCAAACGAGCAGCACUAUUAAAUCAGUCAUCUUUAGAACUGACUUCGUACAUCAUCAAACCAAUACAUUCAAUAUAUACCAGUUUUGUGUGGUUCAAUAUAUACAGAACUCGGACUUCAAAUUUUGAUAUGUUACUCCUGAACUUGGGAAACACAUUUUUGUGCAUGGUCAACACAUAUAUCAUCGUCCCUGCAACAAAUGACUAUUCAAUGAGCCUUGGAACGGUUUGUGGUGUUGUGGAAUGGUUUGAUGGCAAAUACAUAGAACAUCGCAAGACCCACCACAAUCUCCACCAAGCGCAUCUCCACCGCCAACUCCUCCCUACCCUCCGCCGGAUGCGGCGGCGGCUUAUCCGGAUGCUCGAGAUCGAUAGCGAAUCUCAAAGACGUGAUCCACGGGAGCAAACGCCACUUCGAGAAACCGCCGAUAAGCAGUCCUCGCUCCAUCGGAAGCAACGAGUUCCUCAACCCCAUAACCCACGAAGUCAUCCUCAGCAACUCCACCUGCGAGCUCAAAAUCACCGGCGUCGGAGACAUGGCUUCCCCCGCCGGAGCAACGGAAUCCGGCGGUGGCGGCGGAGGAAACGGACGGUCGACGACUUUUGUGGGGAUGCUGAGGCCGGGGACGCCGAUGCAUCAUCUGAACCACUCUGCUUCUCACCGGAGCCAUGCUUCGUCGACGGCGGCGAAAAAGGGCUCCUUUGCUUCGUCGGAGAGAGAGGUAAUAGGAGAAGGGUUUCACACAAAGAGGAGAGUUUCUUUGGAGAUGAACAGAGACUCCGCCGUUAACGGAGGCAAAUACUCUGUUUCUUGCCAUAAGUGUGGUGAACAGUUCAGCAAACUCGAAGCUGCAGAAGCUCAUCAUCUCUCUAAACACGCCGGUAAACUCGAAACUUUAACCAUUGGGAUUAUAUAAUUAAUGAAUAUAUUAUAAAGUUUUCACCUUUAUGAAGAUUUUGUCGCAUUUUUAUAAUAUACUCUCUCCUACUUCAUAAAAAAUCCAUGUUUAAAAAUUUUCAAAUUUUUUAAUAAAAUAUAUUAAAACUUAUCAAUAAAUACAUAUUUUUUUAUAAUUUUAUAUUUUCUAUAUUUUUAAACUAAUAAAAUUUUAAGAAAUGCAAUUAAUAUUUUUAAACUUUACUAUUUUUUAUUAUUAGUUGACAAAAAUUACAUUAGAAAUAUAAAAUAUGUAUAUUUUUGAAACAAAUUUUUUUCUCAUAUAAUAAAGUUUUGAACUUUAUGAACAUUUUCGCAUAUUAAUAUAAAGUAAUAAGCUUUGCUCAUAAUAUUACAGUGACGGAGCUCGUAGAAGGCGACUCGUCAAGGAAGAUAGUGGAGAUAAUCUGUAGAACGAGCUGGUUAAAGUCAGAGAACCAAUGCGGGAGAAUAGACCGUGUCCUAAAAGUACACAACAUGCAGAAGACACUAGCUCGGUUCGAGGAGUACAGAGAGACGGUGAAGAUCAGAGCGAGCAAGCUCCAGAAGAAGCAUCCGAGAUGUCUCGCCGACGGCAACGAGCUGCUCAGGUUCCACGGCACCACCGUGGCUUGCGGUUUGGGGAUAAACGGGUCGACGAGCCUCUGCACGGCGGAAAAGUGCUGCGUCUGCCGGAUCAUACGGAACGGGUUCUCGGCGAAGCGGGAGAAGAAUAACGGUGUUGGGGUUUUCACGGCGUCGACGAGCGGGAGAGCGUUUGAGUCGAUUUUGGUGGAGGAGGGAGAUGGGGAGAGGACGGUGACGGUGAGGAAGGUGUUGAUUGUGUGUAGGGUUAUAGCCGGGAGAGUUCAUAGGCCGGUGGAGAAUGUGGAGGAGGUGAAUGGGUUGAUGAUGAGUGGGUUUGAUUCUUUGGCUGGAAAAGUUGGGUUGUAUACAAAUGUGGAGGAGCUUUAUUUGCUCAAUCCUAGAGCUUUGCUUCCUUGCUUUGUGGUAAUCUGCAAGUCUUAAAAAAUAUUUAGCAUUUUUGUUUUGGCAGAAAGGUCAAAAUGUUCUUGUUAUUUGUUCAUAAUUUCAGUUUUUACCAUCUUGUUCCGAAUUUGUUUUCAAGGUGAAUUUGGAAUUUAAAUUUUUAAUUUUCGGCUAGUUUAUGUCUGAGUUCUUAAUUAUUCUUACCUAGAGAGACAAAAAUAUUUUGUUCAUAUUAUGUUAGAUAAAUUUGUAUUUUGGCGUAUAUUAUACUAACGUAAAAAGAUGUGGUAAGAGAUAGAUUGUAAAGUGUGUCAGAGUGAGAAUUUUAGUUUCACGGGUGGCCUGUUGGUAAAAGUGCUACUAUAAAUGCCAAGUUCAUUCAGUAAAAAGUUCUUACAAAAAUCGAUAAAUAAGAAAAAACUCAUCAACAAAUUAAACAAACAUGAUAAUUUUUUUUGGUCGACGGUAAACCUUUCAAAGAUUUGGAACAUGAACGUUUGCUUCAUUGCUUGUUUGGUUGAAUCGUGUUAAUUGUUCAAUAUGGAUUUAUGUUGUUUAAAGUGUUUUCAUAUUUUUUUUAACUUCUAUUAUAUACAUAUCAAUAAUACAUAAUAUAUGAUGUACAGUAGAACAUAUCAUAUAUGUAUAGUACUCAGACGACCCAAAGACAUUUGGUUUUCUUUAGCUUCAAAAUUUUGUUUGGAACCAUCCCCGUAUAGUCCUAGAUUACAUACAAAAUGAAUAUUUAUAUAAGAAAACAUGGCAUAUAAAAACAAAAAUAACAUUAAUGAUAAUUAGACAUUUUGCUAAAACGAAUAAAAUGGUCCAUACUAAAUUACUCGAUAGUUUUCAUAAUGUCAGCGAGACAAAGCUUACGUCAAAGGUGUCGACAAAAUUCUAUCCCAUGCAAACAUUUAUUUGGAGCUUUUAUUAGUUCUAUCUGCAAAAGCCACCCUCUCAUCAAUAUAUAUCCGCCGAGAAAAGAAAAAUCAGAAUAUGCGAGCCCAAUAAUAAUAAAAGUUUCAAAUCUUGAAAUUUCGAAUUUUGAAAACAAAUAUACAUUUUGUUUUUUUUUAGAUAUAUUAUUUCAGGGCUCUGCAAAAAUAUUUGUGAUAAUACAUUUUGUACUUAAAGUUGUUUGUGGACAAAGCAAAUUUUGUUUAAGAGGGAGCAUAGUCUAGUGAAAAUGAAUCAUAGAUAUCUCAAAAUGUGGCUAUUUCGAUAUUUGAUUACGUAUACAUACAAUGUAUGUUCAUUUUUCUUUUUUGAACUGACACAUAAUAAAUGUAUAUUUGAGAACGAAUGAGAAAUGACGAGGCCUGAAAUGGACAGUGUAUCUAUAUCAACCGCCGAAGUAACGGUGGGAUCAUACCACAUGCCGUCUCAGAAAAUUGUAUUCUAUACAAACCUUGUAAUUAAUUAUCUCCACUCGACAACAAUCUAUGUCGUCAUUUUCGGAUCUUUUAUAUAAUGACGAGAACGCAUUAGUAAUCCCCUAAAUAUGCGAAAUAUACAGAAGCUAAAAGCGAGCUGAUUAAGGCUUAAAGACCAUGGUUUAGCCACAUAUGAAAGCGUUUGUAGAUUCUUUGUUCCCUGUAAAAAGUUGAUUGUAAGAAACAUAUUUCGUAGCUUUGUAAGUGGAGAAAGUGUUUAUCUGGUACGAUUUUUACACUUUUAACUUAAAAUGGAUUUUCAAUAUAUCCAUCAUCAAAUACAUAGGUCCAUUAGUCUACAAAUCAAAAGUGCAAUGAAGAAGAAAUAAGGGAGAUGCUAAGAUGCUGAGCCAGCUGCAACUUGAGUUGUUUCUUUAUCCUUAGCCUCCUUAAGUUGCUUCCAUUUCUCAAUGGUGUCGAUAAGUUCCCCAGUUUUGAUCAGAUAUCUCACCUUCUGUCCAUCUUCGAGGACCUUGUGACCCACCCGGCUAACCACCUCCUUUUCUUUCGAAUACAGCAUCACAUUUGAGCUGUGAAUCGGUGCUUCAAUCUGGAAAACAUAAUGCAUUUUAGCACAAUCCUCAAUCAUCAUCACUGCCAAAGGCAAAGUGAAGGGAGCUACACGAUGUGGUUUCUGUUUUGCAAAUUAUUUUUAAGAGAGUCAUGUGAGUGGUGUCUGACCUUGAGAAUUUGGCCAGGCUCUCCCUCUUCACGGCUCUUCAUGUGUUUAGUCUUGAGGUUGACAUCUUUGAUGACAAUGGUGCUGUUGUGGGUAAAGAUCUUAGUGACUUCCCCAAUCUUACCCUUGUCUCGUCCAGAUAUAACUUUGACCGUAUCACCAAACUUGACAUGCAUUUUGUGCAGGAUUGGAAGACUGUUUGGUUUGCAUUUCUUCCGUUCCCAACGCUUAAGCUGAAAGAAAGAAAAAGAAAAAAAAACACAUCAUAAUCCUGUUAAUGCCCUUAGGAAUCAAUCAAGAGAUGAAACUCAACAACAUUACCAAAAGAAUGAGGUAAAGGAUCUUGGUUACUAACCUUUGCGUAAACAAGACAUGGGUUCUGGGCGGGCUUGACCUGCAAUGAGUUACAAAAGAAAAGCAGAGUAAUUAAGGAACCAAACCCCACCCCAACUGCAAACACUUUGCCUAAAAAAACGCUAAACCAUUCUUCUGACUCAGUAUAAGUUCGUUCGAGCAACAAAACCAUAAUCAACCAAAAUGUACAUCACCAGGUGCUAAAUGCAUUCUUUAGAUUCCAAAAGGUUCACCAACCAAUCAAUCAAACGAGCACACAAAAAUAAGAGAUCCUAACUUAAAAGUUUUAGAUGCAUCGCCAAGCCAAGUAGAGAUAAACAGUUGUCUUUUGAGAAAAAAAUCAAAGUUAUAGAAUUUAAAGUGUUCAUAACUUCAUCUCAGUUCAGUACUAACACAGAAAAAGACAAAGAGACAAUUCACAUUCUCCAAUCCAUUCUCCACUAAACAUAACUCAUAGCGCAGAAACACACAACAAAGUUUCAAUCUUUACUCCUUUUAGAGAAAAAAUUUAGAAUUGGCACCAAAAUUCACCAUACCAAAAGCUUAAUAAAUGAAACUAAUCAACAGGUCCAAUGAAAGAUAUCAAACCCGUUACAGGGCUAAAUGUUCGAGCUAAACGUGGCAAUGUCUUUGAUUAGAACGAGAAAUUCGAAAACGGGAGUUACCGGAGAAGCGGCGGAGAGGGAAAGCGGGGAAAGGAGACGCUGGCCGAGGAAGGAGGAGUUGGACUUGGAGGAUAGCGAAAGAGAUGUAAACGAGCUCUGAAGAGAAGUCAUCAUGGUCGCCAUUCUUUUCAGAGUAACUCCCGCUUGCUAAGUGGGGGGGCUAACACUUCAUGUCUCUGUUCGUCUCAAGGCGAUAAGACGAGGAUAACGAUUAUCUCUUUACUGUUAAACGACACCGUUUUAGUACCAUGAUUAACUUCACUGGUGGGUUUUUGGCUAAGGUUUGGGCUUAAAUAUUGUCUGCUUUGGUGUAAUACCCCAAACAUAUACUCCCUCCGUUUAUGAUGUUUUAGAAAUUUUUUGUUGUUUCGAAAUAGAUGAUGUUUUGAUUUUUUAUGUUAUUUUUAACUUUAUUGAAAACUGUGUAACCAAUUAGAUGUUAUAGUCAUUUUUAUAAUUGGUCGGAUGAUUUUUAAAUUAUAUUUUUUAAACUAUUUUAAGAAUAACAUCAUCUAUUUUAUAGAAGUUCUGUAUUUUUUUUAACUUUUUUUUGAUAAUUCGGCGGACCGAAACCUAACUGACUAAUAUCAUGGAAUCUGUCCACCGAUACUAAAUAGAUCCGGUUAUUUGCAAUGAGAAUUAAAUAUCCAUAUCACUUUGACCACACAAGCGGACAGUGGCGGAUCCAGACUAAUUAUUUAACGGGAGCACAUAAUAAAUAUAUAUAUAUAUUAAANNNNNNNNNNNNNNNNNNNNNNNNNNNNNNNNNNNNNNNNNNNNNNNNNNNNNNNNNNNNNNNNNNNNNNNNNNNNNNNNNNNNNNNNNNNNNNNNNNNNAAAACACAGAAAUUAAACAAGGUCUAUAAAAUAGUCAACUUAUAUAUAAUAGACUAAAUCAUUUCUAUAGCUCGUACAGUUCACAAGAACAUCUUGUACAGACUACUUGCUCUAAAAAAUGACUCACCAGAAACCAUAUGAUGUUACACGGAUGAAAUGCUCUCUCUCAUUUGCCCUGAAACUUAAAUCUUCGCUUCCUGCACUACGCUUUCUCAGUCUUCUGUUUAUUUUUUUCUGUUUUCAAACUUUUUUCUUGUUAAUGAGAGCAUUCGUAUGUGCUCUAAGCCUAUACUCGCUCUCAUAUUCUAUUGCUGAGCAAAAGUUUGUAAUACUCUUUUUUUUGUUGGUGUAAAUUUAACAUUUCAACAAAAAAAAAAGAUUUGUAAGAUAGUGUGCUAUGUGAAAUAGACAAACCAAACAACUUUUUACCAAUUUGCACCAUUAUAGUUGUUUUGUUGUCUUUCUCAUUUUUGAUCAUUAUUUGUUAGCUGUGGGAUAGGCUACACAAAACAUUAAAGAGGAACGUAAGGGAAUGAAUCAGAGAAAAAAAAUACGUAUACUUGUUUUCAGAUUAUGUACCAGUCUUCUCUUUUACUAUGGUUGUUAUAGAGAACGCUAUUUUGUUUUGUUUUGUUUGUAGUUUGAGAUUUUUUUUUUCUUGAUCUGUCUGUUUACAGGAUAAUGAUUCGUUGUCUUUUGUCUUCUUCCUUCUUCAAAUCUGUUUUUGUUAGAUGCAACGCACUGCAAGUAAUAUAAUAUAGAAAGAAUAGAUUUGUAAAUACCAGUUUUGUAGAUAUAUAGUUGAACAUACCUAUAGGUAUCCUUGUUGCUGUUAAAGCUUUGAAAUAAUAUGCUCAAGUGCCAUUUUUAACUUGAAAUAAACAAUUAAGAGAUUGUUAAUAGAAAAUAAGAAGAAACCAAUUUUUUUAAGUCCGUCGGGAAUCAUCCGGAAAUUCCUAAUGGUUUUCGACGGAUUUAAAUAAAUAUUUACUUUUAUAAAUUGCGUAGGAAAUUCACGACGAAUUCUCGAUAAAUUUAGGGUUUAGGGUAUAAAAAUAUGUAUAAAAUAGGUAAAAUCCUAUUCGUUAAAGAUCUCUGAAUUCUAUAAUAACAUUUAAAACUCCAUAUGAUAUAACAUAUCCUCAAUAUAUGAAUAUUACAAAAUUACAAAAAUUAAAUCAAAAGAAUCAACUUGAACGUUAACAUGUCAUAUACUUACAUUAAUUAUUUUGGGAACUCGUCCAUAGAACCAUAUGCUAUAUUACAGCGCACCUGAAACUCUCAUAAUCUCAAAUCAAUCCAAAAGUCCUUCUCUUCUACCUCAACUCCCACUACAAGAAAACAGCGGUAUUCUGACGGACGUUCUGACGGAAAAUGAAAUCCUCGGAAAAUCCCGAGGAAUUUCCGAGGAUAUUCCGAGGAAACACAAAAUUUGGUUUCCUCGGAAUUUCCUCGGAAUAUACCGACGGAAUUCCGAGGAAAUAUCAUUCCGUCGGAAUAUUCUUAUGGAAUACCGAGGAAAAUUGUAUUCCUCGGAAAAAACCGAUGAAUUCCGAGGAAAUAUUAUAGACGUUAGAGAGCCGUUGGGGGAUUUUAAAAAUUCCGAGGAAAUUCCGACGAACUAGCCGUUGGCAUCGGAAUUCCGUCGGAAUUUCCUCGGUCUGUCGGAAAGAUUUCAACUAUAAAUACAAGCACCCCUCUUCCUCUUCAUUCACUCCAUAUCUUCAUCCUCCCUCUCACUCUCUUUACACACGAAUUUGAUUCAUAAAAAACAUGUCUUCUUCAAAUUAUUUUCGUUCUUGGAUCGAUCGACCUCAUUUGGAUCUGAACACGAGAUUGCUUACGGAAGAAUACCAACGAGGUAUAACCGAAUUCAUGGGGUUAGUUCACCGACAACCGGAAGCAAAAACAGGUAUGUUAAGAUGUCCUUGUUCUAAUUGUAAAAAUAAAAAGGUUAUUAAAGAGUGGGAUGUUUGGACUCAUCUAUAUUUGAGUGGGUUUACACGAAGUUACAAAAUUUGGUAUCAUCAUGGGGAAACUGAUUAUGAACAUGGUAGUACUAGCGAACCUCAGCCAGCUGUUAGAUUAGAAGAACCAAUUAGAACAGAUGUAAAUUAUGGUGUAGGUACUGAGCAGAUGGUAAAUGAUCAUUUUAGAGGGGAAGAUUUACCCAAUGCCGAAGCUAGGAGAUUUUAUGAUAUGUUGGAUGCUUGAAAGCAACCAUUGUACGAAGGUUGCAGAGAUGGUCAUUCAGCUUUAUCAUCUGCUACAAGAUUGAUGGGCAUUAAGACGGAUUAUAAUUUGGCGGAAGACUGUGUGGAUGCGCUUGCUGAUUAUGUAAACGGUAUUCUACCCGAAGAUAAUGUAGCUCCUGGCUCAUACUACGAGGUUCAGAAUCUCGUAGCUGGUCUUGGUUUAUCGUAUCAGGUAAUAGAUAUAUGCAUAGACAACUGCAUGAUUUAUUGGAGGGCGGAUGAACAGCGGGUUUCAUGCAAAUUUUGUGGGAAGCCUCGUAGACAACUGCAUGAUUUAUUGGAGGACGGAUGAACAGCGGGUUUCAUGCAAAUUUUGUGGGAAGCCUCGUUAUAAAGAUACGAGUGGAAGAGUUCCAGUGCCAUAUAAAAGGAUGUGAUAUUUGCCUUUGACGGAAAUGUUGCAGAGGUUGUAUAUGUCUGAACGCACAGCGCAACCAAUAAGAUGGCACGCGGAGCACUCAACAGAUGGUGAGAUCAGACAUCCUUCAGAUGCAAAAGCGUGGAAGCAUUUCCAAUCAAAGUAUCCCGACUUUGCGUAUGAGAGAAGAAAUGUCUACCUUGGAUUAUGUACUGAUGGUUUCAGCCCGUUUGGCAAGAGUGGAAGACAGUAUUCUCUAUGGCCAGUCAUUCUUACACCAUACAACCUACCCCUAAACUUGUGCUUGCGACGAGAGUUUUUGUUUCUCUCGAUUCUCGUUCCCGGACCAGAGAAUCCUAAGAGAUCACUUGAUGUGUUUCUUCAGCCACUAAUAUAUGAGUUGCAACAACUAUGGGCUCAAGGUGCUGAAACAUACGAUGUUUCGUAUAAAGAAAACUUUCAAAUGCGGGCAGUACUAAUGUGGACAAUAAGUGAUUUUCCAGCAUAUGGUAUGUUAUCUGGAUGGACAACGCAUGGAAGGCUAUCAUGUCCAUAUUGUCAAGAUAACACUGAUGCUUUCCAACUAAAACACGGAAGGAAAACGUGUUGGUUUGACUGUCACAGGAGAUUUCUACCACCAGAUCAUCCAUAUCGUAGAAGUAGGAAUUUGUUUACGAAGAACAAUAGGGUGUUUGACAGUCCACCUCCGGAAAUUCGUGGGAAAGAUUUGAAGACACAACUUAGAGAUUUUGGUGCAGAAAGGACGCCAUACGUCGGUGGACAUGAGCGUUUUCCGGUAGAUGGUGUUGGAAACCUACAUAACUGGCACAAAAAAGUAUUUUCUGGAAUCUGCCAUACUAGGAGGAUCAUCUACUAAGGCAUAAUUUAGAUGUCAUGCAUAUUGAGAAGAACUUUUUUGACAAUCUCAUGAACACGAUCCUUAAUGUUCAAGGUAAAACAAAGGAUAAUUUGAAGUCAAGACUGGAUUUAGUCGAUAUAUGUGCUCGUUCAGAACUUCAUGUUGAUGAGAAUGGUAGGGCUCCUUUUCCCAUAUACCGACUUGAUGCAGCGGGAAAUGAUGCGUUCUUUGAUUGGAUUUCAAACGAUGUGGAAUUUCCAGACGGUUACGCAUCUAAUUUGCGUAACUGUAUCGACAGAAAUGAAGGAAAGUUUACUGGCUUGAAAAGCCACGAUUGCCAUGUAAUGAUGCAGCGCCUCCUUCCGUUUGCCUUCAAGGAACUAUUACCACGAAAUGUUCAUGAAGCAAUUGCAGGGAUAAGUGGUUUCUUCCGCGAUUUAUGCACGAGAUCAGUGACUCUUGAAGGUAUUGAAAAUUUGAAGACUAACAUAGCCGUGAUUCAGUGCAACCUUGAGAAGAUAUUUCCUCCCUCAUUUUUUGAUGUUAUGGAGCAUCUUGUUAUUCACCUGGUAAGAGAAUUGGAACUUGGUGGUCCUGUGCAGUAUAGAUGAAUGUAUCUGUAUGAGCGGUAUAUGUUCCAUUUGAAGAAGAUGGUGAAAAAUUUAAGUAGGGUGGAAGGUUCUAUAGUCGCACAGAUGAUCAAUGAAGAAACUUCAAAUUUUGCCGAGUACUACUUUCCAGCAGAAGUUCAGACCAAAAACAGAAGACCUGCUCGGCAUGAUGAUAGACGCGAACGGGCAACAUAUCAUUGGAAGGUUCCAGACAUUUUCACAGACGUUGGACGACUUAGCGGAAAACCAAAGGACCGUCGACUUACUGAUCAGGAGCGCAGUCAUUUGCAAACAUAUUUACUCACCAACUGCGAAGAUGUUCUUCAAUAUUAUAGGAUUUUCAUGGCAGAAAAGCGGUUCGAAUUUAGAUACGCCACAGAGGACGAACUAGAAGAAAUGAAGCAGAGAAUUUGGUGGAUGGAUGUUUACUUAUGUGAGUGCUGGUUUGGCCAGAGGUGAAACAUUUGACGAUUGGAUACGCGAGAUGGUCGUUGGACCAAACUUUGUUGUGAAGUCAUAUCCGAGAUUUUGUACUCGAGGAUAUGCAUUCACAACUCAGAAGAGGAGACGUUCGAGUACGACUUAUGAUGCUGGUGUUUGUUCUGCAUCAGGAGAUGAUGUAUACUACGGACACAUACAUGAGAUUUUGGAAAUCAAGUAUUUGGGCAUGGUUGGAUUGCGCUGUACUGUUUUCUAUUGUGAUUGGCACGACAACACUCCAGAUCGAGGUUUGAGAACAGAUGCAUUUGGUGUUACAUCAGUAAAUUCGAGACGGAAGCUGCAAUAUUAUGAUCAUUUCAUUCUUGCUUCUCAGGCCGAUCAGGUUUGUUAUAUCAAAUAUCCCCGGGUAAGGAACAGAGAUGAUUCAUGGGUUACUGUUACAAGACUCAACCCGAGAGGCCGAGUUCACGAAAGUUCUAAGCUGGAAGACCCACAACAACCAAGCACAUCCGGCAACUUAAGUGCAGCAGAAGAUUUAGGUGGAGUUGGCCUUGUAGUCGAUUUAACCGACUUCAGAGAGGAAGCCGCCGUUCACGUAGAGGAUGAACCAGUGAUUGGAGAGUUUCACCAAGAUCCAGAUUCAGAUUCAUCUGGUGAUGACGACUCGGAAACAGACUAGCGUCGACCUUUUUUUUUUAAAAAAAAAAAAAUAUAAAUACCGAGGAAAUUCCGAGGGCAGAUAGGUUUUCCUCGGAAUUUCCUCGGAAUAGAUCUUGUCGAUUUAGGGAUUUGAUUAUACAUUCCUUUUCCUCGGAAUCUCCUCGGAAUUUUCCGAGGAAAUUCCGACGAAGAUAAGGUUUUCCUCGGAAUUCCCUCGGAAAAUUCCGAGGAAAUUCCGAGGAACUUGGGGUUUUAAACCGAAAACAACUUUUUACGGAUUGAGUAACACGUAUAUAACCUUCAUUAAGUGUCUUAACCAGAUUAUGAUGUUUGGAACUAGGAACUUUGGUGUUUUACCCAAUAACAAACACUUUUACGAUUGCAUGAACGAAAACCACACAACAUAAGAGAAACACUUAUACACUUUAAUAAACGGUAAAGGGAAUACUUACAAUUAUUUUUGAAAUUUUGUUAUUUCAUGGUUUAUGAUCAUCUAUAAAAAGAAUCCUCAAUGGUAUGCAUUAUAAUUGUAUAAGAAAUGAAAUACGGCGAAAAUAAUCGAUGUUUUAAAACCCCAAACCCUGGUUCCUCAGAAUUUCCUCGGUAAUUACCGAGGGUAUUCCGAGGAANNNNNNNNNNNNNNNNNNNNNNNNNNNNNNNNNNNNNNNNNNNNNNNNNNNNNNNNNNNNNNNNNNNNNNNNNNNNNNNNNNNNNNNNNNNNNNNNNNNNNNNNNNNNNNNNNNNNNNNNNNNNNNNNNNNNNNNNNNNNNNNNNNNNNNNNNNNNNNNNNNNNNNNNNNNNNNNNNNNNNNNNNNNNNNNNNNNNNNNNNNNNNNNNNNNNNNNNNNNNNNNNNNNNNNNNNNNNNNNNNNNNNNNNNNNNNNNNNNNNNNNNNNNNNNNNNNNNNNNNNNNNNNUGGAAGGAGUUGUGUGCGCAUUGGGAUAAGGAAGAGACGAAAGAAACUUCUUCCACCAACUCCAACAACCGCAGGAGCGACCGUAAAGGGAAGGGCAUCUACAAGCAUAACUUGGGUGCUCAAUCUAUUGCCACUCUGGGGGAUCGCAUGGUAAGUUCAGCCGCUUUUUCUUCAAUUAUUUAAGUUUCAGAAUUUAUUUUUUGUGCAUUUUUUUCAAAUUUCUAAUGUUUGUUUAAUUUAUUUUUUUUCAAGGCGGAAGAAAAUGAGGGCGACCCGGUUGAUGAUCUCGCCCUAAUGAAAAGGGCGUAUACCAACAAGAAGACCGGCCAGAUUGAUGAUGGUCUUGUGAGGGACGUGGUCGACCUGGUCCAAACUCAGGUGUAUGACGAAGUGUCUCAGCUUCAAACCGAUGAUGACGAUUCGACGGCUUCGACCAACUUGUCCCGGGUUCGAAUCAACGAAAUCGUUGAAUUGGUAAGUUUUUUUUUUUUAAAGUUCAAUUUAAUUAUUUCUUGAUUUUUAUUUUAUCAUCAAUUUAUAUUAUCUAAAUUUGGUUAUUUAUAUUUCAGUCGGUUCCAAAGAAAAAGGGACGUUUGGUCGGUUUGGGUCGUCGCUCCCGGUCGGCUGCUCCUUCUUCUGCACCACCGGCAUAUGUUGAUCCAGAAGUUCUUACGGCUCAGCUGAAGGACAAGGAUGAUCGGAUAUCUGCGUUGGAGACCCAGAUGGCAGCUCAAUAGGCGGGCUAUGAGACCCAUAAGAGGCUGAACGAGCAGAUGAUGGAGAUGAUGAAGAGGAUGUACCCGAACGAGGUGUUCCCGAACAUUCCAGACCCGUAGUUUUUUUUUUACCAAAAACUCGGAAUCUUUUAUUUAACUUUGAAUAUUAUCUACUAUGUUUUAAUGUUUUAUGUUUUAUUCAAUUUUAAUUUUAAUUUUAAAUUUUCGAAUUUAAAUUUUAAAAAUUUUAAUUUUUUUAAAAAAAAAUUAAUUUUUUUUAAAAAUUAAUUUUUUCGAAAUUCCGAGGGAAAGCAUUUCCUCGGAAAUUUCCGAGGAACUUAUUUCCCUCGGAAUUUUCCGAGGGAAGAAGGUUCCUCGGAAUUUUCCGAGGGACUGAAAUUCCUCGGAAUUUUCCGAGGGAAGAAAGUUCCUCGGAAUUUUCCGAGGGACAGAAGUUCCUCAGAAUUUCCCGAUAAACAUUCCGAGGAAUAUUUCGUCGAAACUUCCGAGGAUUGGACCAUCGGAAUUCCAUCGAAAUAUUCCGAGGAAGGCGUCCCUCGGUAUAUUCCGAGGAACAUUCCGACGAACUUUGUGUCCUCGGAGUUUCCUCGGAAUUUUGUUUCCUCGGAAUUCCGUUGGAAAUUUCCGACGGAAUUCCGAGGAAAUAUGAAUUUCCGAGGAGAUAUUUCCAAGGACUUUUUUCGUCGGUAUGUCCUCGGAAUAGCGUUAUUCCGACGACAUAUCGACGAUUUUUUCCCUCAGUAUGCCGAUGUUUUCUUGUAGUGAUAUCACAAGAAAUUUUCUGUUUUCUUUGGUCUGAUAUAUAUAUAUAUAUUAUAUAUAACGUUUAGUGUAUAAAAAAUUAUGAAUACACGUGACGAUGUUUUUUUUUUUGCUAAAUUGUAAAUAUCAUAUAAAUGAAAAAAGAUUUUACAGAAGCAAGAUCUUAGUUUUGAAACAUCUUGGCAAAAAGAAAGAAAAAACAAGAUGAAACAACAACAUCCAACCUAUGGAUAACUUUAACACUUAUCGUAUCCACAACACCAUAAGUGAUCUGAAGUGCUUGUUCGACCUCCUAGAGGAAAUGAUAUUCCUCAUCUCCCUGUCUAAGGCCCUGAAGACAACAGAGUAAGGCUGAGAGAUAUUGUUAUGAACCAGGUUGUUCCUCUGCUUCCAAAGGUGAAAAAUGAGCGCUUGAGAGGCCAACUUCCUGAGGAGUAGCUUUCUCCUAGAGCGCGGUUCUCGGAUCCAAGCUAAGAGCUCCGCCCAGUUAGCAAAACUCCUUGCGGGAGAGCUGCAUCUAGGGAAGACUAGCGACCAUAUGUCAUUGGUGAACUGGCAGGAGAGAAACAGAUGGUCUCUCGAUUCAGGAUAAGAGGAACAGAAGGGGCAUGUAACUGGUAUCGCAAGCCCCCAGGAAGCCAGUCUCGCUCUUGUCGGCAACCUAUCGUAAUUGGCAACCCACAUAGUGAAGGCAUGCUUCGGAAUGGCCCCUUUAAACCAAACAAUAUCAUGCCAAGGUUGCGUCUCUUGUCGCGGUCUCAAAGCCUCCCAAGUAACCUGAGAAUUAAACACAUUCAAAGUGCAAUCAGCAACCCUCCAUUCAUAUAGAUCAGAGACAUGAUGAGCUAGGGGGAGAGAGAUGGUGGUUAAGUAAAUAUGUAAAUCCACUUCCUGUUGGGAUCUUGGGUUGGGUAAAGACCAGUUUGAAUUGGAGAUUGCAUCUGCCACCAAUGCGUUUUUCCUUACUCUCAGCGCUCGAGGACCAUUUUCACCAAUGUGCUUGAUCAGUUGGCCGAAAGGAGUCCAACAAUCAUACCAAAAACGCAAGGUUAAGCCGUUCCCCAGAACCCCCUUGCAGAAACGCAGAGCCAGAGGCCUGAGCUUUAAGAUUCUUUUCCAGGUCCAAGAGUCAGACUGAGACGGUUCUAUAGUCCAGAAAGAGUUUUCAGUUAAGUGGAUGCUCAUGUGCCAGUCAGCCCAGAGUGAAGGGGAGUUAGACAGUAGACGCCAGAUAAGCUUGAGACCGAGGACCUGAUUCCAGACGCGGAUGCUUCUGACUCCCAGCCCACCUUCUUCCUUAGGUAAGCACACAGUCGACCAAGCAAUUUUUGCAAUGCCCUUCUUCUCAGUAUUGCCAGACCACAGGAAGCGAGUACACAGAGCUUCAAUGCUCGAUAUACAACCGUUUGGUAACAUAAAGGCCGAGACCCAGAAGUUAAUUAAGCCAAAGAUUACUGUCUUGAGAAGCUGGAGUCGGCCCGCGAAGGAGAGUAGCUUAACAGACCAAGCUUGGAAACACCCGGUGAUUUUGGUCACAAGAAGGGCAUAUUCUGAAAUUUUCAACUUCCGACUCAUGAGAGGCAGUCCUAGAUAUCUGAUGGGGAGAUUACCAGAAGAGAAACCAUAUCUAGCAAUAGCAAUGGUUUCAUUCUGGUUAAGUCCCGCCGAGAAUAUCUCUGUUUUUGCUGCGUUCAUUUGGAGGCCAGACCAGGAGGCAAAAUCAUCCAAGCAUUCUGAUAUUCCAUGCAAACUGUUGCUGCUUCCAUCGAAGAAGAUCAUUACAUCAUCAGCAAACAUUAAGUGAGAAAUUUUAAGGUUCUCCGUUCUUGGAUGGUAGCCAAUGGUUCCGUCCUCGUAUCUAGAGAGCAGCAGUCUGGACAAACACUCCAUGGCCAUAACAAAUAGAUAGGGGGACAAGGGAUCACCUUGUCUAAUACCUCUAGUGCUCUGAAAGAACCCACCAGUUGCUCCAUUGAUUGAAACAGAGAAGGAUGCUGUAGAGAGGCAUUGAUAAAUAAGAUUAACAAACCUCUCAGGGACAGCCAGAGCCCUCAACGAAGCCAAAAUAAAGUCCCAUCUCACAGUGUCAAAUGCUUUCCGUAAGUCCACUUUAAGCAUACCUCUGGGAGUAACAGACUGAGUGUUGUAGCCAUUCACAAGAUCAGUUGCAAGUAGAACGUUCUCAGCCAGAAGACGACCAGGGAGAAAGGCAGAUUGUGCCUUGGAGAUUACCAACGGAAGGAUGUCUUUGAGUCUAGAUGCUAAGAGCUUAGCAAUCACUUUAUAGACAGUAUUAAGACAAGAGAUCGGUCUGAACUGGGAGGGAUGCGACGUGUUCGGGAUUUUAGGAAUUAACACCAGGUUUGCCGCGUUCCAUUGCUUGAGAAGAGAGCCGGAUCGAAAAAUUCUAGAAUUGCCUCAGUUACUUCCGGACCAAUAAUAGACCAUGUCGCUGUGAAAAACUCAGAAGAGUAGCCAUCCGGACCCCCUGUUUUGUUCUUGGGCAGGGAGAAGAAAGCUUCUCUGAUGUCUUCCUGUGAGAAAGCCUUCUCAAACUUGGCUGAUUGUUCCUCGGAGCACUUGAAGUCAAAGAGAAGGUCCAGGUCGCUCUGCUCAAAUAACGGAGGCGAAGUAGGACUUCCCAAGAUUUCAGAGAAGUAAUGAAUGCAUUCCGCUUGAAUGUCAGGUAGCGCAUCAAUACGGUCGCCAUUGUCAUUAACAAGGAAAUGAAUGUGAUUGAUUGCUUGUCUAGACGCCGCAUAUCUAUGAAACAGCCUGGAGUUACCAUCUCCAUAGGCCAGCCAGUUGAUCCUCGAACGUUGGAAGAAAAAGGCCGUCUCAGCGUUUGAUAACUCUUCCCAUUCUUGCCUCGCUUGGAUUUCUAACGCAGCAUGGGAGGAUGUGGGGCUGGCAAGCACAAGAUUCUGAGCAUUAACCAAGUUAUCAAGAGCAAGUGCUGUUCUUUUUUCAAUGCCAUAGUAGUUCAUCUUGCUAAAUUCCUUGAUACACUUCUUUAGUAACUUCAACUUGCGAGAGACCCUGAACAUAGCCGAACCAAUCACAUUUAUGGAGAACCAAGAGCAGCAAAUCAUGCCAAGAAAGUCCGGGUUCUGUAAGAUGAAGUUGUAGAAUCUGAAAGGCUUUUUGGUCUUCAGGGUGAGCGGGUCAAGAGCGAUGGAGAUAACAGCGUGAUCAGAAAAUUCGGGGCUACCAAAGUUCACAACAGAAGCAGGGAACUCAUAAUACCAAUUAUCAUUCACCAAUGCCCGAUCCAGCAUCUUUGCGAUGGGGUCGCUUUUGCGUUUGUUCCACCAGGUGAACGUGUUUCCUCUAUAGUUGAGAUCGUCAAUCUGAGCAGAGAGUAAGCACUGGUUAAAGUCCCGGAUCCUUUUGUCCAUGUUGAGAGAGGAUGGCUUAGAGUGUUCCUUUGGA